rnacentral:lncRNA from 1 species
AUUUGCAUUAGGUUAGAAUUUAGGAUUUGAUUAGAAUGUUGAUUAGAAUUUUAUUAGAAUUUAUUUAGGAAUAUAUUAAGAUAUUAUUAGGAUUUAUUUAGGAUUUAUUUAGGAUUUACUUUUAUUUUCUAUUUUUAACUUUUUUUCAAGUUUAUUUAUUAUUUCUUUAAGAUUUUUAUUUUUAAUAUUUUUAAGGUUCUUUUUUAUUUUUAUAAGGUUUUUAUUUUAAUAUUUCUUUAAGAUUUUAUUAUUAUAUAUCUUUAAAAUUAAUUUAUGACUUGUUUAUGAUUUUUAGUUAUUCUUUUUAAACUUCUUUUAGAUUGAUCAAAAGUUGAUUUAGUUUAUUAAGGUUUAAUUAGAAUUUAUUCAAGAUUCUAUUAGACUUAUUAGGAUCUUGUUAUUUUUAUUUAUCUUCCACAACUAGAUACUUGGUAUAUUUUCAAGAUAGAAUUCACCUUAUGUGAUAAUAUUAAAUCAUAUACUUUUGAAUCUACUAUUAGUCCUAUUCUUUUUAGAUCUACAAGAGAGAAACAAUACAAAGAAUAUCUAAUGUUGUAUCAAUCUACUCACCAUUGGAUAGAAUGACACCAUUGCCAACCUAAAGGAACACGAGCUUUGCCAUCUAAAGCACUGCAAUACCAAUGAUGGAAUAAUAUUCUAGUUAAUUUUUACCUUCUUAUAGAAGAAAAAAACUAAAAACUGGAAUAAACAAUACUAUAGCUGCCAAUACUAACUCGGCCAAAACUCCAAUGGUACCUCUCAAGAAUCCAAUAAAAAGAGCAAAAAAUUCCAAUAGUAAGCUGUCUUACAAUACUGGUUGUUAAAGUAAAAGGAGGAUAAAUAAAAAGAUAAAAGAUGUUAUCUUAGAUAAGUUACUAAUAGUCAAAGGACAACAAAAGGAUGAAGGAAAGUUACCAAGGUGGCAGCUAGGAUUAUAGAUGGUAGCUAGGGUUUUAAGGUGGUGGCUAGGUUAAGAGGAAUCUAAAGUUUAGUUGGAUGAAAGUAAGAUGAACGCUAGCUAAAAUGGAUGUAACCUCUACCUAUGAGUAAAGGAUGUUGGAAGUGAGAGGCAUUUCAUUCCACACGUUUCUUGUAUCUAACCUUGUUGAUUUCUACUUACUUGUGUCUUGCUUAUUAUGUUUCUUCAAUAGGUUAUCGGCCCACACACACUUUGUUGUACUAUUCAAGUAAAUUGAAGUCAUUUACUGGUUGUUGUUCUUGUGUGGAAUAGAUCUUAUGGUAUUUACUAAUGUUAGAGAUUGUAUGAUCUAAUCUGGUGUUUUGACUUGAGAAGGAUCUGAUUUGGACCUUAUAGAUCUCUAACAUCAGUUUGAAGCUUCUUAACUCCUAGGAUUGAGUAAUUAAGACCUUAUACAAAGAUCUUGAUAGUGUCUUUGAUUUUGUGGUGAGAAAGUGAGUUUUAUGAGUCAAAAAAUUAGAUAGUGAGGUUGAUUGGAGUUCACAUACUUGUUAGAAGCUUCAAAAGUUGAUUUGGAAGUGUUUGGAGUGAAGAAACAUUCAUUUGUUCACAAGAGGGCAUUCUCAGAUUUUGCUAGUACAAAAUUAUUUUAGUGAUUUUAAGCACAUAGAGACUCUUUUUUUUGAUAUUUUUUGAUAGACCUCUUCUAAGACAUGGCUUCAAGUGAAGGUGAAGGUUUGAGAGUAAUUGAGAAGUUUAGAGGUGGCAAUUUCUACCAUUGGAAGGUCAAAAUGGAGCUUUUAUUGGCGUCUUUGGACCUUUGGGACAUUGUAGAUGAAAGUGAAGAGCCUCCAAUUAUGCAUGCUGAUGCUAAAGAGAAGAAGGACUUCAUAAGACGUGAAAAGAAGGCUUUUGGCAUGAUUGCCACUAAUUUAGAUGAAACCAACUUUUCUCACAUCAUCUCUUGCAAAAGACUAGCAUAAGCAGAGAAGACUCUUUGCAACAUAUAUGAGUGUAAGAAUUUGUCCAAUAUCAUCUUCACAAAGAGAAAAUUCUUCACUUGUAAGAUAGAAGAAGGUGAAGACCUCAUGGUUCAUGUCAGAAAGGUAAAGGCCCUUUCUAACCAACUUGCAAUUAUGGACAAGCCUUUAGAAGAGAGUGAUAUUGUCAUGACCUUGUUUAUGAGCCUUCCCGAGUCCUACAACUACUUCAUUGUGGCAUUGGAGUCCAUCAAGCUAAAAGAAUUCACAAUGGAUUAUGUGAUGGCAAGACUUACCCAUGAAGAGACCAAGAGGAAAGAAAAAAGAGCUCCAAAGUGAGGAUUCGGCUCUCUUUUUAAUACAAGGCAAGGAGAGUCAUUCUAACUAACAUGGCAAUGUGAAUACUUGCUUCAUUUAUGGAAAACCAAGUCACUUUGCUCGAAAUUGCUACAAGGCUAAAAAAGAAGAUAAAGAAAGUGUAAACAAUGCUCUUCAUAAAUAUGGAAGUGAUGAUUAUGCAUUCAUGGCAAGUGAAGGCACUUCCAUGGCUGCCAUGUCCAAGUAAAUCAUUGAUUCUGGUGCCACCAAGUACAUGACUCCAUACAAGUGUUCAUUUGAUACUUAUGAAGAGAUUUCAAGAACAAAUAUCCUCAUGGGAGACAAUGGCAUAGUACAAACUAUUGGAAUGGACUCCAUUGUUAUAGAAAUUAUUGUGAAAGGCUAAACUAAGAAAAUUAGAUUGAAAGACAUCUUACAGGUACAAAAGAUGAAGAAAAAUCUCCUCUCGAUGAGUAAACUUGUUUCACAUGGUUAUAAAGUGUAAUUUGAUAAGAAUGGAUGUUUUAUGGAGACAUUGAAAGGAGAUCAUUUUGCAAAGGGCUUUAGAGAUGGCAACCUCUACUUCAUCAAGUGUAAGAAGGUGAAUGGAAUUGAAGUGGCGGCAUUUGUUGAAUUUCCUCAAGAUCAAAACAAGUUUGGCAUUUGACAUCGAUGCCUUAGUCAUUUGAAUGCCAAGAGCAUGAAAGAGCUCCAAUCCAUGGUAAGUGGCUUAGAUCUUGGUCAUAUAAGCUACAAUACUAUGACACAUACUUGUGAAGGUUGUAUUCAAGGCAAACAACAAAAGGCCUCAUUUCCAAGUGGAGUUGCAACAUGUGCAACCGAGUUAUUGGAAAUUUUCCAUUCUGAUGUUUGUGGACCUAUGAAGUUGCCAUCAAUAUGAGGUGCAAGGUAUUUUGUCACAUUCAUUGAUGAUUUUUCAAGGAAAGUAUGGAUUUUCAUCAUCAAAGCAAAGAGUGAGUGUUUCACAAGGUUUAAGGAGUUUAAGGCACUUGUGGAGAAGCAAUGUGAAUGCAAAAUCAAGAUAUUGCAUACAAACAAUGGAGGUGAGUAUAUGUCAAAGUAAUUCAAUGAUUUCUUAAAGAUGUAUGAUAUUAUAAGAUGAACCUCCACUCCUUAUACUUCACAACAAAAUAGAGUUUUUGAAAGAGCAAAUUAGACCAUUGUGGAGGUGGCAAAGAAUAUGCUUCAUGUACAAUAUUUUAGAUAUGAAUUUUGGAUAAAAAUAGUGGUGAAUGCAAUAUACACAAGAAAUAGGUGUCCUACAAGUGCACUUACAUCAAUGACAUUGGAAGAAGCUUGGAGUGGGAGAAAACCUUGUGUUUCUUACAUGAGGACCUUUAAAUGCAUAGCAUAUACAAAGAUACCAGAUUGUAUGAAAUCAAAAUUUGAUGCAAAAGGUACAAAAUGUAUAUUUUUUGGAUAUUGUGAAGAUACAAAGGCUUAUAGGCUCAUAUGUUUGGAGACUAAAAAGUUCAUCAAAAGUCGUGAUGUUGAGUUUUUGGAACACAAGAGUGCUUGUGAGCACUUGGAGAUGUGUCCAAGUAGGAGUAAUGGUGUGUUUAUAGACACAUCUUCAAAUUCAGCAAAGAAGGAAGAAGAUAAAGUCAAUGAUGGUUGUAAAGGUGGAAAUGAAGAUGAAGAGGCAAAGAAGGUGGAAAAAAAUGCCUCUACAAUUGCUAGGACUAGCAAUGAAGAGCAUGAAGAUGUUGAUGAUGAUGGUGAUGAGGAUUAUGAACCUUUGAGUGAGAAAAGACUAUCUUCAAAAGAAAAGAAGGUUAGAGGUGACCAUAGAGUGCAAUAAGUUGAGUCUUCUUCAAAUGAAAGGAAAUAUCCUUUGAGAGAUAGAAAACAAUAUGGUGAAUGGUAGAAGGACCAUAUUUUUCUUCAAGUAAGUAAAGAACAUGCCAAUGUUCCACUUCUUGCUGAUCCGUUGAGUUUAUGUGAUGCAAUGAAGUCCACAGAUGCUAUGAAGUGGGAGAAUGCUAUGAUAAAAGAGUACAAAUUACUCAUGGAUAAUGGAACAUGGGAAUUGACUCAACUUCCACCAAAUCAUGUUUCAAUUGGUUGUAAGUGGGUAUUUAGAAUCAAAAGGGAUGUAAUGGGCAAUAUUAUGAGAUAUAAGAUAAGAUUGAUUGCAAAAGGCUACUCACAAGUUGCUGGUAUUGAUUUCAAUGAGACAUUUGCUCCCGUGGCCAAAUUCACCACCAUUAGAACCAUUGUGGCAAUUGGAGCAAUAAUAGACUUAGAGAUGCACCAAAUGGAUGUGAAGACGGCUUUCUUGAAUAGAGAAUUAGAAGAAGACAUCUACAUAGAUCAACCUUAAGGAUUUGUUGAAGAAGGCAAACAGCAUCUUGUAUAUAAGUAGAAGAAAUCCUUAUAUGGGCUCAACCAAUCAUCAAGGACAUGGUACCAAGGUAUCGAUACCUUCUUUGUGAAUGAAGGACUUGUGAGGAGUGGGAUUGAUCAUUCUUUGUAUAUAAUACAAUCAAAAGCCUUCUUGCUGAUUGUUAUUCUUUAUAUUGAUGAUUUGAUCAACUUGACCAAAACUUUGAAAAAGAUGGAUUGGUUGAAAGCAAAGUUUGCAAAAGAAUUUGAAAUGAGUGAUUUGGGAGAGCUCCACUAUUGCUUGAGAGUAGAAUUUGUGAGAGAUCGAGCUAAAAAGAUCAUUACAUUGAGCCAAAAGAAGUAUAUUAAAGAAGUGUUGAAAUGGUUUAACAUUGAGGAGUGCAAGUCCAGUGGAACACCUUUGGGGGCAAAUUUGAAGUUGAUGAAGUUCAUGGAUGAAGAAUUUACUAAAGUUGAAAAAGAAAUGAAAGAUGUUCGAUACAAGGCAGCAGUAUGUUCACUUACGUAUGCAAUGGUUGGUACAAGGGUGGAUCUUGCAUAUGUGGUGAGUGUUGUGAGUCAAUACAUGUCAAAGGCUGGACCAAUUCAUUGGACAACCAUUAAAAGGAUCUUGAGGUACUUAAAAGGUACUUUGAACUUCAAAUUGUAUCUUAGAGGUGUUAGUAUUGCAUUGCAUAGAUAUUGUGAUGCAAAUUGGACUGGAGAUGUAAAUAAUAGAAGAUCAAUAAUGGGAUAUGUAUUCUUUGUUGGAGUGGGAGCAAUCUCAUAGAAUUAUAAGAGACAACCAAUAAUUGUAAGGUCUACAAUGAAGGCGGAAUACAUGGCAAUAAGUCAUGUUGCAAUGGAUGCAAUAUGGCUAAGACAAGUUUUAGAAGACAUUGAAAUUGUACAAUUGGAAGCAACUCCAAUGAAGUGUGACAAUCAAGGAUGCCUUGCUUUUGCCAAGAAUCCAAAGCAUCAUUCAAGGACAAAGCACAUUGACAUUCAACAUCACUUCAUACGGAAGAAAAUUGAGAUGGGAGUAAUUGACAUGAAAUAUUGUGCAAUAAAAGACAUGCUUGCUGAUUUGCACACAAAAACAUUGGUGAAGGAGAGACAUUAAAAAUCGAAAAAGAUAUUAGGUUUAUUAGCCUUUAACCAAUAACAAAGUGAGAGUGUUAAAGUAAAUGGAGGAUAAGUUAAAAGGUAAAAGAUAUUAUCUUACAUAAGUUGCUAAUGGUCAAAGGGUAGCAAAAGGAUGAAGGAAAGUUACCAAAGUGGCGGCUAGGGUUAUAGGUGGCAACUAGGAUUAUAGGUAGCAGCUAGGAUUAUAGGUGGCGGCUAGGGUUAUAGAUGGCAGCUGGGGUUUAAAGUGGCGGCUAGAUUAAGAGGAAUCUAGGGUUUAAUUGGAUGAAACUAAGAUGAAUGCUAGCUAAAAUGGAUGUAACAUCUACCUAUAAGUAAAGGGUGUUGGAAGUGAGAGGCAUUUCAUUCCACACUUUUCUUGUAUCUAACCUUGCUGAUUUCCACUUACUUAUAUCUUCCUUAUUGUGUUUCUUCAAUACUAGUCUACACCAACUACAAAAUUUUUGACUUGAAGUAGCGACAUAUGCCUAAAAAUUUAGAGUCCUUAGAUCUAAGAGACAAGAAGAGAAAAAUAUUUAAAAAAUAACAAAAAAAAGUAUUUUUAUUAAGUCCUAAAACUUUAUCAAUAGCCAUUGUUCUAGGAAAUCUGAAAAUCUCUUUUGGGCUACUGGAACAAAGAGAGCUAGAAAAAAUUUCAGCUUGUGAGCCAAUUUCUUUUUAAAUGGUUUAUAUUUUCUUUUCUUUUUUUCUUAGAUAAUUCUAGACAAAUAACUAUUACUACUAUCCUUAGUACAAGACAAAAAUCUAAACAUUUUGAAAAUAAUACAAUUAUUCUAAGAAGAAAUCACCAUUUUAUAUCUUAUCAUUGAAUAUCUAUUUAUCUAGAAUUUUCUAUCUCUAUUUUACCUAACCAUCAUAUUUUUUAUAUUCUCAAUCCAAUUUUUUUUAUCUAAAACUAAAAAUAAAUAAAUUUGAAAAGUAACAAAUAUUCAAGAUGGAAUAUUUAUGAAUCAAGGUUAAAAUCAAAUCUUUAUCCAUUAAACCACAUGCCUAUGACAUAAGCAGGGCUAAUUUUUUAUUGGUUAGAUAGAAAUAUUAAAAAAAAAAAAAAACUUAAGAAGGAUUUUAGAUGUAUUGGUUUUGAAUAAAUUGAUUUUGUAAUGACUUUAUAAAAAUUAUACAAAGUCAAGAUUGAAUUUGGAUGACUCUAAUUUUGAUAAAUAAAGUAGAAUUCAAAUUUUGAAGAAUUAUGUGAAUUUUGUAUCAGACUUACAAGUGAAAUUUUGUGUGUUUGUACACAUAUUUGUAUUUAUUUUGUAACAUAAAUUUAAAUUCAAUAAAUUAUUUAGAUUAAAAUUUAGUAAAAUUCUAGGAGAUUAGGAUAUCAAUUAUUAGUAUUUUAAAGAAUAAUAAAGACUUUAAAAAAAUUAUAGCACUAUUUCAAUUGGAUUAAAGUAAAAUUUGAUGAAUUAAUAUUUGAUACAACUGCCAACAUUUAUACAAAUUUUAGAAGCAAAAUAUCAAUAUAAGAAAGAGAUCUUGGCAUUGAGAGCUCAAUUUCAAGGUUAGAAAAGAAGCCUAUUCCAUAGUUGAGCAAAUUAAGUGUCUUUUCUCUUAGUAUUUUAGCAUAUUUCUUCUAAAUAUUUUUAAACUCACUAUCAAGUAGGAAAUUAAUAGGUGUACAAAUUUGAAGCAAAAUUAACAAUUUAAAAAUAAAUCAUAAGAAUUUUGAUUCAUUAUUAGAUCUAUUUACAAAUGAUUAUGAUUCAUUCGAAUUUGGUUGGGAUUUUCUUAGGAUUUAUUUAAGAUUUCUUUUUAAUUUAGUUAAAAUUUGAUUAUGAUUGAAUUAGUAUUUCUUUAAGAUUUUUUAAAAUUUAAUUAGGAUAUUAGUAACUCAUAAAUUACUAAAGAUAUUCUUAAGACUAAUUUAAGAUUUUUUUAAUUAAAAAAUUUUUAUAAUGUGAUUUAAAUUUUUUAUAAUUAUAUUUGGAAUUAUUUAUAGUUUUUUGGAAUUUAAUUAAGAUUUUAUAGGACUUAAUUAGAAAUUCAUAAAAAAAAAUAGAUUUUAUUAGAUUAUUUUAAAAUUUUAUUUAGAAAUUUCUUUCGGAUUUCAUUAAAAUUUAAUAAGAUGUAUUUAAAUUUUUUCUAGGAUUAAUAGGAUAUACUUAGAAAAUCUUAGAACUUACUUUGGACCUUAUUUAAGUUGUUUAUGUUUACAUAGUUUGUAAUUUAAAAUUAAUAAAGAUAGAAAUUUAUUACAUUAAGGAUUCUAAAGAAAAUCAAGAUUACCAAGAUAGUGAUUUUAAACAUCUCAUGCAUUUUUUUGGAUUCUAAAAACUUCAAAAUAAAUUGAAAUAUUUUUUUAAAUAUUAAAAAAAUAUAUUAAUAAAUUGAAUUAAUCCAAUUUAUUGAGUUGAUUUCAUUUAUUUUAUUAGAGUUAUUAUUUAGCUAAAAAAAUAUUUCAAGAUUUACAACUUUAUUUGAAUAAAAAUAUAAGAAAAUUAAAAAAAUAUUAAAUAUCAUAUAAAGAAGAAAUAAAGAAAAUAAAUAAAUAUGAAGAGUGAGUGAUAUAUGUUAUAAUAAUUCAAUGUCGUCAAAUAAUGGUUUAAGACCAAAAUAGCAUGAAAAAAAUAUUAUAAAAGGUCAAUAAAAAAAUUAUGAAUUUAUUGCUAAUAGAUUUAAUAUAUUUAUAAUUUAAUAUUUAUUUAAUUUUUAAACACAUAACUUUACUUCUUUUAUUUUACUAUAAAUAAAAAAAAUAUUAUAGAAUAGAUUCAAAACCAAUAUAAAUAACUCUAUGACAAAACCAAGAGAGCUUUUUAAAAAUUUAUUAUAAAAAUUGUUAAAUCAAUAUUUGAAAGACAAGUAUUUAUGAAACAAGAUCAAAAUCACACUCCAAUGUAUAAAAAUAAGUUUUUAUAGAAAAUAGAGAUAUUUUUUAGAAAUUUGAUCAUAAUAUUAAGAAAGUGAUCUUAUAAAAUUCUAAAAUAUUAGAUUUCAUAAGAUUGUAAUUUUUAAAAAUUCUUCAUUGAAAAUAUAUAUAAUCAAUUUAAUUUCAAAGGUAAUAAAGAUAAGCAUGUUUUUUUAAUAGAUUAUUAAAAAUCUAAGUUUGAUCUAUAAUUUUUUUUUCUUAUAAAAUUAUAGAUAUAUAAGAAAAUAAAAAUUAAUAUUUAUGCGAUUUUUAUAAUUUAUUUAAGAAGUAUUGAAUCACAAAUACAAAUGGUAUUAGAAAUAAGAAAAUUAAAUUAAAUUUAUAAUUUUUAGAUGUCUUAAGAUUUAGAAAUUUGAUAAUAAAAAAAUUAAAGUUAUUAUUAUUAAUAAAAAAAUUAAAGUUAUUCAUAAAAAAAUAUGUUAUUUAAGCAAAAUACUAAGUUCAAAUAAAAAUUAACUAAGUUAGAAGAUUUAUCAAUUAGACUUUUUCAUCAAAUUUGGAAUAGAAGUCUCUUAAAGAUAAGUGAGGAUAUAAAAAUAAAUAAGUAAGAUGUAUAUUAAAGAGAGAUGAAAAAAAUAGUAUAUAUAUUCGAAAAGAAACUAAAUUGGCUAAGGCCAAAGAAAAGAAUAUUAAAAAUUCUUGAAACAUGACUAAAAAGAAGAAAGGUGUUGACAAGAGUGAAGAAGGCUUUAUUCAUGUUUCUACAUAUACUAUCUAAUUCAUAAUCUUAAAAUAUUUUUAAAAAAAAUAUUAAUUUUUUAUAAAGAUUGUUUUAGGAUUUUAUUUUUAAAAUUAUGAUUUAUGAAAGAUUUGUAAGGAGUUUUUAGGAUUUAAUUAAUAUUUUUAUAUAAUUUCUUUAAACUAUUUUUAGAAUUAAUAUGGAUUUUAUUAGAAAUUUUUAGAAUUUAUCAAUAAUUUGAUGUUUAAAAUAUAAAAGAAUAUAAGUUGUACAGUUGAUAGAAUCUAAAAUAUAGAAUACAAGAUUGCUUGGUUUUAGGAUUUGUAGAAGGUUAAAUAUGUCAAAAAAAAAUUAUUUUAAAUACCUCACUCUUUUUAUUAUAAAAAAAUUAUAGACUAUAAAUAGUUUUCUUCUACAAUGAAAUAUUUAUUACAUUCUAUUGCUUUAUUUUAUAUAACACAACAACAAUAGUAGAAGUAUAAUAGAUAAAGCUUUAGAUAUCUUAGUAGUUUAUAGAGUUGUUGCAAGAAGAUUAGCUUAAAGGUUAUUGUUGCAAAAAAUUUACAUAAACUUUGUAAGGAAAUAACACUAGAUUUUAAAGUAAUCCACUUUGUAGUUUACACAAUAUUAUUUAAAUGUGACGGAGGUAGAAAAAACUUAUAGAAUCUUUCUUUGAUUAUAAAUCAAAUACAAAUGUGUAUAAAAUAAUGAUUCAAUUAAAUUAUGUUCUUACUAAAUGAUAUUGUAUUUUUGUAUAUUAUGUCUUGGAUUAAAGACUAAUGUAUAAGAGCUUAGUGAUAAUAUAGAAUGAUGUUUUCUAAAAAAAUCAAUUAAGUUAUUACCUCAAUACAAAAAAAAUUGUAUAAAAAAAAUCAGAUAAGUGUUUGAUUUUUUAAAGUUCUAUUUAUAUUCAAACCAUGAAUUUAAGCUUUAACAGAUUACUCUAAUAUUUUAUUUUUUCCAAACUUGUAUUUUAUUUAUAUGAAUGCAGUUCGUAAUGAUAUAUUUGUAUUUUUAAUUUUAAUCAAUCUUUCAAUAGGAUUUAUAUAAAAUUUCUGAUAUUAUUCAAACACCUACCAAAUUAUAACAGCCUGCUUGAAACCUAAAAUUAAAAUAAAUUAUUGAAUUAUAUUUUAGAAAAAUUAAAUAUUAUUCCAGGUAAGCAUCAACCUUAAUUGCCUAAAUCAGAAAUUUUUCAAUUUUGUGCAAUAUUUGGUUCUAAAAAAGCACAAAAAUGGAUCAAUUCUAGAGUUAAAAACAACAUAAAUUUCACUUUAAAAUAUGUAUAUAUUUAUUUAUUUAUAAUUCAAAAUAAGAAAAUGAGAAAGAAAUAAAGAAAAAGAAAAAUAAAACUUAACACAUGCAGUUUCUCAAUCUGUUUUUGUACUUGUAAACGACCAUUUAUUCAGAAAACAAUCCAAAGCCGACGAAUGAAGAAACGAGCGAAUAGAUGAACGAAAUUUGAUGGAUGUAAACAUUCUCCGUUCUAAAACGGGGGCUGCAAAAGGUCUCGGAAGUCGCGAUUUGACCGCCAUCAUUGCCUCGAGAUCCCCUCGGGAGAUUCUAUGUCGGUGGCCCCGGGGGGGAUCGCAUGGGGAGCUUCGAGAGCGUCGGGAACGCGCUUCGGAGACCAGGUCGGAGACCAGCCCCGAGCCUCGUAGAAUCGUGUUGCAGAAACCACUUUCUUAAAUCGACUGUCUCGAGACAUCUGGGCCGUCAGAAUUUUAGAUUGAAUCCUGGCCGUUACAGGAUUUAUUGGGAACCAGGGGGGGGGUGGCAGGUUGGAGAGGGGCAGUUUGGAGGGCGGCAGGUUGGGAACUCAAAACCCAUUCCGGAUUGGGCCCCCACAGAUCCAUAUUCUACCCCCUCAUUGGGCCCACAUUAGUAGAAACCCAUGCCAUUGACCACAAAAAAGUUCCAAAAUAAAAUGUAGGAACUUAUUGUCUAAUGCUAUGCAAAUCUACAAAGAUUAGUACCGAGUUCACUUACAAAUGGGUCAAUCCGUAAAGGUGCAAACCUUCAAGUGCAAUAUAGUAUCAAGAAAUGCAAGUGAAGAUCGCAAUUCUUAAAAGAUUGUGAAUCAACGAGAAAAAAAAAAAAAAAAAAAAAAAAAAACUACAAUUUCAGAUUUUUUUUAAUAGUAUUCUUCACUGAAAAAAAUAAUUAAAAACACCAAAGUUUUACAAAUCCAUCGAAGCAUACCGAAAUUUUUCUCGUUAAGAAAUUAAUGUGGCAUUUUGUACCUAUUUGUAUACUUGAGGCUUCAAUAUGUCAAAAAUCAAAACCCAAAUAAUUUACUCAUCAUAGUGUUGUUGAUGAAAAAGAUUCCUUUUAUACUUUUAAAAAGAAGAUUAUCAAAUUAUCUGUUUUACCUUCUUUUUGUUUAAUUUUAUCAAAUACUUUAAUAAAUCAAAAUUUCAAAUUUAUUUGAAAACUCUGUAUUUCAUUUUCUGAUUUAUGUAUCACGUGACUUUAUUCUGAGUCUUUUGUUAAAAACCAUUUUACAUUUACAAAAUACAAUAAAUUAACAUGAACAGGGUUAUGGAUGAAAAACAGAAAAAUACACACAAUCUUAAGUUUCAGAUGCAUCAGUUCCUUAAACUGAAAAUUUAACUACAUAUACACAUAUAAAAACUAGGUUUAUCUGCUUAUCUGCAUAUCUGUUUAUGUUUUAUUUUCUUUUCUUAUCUUUUUUUUCCAUAACUAAACCAAGGUUGUUGAGUUAAAAAGUGUUUUUAAGCAAUUGAAUUGUGAUCUCCCCACUCUCCCCUGCUCGCCCCGUCAUGUCCCCUUCCUUGCUCCCUUCGCGCUCCCCUGCCCGCCCCCCUGCGUUCCCCAUCAGUUCCCAGUAGGCCCUGUAACGGCUAUUCAAUAUGGAAAUCUGACGGUCCAGAUGUCUCGAGACUGUCGAUUGAAGAAAGUGGUUUCUGCGACACGUAGUGACGAGGGGCACCGAGGCCUCCUCCUCCUUGAUGCAUUGGGGGGGGGGGGGGGGGGUCAUCGUCGUUGAAUGCUGCCACUGAUCCACACUCACCCUUAUCGCCCCCUCGUAAUUCUCUUCUCCACGAGAUUGUUAUUGUGCUUUUUUGCUCUCUCUCUCUCUGCGAAUAAUGCCUGCGGGCUUCAUUCCCCACAAUGCUAACUGCUUGCGCUGCAUCUCCCUCGCGCCACAUUACCACCUGCCCUCACUCUUGUACCUGCUGCUAGUCCACCGUAGUCAAGAGGGAAACAAUUAAGAGACAUGCUAACGGAAGAGGGGGAAGAUCCUCUGUGGGAGUCUCCCACAACUUGUGUUGGUAUCCGUUUUCGAGAGCGAGUUCUCUGUGAGUGUGUGCGUCGUCUUGGUGACCAGAGUGUUGGGCAAGUAAGUGGCGAAAGUUGCGAAAUUUCUGUGUGUUCUCCUAGGGUUUUCGUACUCCUCCGUCACUUCCAUCGCCAAUCAAGUCACUAAAUUGUUGAAUACGUUGUUGUUUUGUAGAAUUUGGGAAGAGUAAGGUUGGUGACAUUGUUGGGUUGUAGUGGGUGGGUCCGAUUCGUGUCGGAGAUGAGAGAUGCUGGGAAGAGUAGAGAGGAGUGGAGGAGAUGGUUUCACUUGUGUUUUUUUUUGCUUUUUAUUUAUUUGUUAAUUUUUUUGAAUAGGUUUUCUGGGCUCUUUUGUGGUGUGGUGCGUUUUGGGCUUGAGGUUUGACGUUUAUUUGAUGGCUGCCCUUCAGUGAGCGAUUCGAGUUUAUUGGUGAACUUGAUCCUCUUCGAUUGCGAAGGAACUGUUGUGAGGAGCUCAUUUUCAGUGUCUAUUGGGCGUAAGAUCUGGAUAAGAUCUUGACAAAUUAUACAAGAGUUUCCAGCUUUACUGUCAUCUUUGCGUGUUUGUCUUCUGUUUCUUCUAGUAGAUUUUUUGUCAAUUCUGUGUUCCACACCAUUUUAAACCAGACGAGACAUAUUUUAGUAGAUGUCGCAAACUAUAGUAGAUGUCGCAAACUAGGGCAGUUGCGAUGCCUGAUCCGUCGCAUCUGCUGAUGUUAUCAUCUGCACGGACAAGGUCCGCGCAUUGAGAGAGAGAGAGAGAGAGAGAGAGCACUUUCGAGGAAUUCUCGUAAUAUUCUUUGGCUUCACUUGAAAGUAGUUUGAGCCCUUAAGUACUAUGACUUCUGAAGAACGCGUUAGUAUCGGAGUUACGUUCUCUUUGCUGUGAGGUGCGAUAGACAGUCAUCUGAUGUUUAGGCAUGCUGUACUUGAGAGACGUGUUUGCAGUGAGAGUGAGGAAUUUCAGUAUUGGGAGCUAUCAAGAUUUUUGGACACUGUGGAUAUCACGCUGAUAGUGCUUCCAAGUCUAAAGCUGUACUUGAUUACCAAUUUACUCAGUUUUGGUUCUGUCUGUGUGUAGUCUCAGGUACAGUCCACUACUGAUGGGUUACACUGGGUUGGGCGUUUGAUGGAUAGUCGACUUUUCGCGGAAAACUUGUGUGGGUGAUAGCUCCUGAUAUGUGAUGUGUUGGCAGGUUCAGAAAAGUACUCGUUGAUAGCUUCGUUAGAGGUAAUUCUAUUGAACUCGAUUGAUUCCUGGAGGUUUAGAGCUUCUAUAAUAUGGAUUUUGAAAGCCGAUAGAUCUGCUUCUCCAUGGUGUAUUGCUAAUUUGUUCUUAUGUAAUUUGGAAGCCUUAGUAGAUUCUUUACGCCCUCAUAUUUGGUUUUUUCCUUUUUGAGCGGGUGCAAUUGUGGAUGUCUUCUGGGCGUAGGUCGAUCACAGGCUGGCAGAUUCAAUUGAACGCGCAGUAACUAUGGACAAGGGAGUCUGCAAAUUCGUAUGCUAAGAGUCCGGGGACAUAUAGAAUCAGUUCAACUUGUUGGCUCUUUCUCGCUUCAAUGGCUGGGGAAGCUUUAACUUCCUCUACGGCUCAAGGGUUCUGGGGUCCCAUUACUGCAAGCACAGAAUGGUGUGAGAAGAAUUAUGAGGUUACACCGCUGGUUGCCGAAUUUUACAAUACCAUUUCCAAUAUCCCGGGUAUCGUUCUUGCAUUCAUAGGUGUAUAUUAUUCCAUCAGCCAAAAAUUUGAAAGGCGGUUCAGUGCUCUUCACUUAUCAACAAUCGCUUUGGGUAUGGGUAGCAUUCUGUUCCAUGCCACCCUCAGAUAUGCGUAAGAUCUCUCACCCUUUCCUAUCACUGAUUUUCUUCAGAGAGUUCGAACCAUAGAGUGAAAUCCUAUAAAUAAAUUCCUAUUGUGCAGCACCGAUUCUCUUAGUUCCCUUUGUCUCUCAAAACGAUUCCUGUGGGUUCUGUGGGCAACCUUCCCAGCGUCUUUGUUUUUUCACGUUCGCAUUUGAUAUCGUUUUCUUAACUGUUGGCGAUAGUUUCACCCUAUGCACACACUUUCUCUGAUUGACUCAGUUAUCAUGUGGUAUGAGAGGUCCUCCAUAAUUCUGAUAUACUUGUCUGUCUGUGCACGUGAUCUACGCAUUAUGAGCAGUCAACAGCAGUGUGAUGAGACGCCUAUGGUUUGGGCAAUGCUCCUGUACAUUUAUGUACUUUAUUCUCCCGAUUGGCACUACCGCAGCACAAUGCCCACAGUCCUGUUCCUGUACGGAACUAUAUUUGCCAUUCUGCAUUCGCAAUUUAGAUUUGUUGCUGGAUUCCAAGUGCAUUACGUCUUUUUGGCGUUGCUUUGUCUCCCGAGGAUGUACAAGUAUUACAUGUACACAAAGGAUCCGCUGGUGAGAAAGUUAGCUCAUCGGUAUGUUCUGUGCCUUGCACUUGGAGCUAUAUGUUGGUUGGCUGAUCGGCACUUGUGUAGUUGGAUAUGUAAGUUGAAGGUGAAUCCUCAAGGCCAUGGUUUGUGGCAUGUUCUUGUGGGUUUCAAUUCAUAUUUUGGAAAUACGUUCCUACAGUACUGCCGAGCACAGCAACUCAACUGGAACCCGAGGAUUGAAUACUCGUUGGGAGUUUUACCCUAUGUGAAGGUUGAGAGAAGUGACAACGAUCGGAAGGAGGAAUAGGAAUGCUCACGAGCACCCUGAGUUCAAAUGACGUUUUCUGCAUGCUCUCUGGAGCUUUCUUGAGGUGCUUGGUUGCUGAGAAGAUACAAAGAUUGUAUCCUUGAUGUAUGAAAGCCAACCACUGUAAUGUAUUAUUGGUUAUACCUCAUACUUGAAGGCUGAGAUACAUCUUGUACGCACGGUAAACAUAUUUUAAUGUUUAUCUUAUCGAUUGAAUUUUCUGACUAAGUGGGGGCAGUGAAGGAUGAACACAUAGUCAAGUUGGUCAACAAUCUAAGUAUGAAGGGUCUCAAUGGGAUUUUUUGUUUUUUAUUUCUUUAUUCUUUAUCUGGGUUGCUGUUCCUGAGUUGCUUGUAUUUGACACUCACAAAUGGUUAUUCCUCAUUCCUGACUUCCAUUGGCACAUUGGAAAAUAUCUUCUUCACUGAAAAUAUUCUUCAGUUAAAUCUUCGAGUUUAUUUUGUCAUGCUCUCGUAUCUGUUUGCCACUCUCUGAGACAAGCUCAGAAAGAGAGACCAUGCCCAAACCAUCCACCUGGCGGUUAAUGGUACCAAACAGUAUUCCUGCAAUGGAGAUUGAGAGUUCGGCUGAAUAUUUGUUAGAAUGCAGAAUUUGAAUUACUUCAAGUGCAGGAUGGGCACCCUUUGUUCCAGAUAGCACCAGUUUUGGUCAAUAAUUCUCAUUCUGAAAACUUUAAUCGGAUCGUAACACAUCUUGUCUUGUAAAGUAGAAUGGUUCUAUCAGAACAGAUGAUUGGUUUAUUUUUAUUUUUAUUUGUACCCUUCAUCACUGACAAUAAGCAGACCAGAGUGAGGUGGUUCGGAAGAGUUUGUCAGUCCGACGCAGGGCUGUAGGACAUGGCGGUUUGUAGAGCAUCCUGGAAAGGUUUGGAAACGAAUCUCGUAGUGGCCAGUUGUGAUUUGACGUUCUGGGCAUGUUCGCUUAGUUGUUAGAAAUGGCACACCUGUCCAAAUAUUAUUUGGAAAGCUCAAUACCGACCACAAGUUAUUGAAAUGUUUGUGAUUGAUUUCUUAACAGUAAAAAUAAAUUAGAAAAAUCCAAACAUAUCAUUUGUUUGAAAGAUAUGAUAUAUAUAUAUAUAUAUAUAUAUAUAGAGAGAGAGAGGGAGAGUAUCUUGCUCAAUACUCUCUCUCUAAAUAUAUAUCAAGAUAAAUAAUAAAAAAAUUAAUAUCGUGGAUUUUCUUAGAGAAAUUUAUCACUGAAUAUUUUUUUAAAAUUUAAUUUCUUUAAUAUAAAAAGUAGACAAAAUAAACGUUUUUUUUAUUCUUUUAUUUGUUGGAAGUUAAUUCUAAACUUAAAGUAACCAAUAAAUAUUCAUAAAAAAAGAAUUAGGUUGCUAUUCAUCAUGAAUAUAGCCCAAUUUGAAACCAAGAACAUAAAUAAUCUAUUUUAUUUUAUUAUGGGGUGUUAGAGUAAGAGAAUGCCUUGAAGAUAAAUUAAUAAAGUAUUGAGAGGCCAGUAAAAAAAAUUAAAAAAUAAAGCUAACAUAGAAACCACCAUAGAAUGUUAUUUGCUAGAGAAGAAAAGAAGAUCAAGUACAAAUAUUAGAGAUUAUUAAUUAAAGACAUAAAAUAUGAGUCUAAAAGUCACAAACUCUACUUGAAGUUGCCAUCUUUAUUUUUUUUCUUUGAAUCUUAGUAAAAGGUAAUUUUAUUAUAUAUAAAAUAUUAAAAUAAUUAGUAAUAAAAAUAAAAAUAUAUUAUAUAUAAUACUAUUAAAAGAAAUUAUUUUUACUUUCAUAAAAAAAUAAAAGUCUCUAAGGAAAAAGAGAACAUAAACAAGGUUUAUCAACAUUAUUCAACAAAUGAAUUGCAUUAACUUUUUCUACAUUGACAAGUCAUGUAGGCUGAUUUAUGAGAUACUCUUGAUUUUAUCCAAUUCAAUGUCCAUCCAUUGUUUCACAACUUGAAUUUUUACUUGAAAAUGCAUCAGGCACCUAGUUGUAGAAGGUAAAUAGAAAAUACAACAAUAAGAUCCUACCAAGUCUAAUAGAAUUUUAAAUAAGGUCUAAGUAAUUCCUAACAACUAUAAUCAAAUUUUAAGCAAUCUAAAAGAAAGUUAAUAGAAAUUACAAAAGAAACAUAAAGAAGUCAUAAAUUAUUUUUAAAUAAAAAUAAUGAAGAUAUCUUUAAAAAAUAUAAAAUAAAAUCUUUAAAUAAAUAAUAAUAAUUUAAUAUACUAAAAUAGAAAUAUUAAUAAUUCUUAAAUAAAUCCUAGAUAAAUCCUAACCAAGUCUUGAUUAAAUCCUAAUCAAAUUCUAAAUCCUAGACCAAAUCCUAAUCAAAUCCUAAAUCCUAAUUAAAUCCUAAACAAAUCCUAAAUAAUUUUGAAAAAAUCUCAAGUAAAUCUUAAUUAAUUAUCAUAUUUAUUUUAAAAUCUCAAUAAAUAUUAAUUGAAAAAAUCAUCUUAACUAAAAUUCUACUCACAUGUCAAUUCUCAAGCUAUUAACAAGCAUAUAAAUUUUGAGGAAAAUUGAUUCACUACUUCAAAAAAACAACCUCCUAAACUGCUUAGAUAUUGGUUGCCUUCCUUCUCCAAACCAAGUGUUGAUAUUCCAAUAGCAACUUCUCCUUGCUAAGCCAUUUAAUUUCUUAAAUUUUUUUUGAUAUGUAGAAUUCUAAGUCUAAAUAGUUGUCACCAAUUUUUUCUUCAAUUGAACUGACAAAUGUUGCAAGAUUGCAAUAACCCUCAUUGAUCCUAAAUUUCAAUUAUCUAAGACCAUAAUUCACAAAAACUCUCAUAAUUGUUUUGUUUAAUUGUUGAUUAACAUCAAUUUUUUCAAACACAUUCAAGACAAAUAUAAUUACAAAUUUACAAAAUUUUAUUUGUAAACAUACUAUAACAAUCACAAAAUUCUAAAAAUUAUGUUCUUUUUGUUUUUAAAAAUCCAAAUCCAUUGAAUACAUCUCUUUCUUUGAAAAGCCCUCAAAACUUCAAUAUGCCUUCAAAUCAUAUAAAAAAAACUCUCAAAAAUCCUCUCACAAGAGUGUUAUCAAAUCCACUCUUUAAUCAAUCAAAAAAACCUUGGAAUUGCUAAAGAUAUAUAGUUUUGUGCCUUAGGAUCUAAUUUCAACCUUGGUUCACAAUGUGUCCUUUCCGAGUAUUAAUUCUUGAAAUUUUGAGGUAAUUUUUGGUAAAACUUAGUCUUAACUUCUCCUUAAAGAUGUCUAUAUUAAUUACUUAUCUUAUUUAAUUUUAUUUGACUCAUUUAUGCUCCUAUAAAUUAAAUAGAAGUCUCUUCAAUAAAAAGGUAAUAUUAGUAUUUAUUAAAUUUUCUUAUCUCUUUAUCUAUUAUCUAUAUUUUAAAGAUAAUUUACUAAAAUAUAUUUAUUUAAGCUCCUCCAUAAAAAUAAAAAUAAAAUCUUUCUCCUUUUAUCUAAUAGUUAUGUUACUAUAUGACAUUGUUGCUUACAAGCAAUAACUAGGCAACAAAUUGUGCAAAGAUUAAAUGACUUUAAACAAAGUAAGAUUCAACUAAAAGAAAAGGAAGGGUAUUCUCUUUUGUCAUAGAGAGGAGGGUGCUCUCUUUUCUUGUAGAAUGGAGAGAGGGUAUUCUUUUCUCUCACAAAAGAAAAGAAUAUUUUACUUGUAAAUAUCCUUACCUAAAGAAUUUUUUGGUUAAUUGCUCCUUUCUAGCAACAGCUUUGUCCAACGUUGAAUGACUUCUUGUAUUACAUAAAGAAGUUGACAACAUUCAUGGCUACUCUUAUCUCUUACAAAGGCCCUCAUUUCAACCUUAUUUUAAUUUCUAUUGUAAAAACUUUUGUGGCUUCUUAGCAAGUUGUUAUCUUGUUUGUUGUAGCUUAUUUUAAACUUUCAUGCUCUUAUUAUUGUAGUAUCAAGAAUUUUGACAUGAUUCAUUCAAAUAGAAGUUGUGUACUUUGAUAUCAAUUAGGAGUGUAAUACGUUAGGUAAUUAUAUUUAGAUCUUUGGUUAUAUGAUGAAGGCAUGGUUAAGAUCGUUUUGGUUGGGAUAGAGUGUAGCAUGAUUAUUGUAGUAAGUCCAACUAGUGGACACACACCCUUUUUUUUUAUACUAGUUCAAUUGAUUCAUAUUCAUGAGGUGUAUUGUAUAUUAAUUUGAGGUUGUUACAAAAUAUAUUUCAAAGUCUAUGGCGUUCUUCAAGGUGGAUCCUUUUUAAACAAGGUGUAGUUCAUUUGAUUGUACAAUAUCUAAUAGCAAAGCAUUUAGUUCUAAAUUUGAUUGUACACUCAUGUUUGGUUUUUUGGAUUAGCAAUAAGCUCAUAAAGAAACCACAAGUUGUUGCUCCUUCUUUAGCCUAUGGCCUUAAGAAACUUACUUCGUUUUCUUCUAGAGGUAAUUAUUUAUUUAUUUAUUUAUUUAUAUAUAUAUAUAUAUAUAUAUAACUUUCAGAUUUGAACUAGCAAGAAAUGACCUUCCAUGCUUUGGUGUUGAGCUUCAACUCAUUCCUUUAGCAUUUUUGUAUAUCAUGGUCAAGCGAUUUGUUAUGAUCCAAAGAGAUGAUAAGCUUAUUAGUAGCAGAUGUAGCAUCUUAGAUUUUUUGGAUCUAAGCUACUAAGCUUUAGUCAACUAAUGGCCAUUAAAUAUUCAUUGUAACUUCAAUCAUUAUUUUUGUCUCAAUGGAAAUCUUUGGCCUGAAUUACUUGCCUAUUAUAAUCCACUUUGGUGCUUGUUUUUAACCUUGGUAGAGGUUUCAAGAUAAGUUUUAACUAAAAUAUUAUGUCUUGAAAAAGCUAAUACAUUAAUUGUAGAUUUUUGUCAUAUAAGAUAUGUCAUGGGUUUCAAUUCAAGCCAUUAGUGAUGUUAAUUUUUUUGGAUUUGAAACUUUUUAUUGAUAAAUUAGUUCUAUUCAACUAUCAUUCCUUUGCUUUAGUUGCUUUUGCCUCUACUCUUAUUGAUUCAAUUUUUAUCAGUGAACAUAGAUAAAAAAUGAUAUACAUUUAAAGUUUUAUCAAAUUGUAUAAAAUAUUUGGUCUUUAAUUCAACAAUGUCUUACUUGUGUAAGAUAGAUGGAAUCUAUAUUACUAAAAGUUAAAUCUAUGUCAACUUUUGUUCUAGCCAAGUAAUGGAGGAUGUCAAGAACUUUUUGAUUUAUUGUUAAACCAUUAAUUUAUAUAGAUUUUUCAUAAUACAUCAUUAUCUUAGCAAUUGAUGAGUAGCCUACUAACAUUAGAACUAUAAUGCAAAUGUAUAAAACUUAGGUCAAUGAUGUCAAGUGAGAUCAUUGUUGUCUAUUUCUAAAUUAAAUGCACUUAUAUUGGAGCUUAUUAAAGCAGCAAUUGAUAACUUAAAAAAGUAGGAUGGAAAGUUUUCAAUGUCUUGUGAUAGAUAUAACUUAUCUUGAGCUAUAUUUUUGAGGUUUUAUCAAGUAAUACUUAUUGCUCCUUUAUUUUUCUUUCUUUCAAUUUCUUCAACAUUGAAUUGUUUUUUUACUAGUUUUAGCUUGAACUUUUGUAGUUUCUUUCUUUUCAUAUCAAUUUUAGGUGCAUAUUGUUCUAUGCACUAUUUUGGAAAUUGAAUGUUAUUAAUACUGUUAAACAUUAAUAUAUAUAUAUAUAUCUUAGAUCAAAAUAUUAAAAUUUGGAAUAGUAGCAAAAUAAAGAUAAUGGAUUUAAAGCAAUUCCAAACAUUAAGGGAAUAUAGACCUCUAUAAAUACCAUUGAUCUAGACUAUAAUUGUAAAUCAUUUUUAUCCAUAACCAUUUUUAUUCAUUAGCUGUAUCAAGUCACUUGUUUCCAACCAUAAAAUAUUUAUGAUGUAAUAAACUUCUACAUUUUUGUAAAUGUUACUUCGGCUGAAGGUAGUAAAAAUUUACAUUCUUUACAAAAUACAGACAAGAAUUUUUUCAAAGUUAUCUUGUAUAAAAUGUUUUUAUUCUAUGAACGUUAAGGGACGUCAAGAGCACCAACAUGGAAUCCACCCAAAAUAAAAACAUCUUGCUGGGGGAAUAGGCGAAAUAAGAUUAUUAUUUCAACAGAAGAUGUGAUGGGAUAAAGAUCAUGUACUUGAUACCAAAAAAAUUAUAACAAAAAAGAAAUCUUCUGCUGCAACCGUAGGACCUGAUCCACUGCUACUGUAUCAAGCUUCACAAAGCAAUGACAAUUUCCGCUCUCCGCCAAUGGCUGGCGCAGUCGUCGUCUGAAAUCAAUCGUUAGCAAUCUUCGGAGCACGCUGAUGAUCAAUUGUCUGUACAAUUCACUCUUAAAUAAGCUAGAGGAAUAGCCAAACUUUCUUACUCUGACGGCCGCAAUGGUCACUGCAACUUCAAGCGAGAAAAGUUUUUAACCUCGUCUCGGCUCCGUCGUGGUCUCAUGGUGACAAGGCUUUGACUGACAAAUCACUGAAAUGACACUGCAACAUGUUGGUCAACCGAAAGGUCACAAUAGCCAAACUUAGAAACGACAAGUGCCCCUUUGUCAACGACACUUGGGGUACUGUUCUUUGCUCCAACAAACUACCGCCAUCAGUCGAUUCGAAACACACCGACUACUUUGAAGAGAACCAAAAGAAAGACAGCACAACUGCAUGUGCCGCUGAUCGUACCAGGAAUCAAACAAUGUGGAACCACGGAGACUGAUCUCGGGAACACAAGUAGACUUCAACCUCAUUAAACCCAACUGACCACGGAAUGGGACACUGAGCAGGACUGGGACAGAUCUGUGCAGGUCUCGUCACCGCAGUUCAUUGGAUGAGAUGAGCUCCUCCUGCUUCAUCCAGAUUCGUAACACCGUUGGUCUCCUUCACUUUCCAGCAUGCAGAUCUGACGAAGUCUAGAAUAUACUUUUUGGAAAGUUAAUCAAAGAUUACGAGUGGUAUUUUACAAACACAACACAUGUAGCAAAUCAAAAAUAAAUAUAUAUGUAUGAUAUUAAAAUAUCAUCAAUCUUCAAAACAAUUAUCAACACUUAUCACAAUACUAGUAAACAUUUUGCACGAUUUUUGAUUUUUUUAGAAAAGGAAAAGAAAAAACUUCCAAUGACUUGUUGACAUGGAAGACCAUGGAUGGGGUCAGUUGGGUGAUAUCCAAUGUCGCAACAAAGAGAUGCAAGAACAGUAUAAUGUUGAUCACGUUCCGACAAGUUCACACAAGGCUCCUCUAGACAGCCAGCCUAUAUCUUAAUAGGUUGCUCAAUAAUGCAUCAGAAGACUAAGACGGUCGUCCACGUUCCACAACAGAUUUUGAAUGGUGAAUGUUCAAUGAGACUUGGAAGAAUCGAAACCCGUUGAGAGUUAGUCGUGUAGACCCUGCCCAGAGAUGGUACGCAUUUCAUACACAUUUCCUCAAAGUUGUAUCCACGAACAAAAUGAAACCCCAGGGGAGUGUGUUUUUCCUUUUUCUCUUUUUUUUUAUACAGAUAAAUUAUUGAUACGCCUCCUACACAGCCCGUUAGAGCGGCCGACCUAGCUCAGUUGGUAGAGCGCGUGGCUUUUAACCACGUGGUCGUGGGUUCGAGUCCCACGGUCGGCGUACCGAAAUUGAGAGUUGAUAGGCAAUCAUUGGUGCAGUGUUGAUGACCUCAAAAUCCUGUUUUCUACAAACAGACACAGCCUGGGUAGUAUUUUACAUAAUUUCAGAUAACACAUGGAGUCUACAUAUAAAUAUUAGUAUCAAAGUUAAUGCACUGAGUUUCAUGCAUUUUAAACGUUGGAAAUUUAUUAUGGUGAAUUAAAACUUAAUGAGACCAUUUUUUUGGAGUUUUAUUUGAAAAUCUACAGGUUUGUAUAUUUACAACCACUUCUAUAUGUAAAUCAUGUUUUAUCAAGCAGAUCAAUUUUAUUUUAGUGAUUAUUAGACUUUUCAUCUUAGUUUUACUGGAUUUGUAAAGAAAUUCUGAUUUUAGAAGUUGAUAGUAAGGUUAAGCAUUGCAAAAUUAUAAUCCAGGGAGUUGAUCUGAGGAUGAAUACAGAUAAUGAUAUACUGUGACAUUCUAUUGAGUGGUUUUUUGAUAUUAAAACUUUUAGAGUGCAUAAUAGCUUUCAGAGUACAGAAAAUAUUUUAGGAAUCUUAAGGUGAAAUUAAAGAGUAGCUUAAGCAUAAAUUAUGUAAAAAAUUCUUAGAUUGAUACCCUAAGAGUACUCAUUGUGAACCAUUGUUGAAACCAAAUUGUGAGGCACAAAAUUAUGCACCUAUGGCAAAUGUGAGGAUUUUUAUUUUAUUGGAGAGCAAGAUUAAAGAAAAAAAUUGGUAGGAUUUGUUUGACUAUUAAUUUUAAGGAAUUUGAAUAAAUAAUGACUUUGUGAAAGCUUUGCAAAGUUAAAGAUGUUUUAGAUGACUCUUAGUCUUGUGAAAUAAGGAAGAAUUUACAUGUUUAGGAACAACAUGAGUUUUGUAGCAAAUCUAGAAGUGAAAAUUUGUAGAUUUAUAAAAAUAAUUGUAUUAAAUGUGUAUUAUAAAAUUUUUCUUUGAUGAAUUAACAAGAUCAAGGUUUAUUAAGAUUUAAAUAAAGUAGAAUUUUAAAAAUUAGAUUUUAAAGACCAAUAAGAAUUUCAAUGAUUCUAAGAAUUUUUCUAAUUUUAUUAGAAUUCUUUUUUAUUGAGCUAGAAAUUAUUUUAUUUUAUUUCCUAUCAUCUAAAAUAAUUUUAAAAGCAAGUUAAUAGUGUAAAAAGAAACUAUUAAUAUAAGAAGCUUAAGAUUGAAGUUGGAAAAAAAAUGCAACUAACAACUAAGUAGAUUAUGAGCUUUUUAUCCUAAUCUGUAAGUUUAAUUUUUUUUUUCAAAUUUUGUGUUAUUUUGGUAAGAAUUUUACAAAUUUUAAAUCAAGAUCGAAAAUUAAAUUAAUAAUUAGUGAGGUUUUGAAUUGGCAAAAAGAUUUGGUUCAGAUUUCUUAAAAUUUGAUUAAAAUUUGAUUAAAAUUUAUUUAAGAUAUUUUAAGAAUUUAAGUAGAAUUUGGUUUAAAUUAAAUUAAGAUUUAAUUAUGAUAAAUUUAAUAUUUCAUUACAAUUUAUCAUAUAUAAUUUGGAUUUUUGUAGGAUAUUUAUUUAUUUAUUUAUAUGUUUAAAAAAAUAUUCAUGAUUCUUUUAGAAUUUUAUUAAUACCUCUUUAAGAUUUAAUUUGGAUUCAAUUAGGAUUGCUAAAGUAUAAUUGAAAUUUAUUUAUUAUUUUAUUAUAGCUCGUAGGUUCAUAUUUAGUUGCAAAAUAUAAGAUUACCUUUCAAGUCCUAGUAUUUGAUAUAUUUCAAAACAAGACAACAUGUAAUUCAACAAUGCUUAUUUUGUAAAGACAAAGUUUACUAUAACAAAAAAAAAAAAAAAAAAAAAAAAUCAAGCUUCAAAGAUAAUUUUUAUUACAUCACCAUUUAUUUAUUUAUUUAUUUAUUUAUUAUUAUUAUUAUUUUUAUUGAAGUGACUCUUUGUCAUAGAUAUAUACAUUUACUUCAAUGAUUACAUAUAUGAUUAGGUAGAAGUAGGUAAAUAUAGUUAAUUUUAUAAAGUCUUCUAGAUAAACUUCAUAGAAGCUUCAUAGACUCGGUUUUGAUUUUAGAUGUACUUGUAGGAUAGAAACUUUUUCAACAAGUUAACCACAUGUUGGUAGCUUGUGGAACAAGUUAAUUAUGUGGCACAUAUAUAGAUAAAUUACCUUGCAAGUUAAGACAUGUGGCUAACAAAGUCAACACAUGUUGGACGUCCUAUAGAAUAUUGCCAUGCAACUCUUAAUUAGAGAGUACAUAUGGAGGCAAGAGUGAAGCCUUCUUCACUCUUGUCAACACCUUUCUAAUCUUUAGUUUUGUUUCAAGACUUUCUAAUCUUCUUGUUUUUGGCAAUAGCCAUUUCAAUUCAAUAUUAUAUCAUCUUUGAAUAACAUUCUAGUUCUUUUUAGUGACACAAGAGUGUAUUGAAGAUUUUCUUUCUUCAAGAUUUAUAUCCUUAACAGUUUAACAAGAAUGUUAACAUAUUAUUUUUGUCUUAUUUUAAAAGUGAGUGGAUUACUUCACUUCUAUUUUUGUAUUUUGAAGGUUGUGAACUAACCAUCUUUAAAUAAAAAAAAUCUUAUUUUUUAGCAUUGAUCUUUUCUUUAAAGAGAGUGGAUUACCUCUCUUUGUAGAAAUUUUUAUUAGGGAUUAUAGAUUGCUUUCUUAUAAUUUAAUUUUUUGGAUUUGUUUGAGCUGUUUAUGGAAGGAAAGAUUAUGAAUGCUAUUCCUAGCAGAAGUGAGAAUAGAUUUGCAACUAUUACAUAUCUUCACAAGCUUGUCAAAACUCUUAAAGUGGAAAUUUUACUCAUUACUAAUGUCAACUAUGGGAGCACUAUUUCUAUACCUACAGAAGAAGUCUAAAGUCUACGUCAAGAAGUUCUGGAGCUGAGGAAAAUAAGUCGAUCAGCCUCACAACCAAAUUCAAGUGGUCUUAUUUUUACAAACUUAAGAGAGGCAAGAAUUAGUGCACCGAAGAUGUUUGAUGGAACAAGAUCAAAAUUUUGACGACUUUUAUAAUAAGUUAAGCUCAACUUAAGGUUACAUCCUUUCUCAUAUUAAGAUGGAUUUACUCAAGUUGACUUCAUAAGCACAUUUCUAUCUAGAAGUAUUUUUUCUUGAUUUAUAUCUUUGAUGGAAAAGGAUUUAUAACUUCUUUAUGAUUUAAAUUCAUUCUUAGAAGUAUUUAUGGCUACAUUAGGAGAAAGUGAUUGAGAACAAGUAACAAAAAUUAAAUUCUUAUCUUUAGGACAAGAAUCACAAUGAGCCACCACAUAUGCUACUGAAUUCCAAAACCUUGCUUAUGACAUGGACUGAAAUGAUAAAGCACUUAUCAAUCAAUUUUGAUAUGGAUUGAAGGAUAGCAUCAAAGAUUUGUUAUUAAUAAUGCCAAUAGUCAAAUCUUUGGAACAAUUUAUUGUUCAAGCCAUUGCAUAUGACAAUCAAUUAUUUGAAAGGUAUCAAGAACAAAGACUUGGCUGAAGAAGAACAAAUCAAGUAAUGGCAAUAGGUCCCAAGUUUUUUGAAACAUAUUCAUUAAGGCUAGAACUAAUGCAAAUUGAUAUGACAUGUUUUAAAUCUUUCACGGAGCAGGAAAAGACUCAACAUUGCCAAGAGGAUUUGUAUUAAAAUUAUGGAAAAGCUAAGCAUACUGGUCAACAUUGUUCAAAGAAGCAAUGUAAUUACAAAAUGAAGAGCACAAUUAUCAAAAAGAUUAUAUAUUGGAAAAUAAAUUUUUUCAACUAUAAUAGAGAUCAAGCAACUGGAAUCAUUUGUAAUACCUAAUAAAGGUUCUAUUCUCUCCUCAAAUGCCUCAGCUUAUUUUAUAAUAGAUAUAUUUUUAGGACCUAAAAAUCACAAAGUCUUUGUCUUAUUAGAUUUAAGAGCCUCAGCCUAUUUUGUAGACAAAGAUUUUGUCAAAAAUCAAAAAAUACCUUUAGUCAAGAAAAAUAAAUCCAUAUAUAUAGAAGUCAUAGAUGGCCAUUUAUUAUCUUUUAGAAAUGUUAUCCAUGAGACUGUUCCUUUAGAUGUAGCAAUUAAAGAUCAUAAGAACUUUUAAUAUUUAAUGUAAUGAGAUCUCUCUCUAAUUUGAUUAUUUUAGGAUUGUUAUGGCUAAAAAAAUAUAACCCUCAAAUAAAUUGGAUCUCUUGUAACUUUAACUUUCUCAGUAGUAUAAUCCAAGAUCAAGUUAGUGAAGUAGAAGUACAUAAGUUUAGUACAGCCAAACCUUUAUUAAUAGUUGCGAGAGCUUUCAUGCAUGUUGUAAAAAAAUGAUCAUCAUUUGAUAUAUAUACUACGUUCAUUUUAUGGUAAAAAAAUGUCAAGUGAUAUUUUUAGGUAAUAUCAAGAAUUUCAAGAUAUUUUUGAAAAGACAAAUGUAGAUAUUCUUCCAAAGCAUUGACCUUAUAAUUAUUUAAUUGAUAUGCAAGAAGGAACUUAACCAUCAUUCGGACCAAUCUAUAGCUUAUCGUAGAAUGAAUUGGCUGCAUUAAAAGAGUACAUUGAUGAGAACUUUGCAAAGAACUUCAUACGUCAUUCUAAAUUUUCAAUUGGAGCUUCUAUCUUAUUUGUAAAGAAGAAAGACGGAUCCCUACGGAUGUGUGUGGAUUAUCGAGGACUCAAUAAGAUCACCAUCAAAAAUAUGUAUUUUUUGCCUUUGAUUUCAAUACUUCUUGAUCAACUCAAUCAAACAAAGAUCUAUACAAAAAUAGAUCUACAAAGAAUAUAUAACUUAGUUUAUUUCAAAGAAGGAGAUAAAUUACAGACUGCUUUUUGAACUAGGUAUAGAUAUUUUGAGUAUAAUGUCAUGCUUUUUGGACUCACAAAUACAUCUGUCACUUUUCAACAUCUUAUGAAUGAUGUUUUUUGUGAGUUUUUAGAUGAUUUUAUCAUUUAUUAUUUAAAUAAAAUUCUAAUCUAUUCUAAGAAUAAAGAAUAAUAUGAAUUUUAUAUUUGUCGCAUAUUAUAAAAACUUAGAGAUGCAGGAUUAUAUGUCAAGUUGAAAAAGUGUAUAUUCUACACUAUUCAAGUUGACUUUUAAUGGUACAUCAUUUCUAACAAAGGCCUUAUGAUAGAUCCUAAGAAGAUUCAAACUAUCAUAUAUUAAAAUAUUCUAAGAAUACUAUGAAAUGUAUAAUAUUUUUUGGGCUUUACUAAUUACUACCAAAUCUUUAUUAAGAAUUUUUUUCAAGUUGCAGCUCCGCUUAUACGUUUGACUUGUAAAGACAAACUUGAGUGGAAUAAAAAAACAAAAGUAUCAUUGGCUGCUUAAAGAAAGAAUUUACUUUUGUACUAAUCUUGUAUUGUGUUGACUUUUCUAAGGUAUUUUUUAUGGAAAUAGACGUGUUAAACUUUGCUUUGAGUGUCAUGUAGUAACAAAUGGGAACAAAUGAUAAAUUCCAUCUAUUAGCUUUCUAUUCGAAGAAAUUUUCAGCAGUCAAGAUUAAUUAUGAAAUCCAUGUCAAAGAGUUCUUUGCAAUCGUGGAUUCAUUUCAAGAAUGGUGUCAUUAUCUAGAAGGCGCUUCAAAUCCAGUCACCAUAUAUAUGGAUCACAAUAACCUUGAGUACUUCAUAUCAACUCAUAUUUUGAAUCAUUGUCAAGCUCGUUGGAGCAUAUUUUUAUCCAAAUUUAAUUUCAAGAUCACUUAUUGACUCAAAAAAUAAUAAGUUUUAUUAAUUUCUAUUUCUAGAUAUUCUUAUCUUUGAUCAAAAGAAGAUGAUGAAUCUUUAAAUCAAUAAAGAAUAAUUCUCUAAAAGCAUGAAUAUUUUCAUCUUCAAGCAAUAAAAUCAAUAUUAACUAUUGAUUCAAUCUUUAUCAAGUAAAUUCAAUCAAGUAUAUCCUUUGAUCUUCUUGUUCAUGAUAUCAAAAAUAUUUCUUCUACGUUCUAUGUCACUUCAAAGUUUGAGUUCAAAAACAACUUAUUAUAUUUCAAAGAUUGUCUAUAAAUUCUUAAAUGUGGGAUAUGAUUACGUGUCUUUCAAGCUCGUUAUGAUUUUCUAGCAGCCGGAUAUUUUGGAAACAAUAAGACUUUAGAGCUUAUAUCAAGAGAUUUUUAGUGGCCUCAAAUGUGGAAGGCAAUCAAAGACUUUGUACAAUCAUGCGAUACUUAUUCAAAAUCCAAAACUCCUCGCCAUCAGUCUUAUAGACUUUUUCAACCAUUACCAAUUUCAAAACAACCAUGGAGUUUUAUUUCUAUGGAAUUUAUCUCAGAUUCUAUUGCUAUUAUAGAUUAUUAAAGGAUAUUCUUUUGGAUAUGGGGACUCAAUUUGUAUCAAGUUUCAGAAGAAUCCUAUUCAAGAUUCUAAAGGUAGAUAUAAAGCUUUCUUUGGCUUUUUAUCCUCAAAUUGACGGACAAAUAGAACGAGUUAAUUAAAUUUUGGAGUAAUAUUUGAGGUCUACCACCAACUAACAUCAAGAUGAUUGGACAACUCUUUUGCUAUUGACAGAGUUUGUAUACAAUAAUUUGGUACAUUCUUCUACUCAAUAAAUACUUUUUUUUGCUAAUUAUGGUUAUCAUUGACAACUUGAUAUUUUUAACUUUUUAAAAGUUGAUAAUCUUAUAAUAAAAGAUUUAGCAAAUCUUUUGUCAAAGCUAUAUGCAACAAUGAAGACACAAUUAAAAAAAAAACUCAAGAACAACAAAAGACCAAUGUGGAUGCUUAUUGCAAGGUAUAACCACAAUUCAACAUAUGUGACAAAGUAUGAUUACUUUGUUCUAAUAUAAAGACUACUUAUCAUUGUGAUAAGUUGGACUAUUGUAAGUUGGAACAUUUUUUUAUUUGUGAACUAAUUAAUCCUAUUGCUUAUCAAUUACAUCUACCGGAGUCUAUGAAAAUCUACCUUGUAUUUAAUAUGUCUCUUUUUGAGCCGCAUAAGACAAUGAAUAUCUUUGGAGGAAGACAAAUGCCACCUCCUUCUAUAGAAGUAGAUAAUAAUGAAGAGUUUGAGGUAGAAGAAGUCUUAGAUUGAAAGCGACGCUGAAAUAGGUUGGAAUAUCUUAUUCAUUAGUGCAGAUAUGAUAUUAAUAAAUAUAUAUAGGAGCCAUCAAAGAAUCUUACAAAUAUAGUAAAGAGAGUUUAAAUCUUUCAUUAACAACAUCUAUCAAAAUCAAGAUGAAGAAUAACAAAACUUUGUUAUAAAAGAGAUAAGAUCAAAGCAAAAUAAUAAUCUAUCUUCUAUCUUUCUUUGUAGCUUUUGUGUAUUUGUGACGUUAAAGAGAUAGAGAACUAAAAACCAGUAGAUUCAACUCAAAAGCUUUUAUUUGCAGACUUACUAGAUGAGACAUUAUAAUUGUGACAACCUUUAAGAAGAUAAAAUCAGGAUGAAGAUCCUCAAGAAUUACAUGUCCUUCUUCAAAUAGAUGGUGAGAUACAAUAUAUUUGAUAUCACGACCUUAGAAGUGACUCUUAAUAUUUGGUGAUUUUAUUAGAAGUAAGAACAACUCGUGACGAUGUUCUAAAUAUUUUAUUUGAAGAAAGUUACAAAGGCCUCAACAACGAUCAAAUAAUAGGGUGGUCUUCUCACCCUAAUAUAGGACACUAUCGAUGGCUGAGAAGGCCUAUCAACCAUCUUUGUAGAAAGCAAAGAUCAGAAUAUGUGGCAAAUAUAAUUUGUCACAUCUUGAAUUUUUUCAAUAUAUGAAGUUUGCUCUUUAUGGAACUCGUCUUUAGAAGAAAGACUAAUGUCACAGACAUAUACAUUUAUCCUCAUAGUUACUUAUAUGAUUAGGUAGAAUUAAGUGAAUAUAAAUUAAUUUUAUAAAGUCUUUUAGAAAAACUUCCUAGCAGCUUCAUAGAAAUAAUUUUGAUUUUAGAUGUAUUUGUAGGAUAGAAACUUGGCCAACAAAUUAAGCACAUGUUAGUAGCUUGUGGAACAAGUUAAUUCUAUGUAGUAGCUUGUAGAACAAGCUAACUAUGUGGCACAUACAUAAAUAACUUGCCUUGUAAGUUAAGACAUGUAGCUACCAAAGUCAACACACGUUGGAGGUUCUAUAGAAUAUUGCCAUGUAGCUUUUAGUUAGAGAAUAUAUAUGGAGGCAAGAGUGAAGCCUUCUUCUUUCUUAUCAACUCUUUUCUAGUCCUUAGUCUUCUUUCAAGUCUUUCUAAUUUUCUUAUUUUUGACAAUAGCUAUUCCAGUUCAAUAUUAUAUCAUCUUUGAGUAACUUUCUAGUUCCUUUCAGUGACACAAGAGUAUAUUGAGGAUUUUUUUUCUUUGAGAUUCAUGUCCUUGACACUCUUUUAAGCCAUUUUGCAUAGAAAUAAAUACAUUAGAUUUUUGUCUUAGUAGAAUGUUGUUUUAAAUGAGAAAAAGUGAUAAAAUUCAUCCUAUAGCUUUUUAUUCAAGAGAAGUUUUUAGCAACCAAAAGCAAUCAUAUGAUUUGCAACAAAGAACUUUUUGUAAUUGUGGAUUCAUUUCAAAAAUAGUGCUAUUAUUUAGAAUGUACUUCUAUGCUAAUGGUUGUUUGUAUUAAUCACAAGAACCUAAAAUAUUUUAUUUGAGUAUGUAAUUUAAAUCUUUUUUAGUCUUAUUGAAGCAUGUUCUUAUUAAAAUUUAUAUUUAAUAUUACUUAUUCACUAAAUAAAUAAUAAGAUUUGUUAGAUGCCUUCUAUAGAUGCUUUUAUCUUGUAACAAAUAGAAUAAAAAGAAAUUUUUAUGAAUAAGAAACAAUUCUUUUGAAAUUACAAAAAUUUCAUCUUUAAGUUAUAAAAUCAACAAUGCCAUUUGAUUUAGAAUUUUUUUAUUAAAUUUAUUAGAAUAUUUAUUUAGAUUCUUUUAUAUAUAAUAUUAAAAAAGUAUUCUACAUUUCAUAAUACUUUUUAAGUUUGAAUUUAAGGAAACCUUUCUUAUUUCAAAAGAUGCUUAUAUCUUCUAAAAUAUGAGGUACAAUUAUAUAUUUUUCAAAAUUAUUGUAACUUUCUUGCAAUAAGAUAUUUUAUAAAUAUAAUAAGAUUUUGAAAUUACUAUUAAUAGGAUCUAAAGAAUAAAAUAUUUUAUAAUAUUAAGUGAUAUUAUUUUAAAAUCAAAGAUUUCUUGUAAAUAACUUAAUAGAUUUUUUCAACCAUUACUUAUUCUAAAAUAACCAUGGUCAAUAAUUUCAAUGAAUUUUAUUAAAAAUCUUUUAAAAUCAAGAUUUUAUGAUCUUAUAUUUGUAAUAGUGGGUCACUUAAUAAAAAUAGUAUAUUUUAUAUUCCAUAAAAAAUUAUUAUAAGUAAAGAAAAAUUUAGGUUUUUUUUAGCAACAUCUAUUGCUAUUAUAGUAUACCAAAAGAUAUUGUAUCAAACAAAAGAACUCAAAUUGUAUCAAAAUUUAAAAAAAAAAAAUUAAAAUAUUGAAGAUAGAUAUAGAAUCAUUAUCAUUAUAAUUAAAAAUUAAUAGACAAUCAAAGCAAGUGAAUCAAGUAUUAGAAGUAAUAUAUUUAUAAUUUAUUAUCAACUAUAUGUAAGAUAAUUAGAAAAUUCUUUUAUCAUUAGUAAAUUUUUUAAUAAUAAUAAAAUACAUUCUUUUAUUCAAUAUUCAUCUUUUUAUACCAACUAUGGAUAUUAUUUAUAAUUUUAUACUUUUUCUUUCUCAAAAAUUAAUAAUCAUUUGAUAAAAUAUUUAGCAAUUUAUUUAUUAAAUCUAUAAGAAACAAUAAAGAACAGUAAAAGAAUAUUCAAUGAUAAAAAAAUUAAUAUAAAUGGCUAUUAAAAGAAAUAUUUUAAAUUCUACAUUAGAAAUUAGAUGUGAUUAUUACAUUAUAAUAUUAAAACUAUCCACUCUUAUAAUUGAUUGGAUUAUUAUAGACUUAGAUCAAUUUUUUUUUAAAUAAUUAGAUUAAUUUAGAUGAAUAUUGAUUAAACCUAUAAGAAUCAAUAAAGAUUCAUGUUAUUUUCUACUUGUCUUUUUUAAAAAUAUACAAGGUAAUAGAUUUAUAAAGAAGAAGAUAAUUGCUACCUCCAUGAGUAGAAGUUGAAAACAAUUAAAAAUUUUAAGUUCAAAGAAUUUUGGAUUCAAGGCAACAUUAAAAUAAAUUAGAAUAUCUUCAAUAUUGGUACAGAUAUGACAUUAUUAAACGUAUAUAGGAGCCAUGUGAAAAUCUGAUAAAUAAAUUAUAUAUUUAUUUUUUAAUUUUUUUAUCAACAUCUAUUAAAACUAAAGAAUUAUUAUUAAUUAUGUGAUGGUAUAAAUAAAUAAAAAACAAGUUUAUGAAUCAAUUUGUAGAACUUUUUUGCAAACAUGGAGAAUCAACAUCUAAUAGAUUCAUUUUAAGAUUUUUUUAACCUAAAAACUAUUGCAAAAAUAAUGAAUAUCUUCAAAAGAGAUUUUACUUUAAAUAGAUGAUUAGAUAGAACAUGCAUAAUAUUAAAAUCUCGAGAAGAGAAUCUCAAUGCUUUGUAAUAUUAUUAAAGAUAGAUAUUAUACUUAUCAAAAUGCAAAAUAUAUUUUUUGAAGGUAAUUAUUAAGGCUUUAAUAAUAGUCAAAUAAUUAGAUAGUCUUCUUAUUAUGAUAUGAAAUAUUUUUUAUGGUUAAAGAAACAUAUCAACCAUCUAUGUGCAUAAAAAGAAAAGAACUUAUUACAAAUAUCAUACAUCAAAUCUUUAAGUUCAUCAACUUAUGCAAUAAUUUGAUAGCUCUUUAUGAAACCUACUACCUAGAAAAGAAGAUUAAUAUCAUAAACAUUUAUAAUUACUAAUAUCUAACAGAAGUAGGUAGAAAUAAGUUAAAAAUUUAAUAUCUUAUUACUAAUAUUCUUGUACUUGUGUCAAAAAUAAGAACUUGAAGAAUAUGAAUAACUAAGUAAGGCUUUUUUUAAAGAAAAAUAACAAAAAAUAAAUAAAUAAAUUUAUAUAUACAAGAAGAAUUCAAAAUAGUUAUUUUUGAAGAUUAGAAAAACUAGAGAUUGUUGAAAUUAGACAAGAAAUAAAGAAGAAAUUGAAAAAAAUAUGUGUAUAUUACAUAUUUAACUUAUAUAAGUAAUAGUUAACAUAUGGAAUAAAUUUUCAAUCUAUCACUUACCAACAAAUACUUAUAAAUAUAUAUUUGUAUCUAUAAAGCUUUUAAUAAGCUUAUUCAUAAGAUAUCAUCUUCAUUACUUAUUUUUAAUUAUUUAUGUUAUUAAUAUAUAUAUAUAUAUAGAUAUGAUAAUAUUUUCUUUUUUAGGUACAAGUUCUAUAAGAAGAAAUGAUUACAUAUUAAAAAAGUUAUAAAUGCACUAAAUUAUAUUUGCCAUAUAUUUUGAUUUUUUUUCCUUUAAAUAUAAUUGAUAGGUUUUUUGAACCACUAAUAAUAUUUCAUACCAAGGAAAAAAAUUCAAGUUGACAUUUGAUUAUUAUUAAGGUCUUUAUGACUUUUUUCAAUCAAAACAAUAGAAACACUAUCAAGAGUAGUUUCUACUUCCAAAAAUAUUAUCAAACAUUAAGAGUUUCUUCUAAAAUUAUAAAACCAAAUAUGUUAUAGCUUGCCAUCUAUUUAAAAAAGAACAUAUUUCUUUUGAAGGUCUUCACUUCUAUUAUGCCAUCUUAAAAUUUGUGAUAAUCUCAAUACUUUAUUUUGUUACAAAUAAAUUAUAUUGAAAAUCAAAUAAGAAGUUGAAUAAAAGAGUUUCAAUAAGAAAGUUAGCAAGAACUUUAUUAAAUCACAUGAGUACAAGAUUAAUAUCAAGAGAGGUUAGCUAAAGCUUUAAAAGAUGUAUUUUUGAGAUUAAAAAUCCUUUCAAACUUGAUUCUAAUAUAUAUUAGGUAUUAAAAACCUUCUUGAGAAAAUUCCAUGUUGCUUGAUAAUAAACCAAGCUUAAGAAGCUCAAAUAUCAUCUUCAAGGUUUUCUUAUUUGAAUUGACUAUAACAUAAGUAUUUUCUUUCUUGAGAAGGUCCAACUUCAUCUUAAAGAUGAUCUUGCAAAGAUUAUAAAAGUUGGAAUAGUUAAUCUAGUAGCCAUGAUAAAAAAAUAAAAAGGCUCCAACUUUGGCUCUAUUUUGAGAUUCAUGAUUUAAAAAAAAAUUAAACACUCUCCAACUUGACAUAUUGGAUCAUAAACUAGGUACACUAAAUUCUAAGGUUGUUGUAAGAAAAACUUAUUUUCUUUGUUUUAUAUAAUAUCAUAAUAGUAGCUUCAUAAAGAAAUCAUCAUAAAGUAGGUUUGGAUUUAUGAAGAUAGAAUCAAUGAAAUUCUUAUAUUUUUUGUUGCAUAUCACUUAAAUUUUCUAUUGAUUCUCAUAUACAAUCAUUAAUAUCAUAGUUGAAUCAAUGAAUAAAAUACUCUAACUUAUCUCUUCUUCAUCAAGAAUCAAAGACCUUUUGUACUUCAUAUUUCACAUGAUUUUUUAUUUCAAUACAAGGCAUUGAUGGUUGUAUAUUUCUUAGAAUAGUUGAUUUUAAAUAAGCCUCCAAGAAAAAAAAAUAUAAAAGACUAGAUGUAUCUUCAUGGAUGUGGAUAGUUUCAAUCGAUAAGCCACUAAAUUGAUUUGCUUUGGAAUACAAAAUUUUCCAAGUCUUUGGUAGUUCAAUUUUUUACAAAUCUGAUUAGACUUUAUAUUUUGUCAAAGAAACCAUACUUCAUCUUCAAUUUGAAAAGUUAUAAAGGACAUGAAUUUCAAAGAAAGAAAUCCUUAAUACAUGCUUGUGUCAUUCAAAAAAACUAAAAAGUCACUAAAAGAUGUUAUGAUGUUAAACUUGAAUGGCUAUUGCCAAAGACAAGAUGAUUUGAAAGUCUUGAAAUAAGAAUAAAGACCAAAAAACCAUUGAUAAGAGUGAAGAAGGCUUCAUUCUUGGCUCCAUAUAUACUCUUAACUAAGAGCUAUGUGGCAAUAUCUGAUAGAACCUCUAAAACAUGUUGACUUUGCAAGACAUAUAUUUUAACUUGUAAGACAAGUUUUCUAUAUAUAUUCCAUAUAAUAAGCUUAUUUCACAAUUUAUAAAUACAAGGUUAAUUUAUUGAUCAAGUUUUUAACCUACCAAUCAACUACAAAUAUAUAUAAAGUAAAAACAACAUCUAUGAAGCUUCUUUAAAAAUAUUUAUAAAAUAUAUCUAUUUUUACCUACUUCUACUUAAUCAUAUAUAUAAAUAUUAGAAUAAAUAUGUAUGUUUGUAAUAUUAUCCUUUUUUCUAGAGAAGAAUUUCAUGAAGAGUGAUCUUCGUAUAUUGAAGAAAUUCAAGAUGUGGCAAAUUAUAUUUACUACAUAUUCUAAUCUUUGUUUUUAUUAAAGAUGGUUAAUAGGUCUUCUUAGUCAUCAAUAAUAUCUAAUACUAGGAUAGAAAGACUACCUUAUUUUCAACAUAUUUUCAACAAGAAUCAUAGAUGUACUAUGCUUGUGCCUAUGGAAGAACUUCAAAGAUUGCAGCAAGAAGUUGUGCAAUUGAAGGAAUCAAGUAGAUUGACCUUGUAACGAAAUCCAUGGAGUUUUGCUUCUAUAAGUAUGAUGAGGACAAGAAUUAGUACGCCUAAGAAGUUUGAUGGAACAAGAUUAAAAUUUUGAAGAUUUUUACAACAAGUCAAGCUCUAUCUAAAGUUGCAUCCUUUCCAAUAUCCAGAUAGAUUUAUUAAAGUCGAAUUUAUAGGCAUAUUGCUAUCAAGUUAUGCUCUCUCUUGAUUUGUACCUUUAAUAGAAAAAAUUUUGCGACUUCUUUAUGAUUUGAAUUCAUUCUUAGAAGUGUUUAUAGCCACAUUUAGUAAAAAUGAUUAAGAAAGAGUAAUGUAGACUAAGGUCUUAUCUUUAUGGUAAGGAUGACGGUCAACCACCAUAUAUAUUGCUAAAUUCCAAAACCUCGCUUGUAAACUAGACUAAAAUGACAAAGCUCUUAUCAAAUAAUUUUGAUAUGCAUUAAAGGAUAAUAUCAAAGAUUUGUUAUUGAAAAUGUCAAAGGUAGAAUCUUUGAAAUAAUUUAUUGCUCAAGCUAUUGCAUGUCAUAAUUCAUUAUUAGAAAGACAUCAAGAAUGAAAAUAUGGCUAAAGAAAAAAAAUUAAAUAUUGACAAUAACUCUUAAGUUUUUAGAAAAUAAUUUAUCAAAGCAAAAAUCAAUACAAAUUGAUACAAUAGGUUUUAAAUUCUUCAUAGAGUAAGAAAAAAGUUGAUGAUAUUUUCAAGGUAGAGAGAAUUUGCCUCAAGAAAGCACUGAGCUUCUAGCUGCUACUAUAUGCUCAAUCAAGUCUAAGAUAUAAAAUUAUCAAGUUUAUAUAUAUAAUAUAUUUUCUUUUAGGAAAAUUACAUCAAUACAUAAGUCCAAGUAUCAAAAAUAUAUACAAAUAUAUGAUAAAGUAUCUUAAAACCUUAUAAAAGAUAUUUUUUGAAUAUCAACAAUUUAUAUUUCACGAUUGGACUGUUGAUGUAUUACAUGUUGUUUUACUCAGGAAUGCACUAGGCACUUAGCUAUGGAAGGUGAGAUUAUGUUUCAAAAGUAGCCAAGAAAUCCUAAUAGGUUUUAUCCAUGUGAGAAGAAUAUAAUCUGAAUUUCAAUUCAAAAGUGCUUAAAAUACUCUUCUUAGUAGUCUUAACCAUACAUAAAUCCCAAUCACCUUGUUACUUUCAUAUUUAAGCAAUUUAGAUUUUUCUUAUAAAUCCCAAUCCUAAUCAAUGAAUUUUAACAAGUUGUAACAUCCAAUCUGCCCAUCCACUUGAUAUAGAAUUUUGCAUACAAUUGUCAAUGCAAGUCUUUUAAAUGCUCAAGAAGUUUUAGCCCAAUCCAACUUACAGAUUGUGAGAAAACCUCCAAAAAUUGCACCAAUGUCACUUGGCCGCCAACUUGAAAAGUGAAGCAGAAAUCCUAGCAUUGAUAUCUCCUUCUCCAAUCAUUAACUUUGUUUCAAAAUCGAUGUGUAGCUUGAUCUUUAAGUCCUCCAACACCAUGCCAAUUUUCACCUUAAUCUAACUAAUGGAUCUUUAGAUAUUAUAGAAAUCCUACCUAACCUCAAACUGCCAUCUUUUAAAACCCUCUUGUGCUAAAAAUUAGAUUUCUCUAAACCACGCCAUUAGAUUAUCACAAAAUUUUGUAUACACUUAGCACACCCAAUAAUCCAAACAAUAUCAAAUUUUCAACUAUAGAUGUCAUGCCAAUUGCACGAACUAGCCAAAAUUGCUAGUCCAAAUUAUAUUAUAUAAAAUCCAAAUCAUUGAUACAAACCCUGACUUUGAGCAACAUUUUCUAAGUCCUCCAAAACCCUCUCCAAACACUUCUUAUGUCUCUGGAAAGAACUUUAAGCUAGUUCUUAAAUCUUAACCUCCAAUCUUUGAAUGAAAUCCUAUUUUGCCAUAGGUCAUCGUUUUAGUGGCCAGAGGUCUGAUUUCGACCCUGUUUCACAAACGGUCGACCCUUGGGUAUCAAUCUAUCCCAUUCUAAGGAUUUUUUAGCCCAACCCUUUUCUCAACUUAACCUUAGUACCAACUAUACUAAUUAUUUAGCUCUUCUAACCUGAUUUCAUCAAUUUAUGGUCUUUCUAAGGUAGUAGAAGAGUCUCUACAACCUAAAAGGUAAAAUUACUAACUAACCUUCAACCUACUAAUUAUUAAGAUAAAAAAUAACUUAAGAGGCUUUUAUAAAAGCCAUUUUUAGAUACCUCAAAUUAUAAUUAAACUAAGAUAAUUAGAUAUUAAUUAGAAAUUUAAUUUUGAUUAUAAUUUUAUUAUAUCAUCGUAUUACAUCAUGACACUUGACUCUAUGAAGAUCUACCUUGGAAUUCACGUGUCCUUUCUUGAGUUGUAUAAGACAAUGAAUAUCUUUGGAAGAAGACAAAUGCCACCUCCUCUUAUAGAAGUAGAUAAUAAUCAAGAGUUUGAGGUAGAAAUUUUUUUUGACUUAAGGUGACAUGGAAAUAAGUUGGAAUAUCUUGUUCAUUGAGGUAGAUAUGAUAUUAGUGAACGCACAUGGGAGCUAUCAAAGAAUAUUGCAAAUGCAACAAAAAAAAGUUGAAGCCUUUCAUUAAAAACAUCUAUUAAAAUUAAGAUAAAAAAUUAGAAAUCUUUUCUAUAAAAGAAACAAGACCAAAGAAAGAUAACACUCUACUUUCUAUCUUUUUUUGUAGUUUGUAUGUAGUUAAGGAGAUAGAGAACUAACAACCAAUAGAUUCAACUCAAAAGCUUUUAUUUGGAGACUUACUAGAUGAGACAUUGCGAUUGUCACAACCUUCAAGAUGAUGAAAUCAAGAUGAAGAUCCUCAAGAAUGACAUGUCUUUCCUCAAAUAGAUGGCAAGAUACAAUAUGUUUAGUAUCACGACCUUGUAUAAGAUUCUUGAUGUUUGAUGAUUUUAUUAGAGAUAGAAACAACUCUUGAUGGUGUUUUAAAUGUCUUAUUUGAAGGAAGUUAUGAAGGCCUCAAUAAUGACCAAAUAAUAGGAUAGUCUUCUCACUUUGGUAUAGAAUACCAUUCAUGAUUGAAAAAGCUUAUCAACCAUCUUUGAAGAAAACAAAGAUUAGAAUAUGUGGUAAAUACAAUUUGUCGCAUCCAAGAUUUUUUUAAUAUAUGAAGACUGCUCUUCGUGGAACUUAUUCCUACAAUAGCAAAUAAUAUCAUGGACAUACAUAAGUAUUCAAGUAAAUAGUUAUAUGAUUAGGUAGGAAUAAUUAAAAAUAAAUAAAAGUAGGUUAAUUUUAUAAGACCUUUUAAAGAAGCUUUAUAGAUGCUGCUUGACUUUACAUGUAUUUGUAGUUGAUUGGUAGGUUAAAACCAUGGUCAAUAACUUAACAAUGUAUUGGUAGCUUGAAGAAAAAACUAACUAUGUGGUGCAUAUAUAAAAAACUUGCCUUGCAAGUUAAGAUUCGUGUUUUGCAAAGUCAACACAUUUUGGAAGUUGUAUAAGACAUUAUUAUGUAGCUCCUAGUUAAGAGUUUAUAUGGAGGCCAGAGUGAAGCCUGCUUUAUUCUUGUCAAUGUCUUUCUAUUCUUUAGACUUAUUUCAAGACUUUUUAGUCUUCUUGGUUUUAGUAAUAGCCAUUUUAGUUUAAUAUUAUAUCACCUUUUGAGUGAUUUUUUAAAUUCUCUUCAAUGACACAAGAGUGUAUUGAAGAUUUUCUUUCUUCAAAAUUCAUGUCUUUGACAGGAUCUUUACCUCAAUUAUAUUGUCUUGAAGGUUGUGACAAUCAUGAUGUCUUGAUUGACAAAUCAGUAAAUGAAAGCUUUUGAGUUGAAUCUGCUAAUUAAUGAUUCUUUGUCUCUUUAAUGUCACAAGUAUACAAAAGCUACAAGUAAUAGUAGAAAGUAGAAUGCUACCUUCCUUGGAUCUUAUUUCUUUUAUGAUAAAGAUUUUCUAUUCUUUAUCUUAAUUUGAUCGAUGUGGUCAAUGAAAAGCCUCAACUCUCUUUGUUAUUUUUGUAAGAUUUUUUGUUCAUUCUUUUGUGCAUUCACUAAUAUCAUAUCUAUAUCAAUGAAUAAGAUAAUCUAAUUUAUUUUGGCAUCGCCUUGAAUUUAAGACUUUUUCUAUUUCAAAUACUUAAUUAUUAUCCACUUCUAUAGGUGGAGGUGGCAUUUGUCUUCUUGUUGAGAUAUUUACUAUCUUAUAUGGCUCAAGAAGAAACAUAUGAAAUACGGGAUAUAUCUUUUGUGACAAAUAUAUAUAUAUAUAUAUAUAUAUAUAUAUAUAUAUAUAUAUUGUAAAUACCUAUAUGAUUAUAUAGAAGUCGGUAAAAUUAGAUAAAAAUAAGUUAAUCUCAUAAUUGUUUUUAGAAAAGUUUCCUAGAAGCCUUAUAGAUAUUGCUUUGAUAUUAUAUAUAUUUCUAGUUAAUUAAUAGGUUAGAAACUUGAUCAACAAAUUUACCACAUAUUGGUAGUUUAUAAAAUAAGCUAAUUAUAUGGGACACGUAUAAAAAAACUUAUCUUAUAAGUUAAGACAUGUAUCUUAUAAAGUCAACACAUUUUAGAGGUCAUAUAAGACAUUGCCACAUAGUUCCUAGAUAAGAGUAUAUAUGUAUAUAAGAGUAAAGCUUUUUUCACUCUAUUCAAUGCCAUUCUAGUUCUUAGUCUUAUUUUUAGACUUUCUAAUCUUCUUAUUUUUGAUAAUAGCCAUUUUAAAUUAAUAUCAUAUCAUCUUUAAGUAAAUUUUUAGUUAUUUUGAGUAACAUAGGAGUGUAUUGAGGAUUUCUUUCUUCAAGAUUCAUUUCUUCAUAAUUUGAUAAGAGUGCUAACUUACUAUUUCUAUCUUUUUUUAGAAGUGAGUGAAUUAUCCUACCUCUAUUGUUGUAUUUUGAAGGUUGCAAAUUACCUACGUUUAAACAAACAAUCUUAUUUUUAAAUAUUGAUUUUUUUUAAAGAGAGUGGAUUAUCCCUCUUUGUAAAAAAUUUUAUUUGAUAUUAGAAAUUAUAGAUUAUUUUCUUCUAAUUUAACUUUUUGAAAAAAUUAAAAGUUUGCAUCAAGAAAUUAUAUAAUUGAAGGAAGCAAGUAGAUUGAUCUUACAACCAAAUCUAGGAAGUUUUCCUUCUACAAGUAUGACAAGGACAAGGAUUAGUAUAUUUGAAAAGUUAGAUGGAAUAAGAUCAAAAUUUUGAAGAUUUUUGCAACAAGUGAAGCUUUAUCUAAAGUUGCAUGUCUUCCAAUAUUUUGAUGGAUUUAUUCAAGUCUAAUUCAUGGGUAUACUUUUAUUAUAAAUUACUCUCUUUUUUGUUUACACCUUUAAUGGAAAUGAAUUUAUAACUUUUUUAUCAUUUAAAUUUAUUUAUGGCCAUAUUUAGAAAAAAAAAUUAAAAAAGAGUAGCAAAGAUCAAUCUCUUAUUUUUACGAUAAGAAUCAUGGUCAACUACUAUAUAUGCUAUUAAAUUUCAAAACCUCGCUUGCAACAUAGACUGGAAUGACAAAGCUCUUAUUAAUCAAUUUUGAUAUAGAUUGAAGGAUAAUGUCAAAGAUUUAUUAUUAAUAAUAUCAAAGGCAAAAUCUUUAGAAAAAUUUAUUAUUCAAGCCAUUGCAUGUAAUAAUUAAUUAUUUGAAAGAUAUUAAGAACAAAGAUUUGGUUAAAGAAAAAUAAAUCAAAUAAUGACAGCACCUCUCAAGUUUUUAGAAAUAUAUUCAUUAGGAUUGGAACUAAUGCAAAUUGAUAUAGUAUGUUUUAAAUUCCUCCCGGAUCAAAAAAAGAAUCGGCAACAUCAAAAAGGUUUAUAUUUAUAUUAUGGAAAAGCUAAAGAUACUACUCAAUAUUAUUCAAAGAAAUAAUGCAAUUACAAAGUAAAAAGCAUAGCUGCUAAAGAAGAUAAUGUGUCAAAAAACCAGUCUCUCUAACUACAAUAAGGAUCGUGGAGCUAGAAUCUAGCACAAUUUUUUAAUAAAAGUCUUAUUCUUUCCUCAAAUCCUUCAUCUUAUUUUAUAAUAGAAGUUUAUUUAGGACUAAAAAAUUACAAAGCCUUAGUUUUAUGAGAUUUAAGAGCCUCAACCUAUUUUAUAGAGUAAGAUUUUGUCAAAAAAUAAGAAAUAUCAUGAAUAAAAAAAACUAAACUAUACACGUAGAAGUCAUAGAUGGUUGUUUAUUAUCUUCUAGAGAUAUUAUGUAUGAAUCUGUUCCUUUAGAUGUAGCAAUUAAGGAUCAUUAUAACCUAGUAAUAUUUAAUGUAAUAAGAUUUUUAUCUAAUCUAAUUAUUUUAGAAUUAUAUUGAUUAAAAAGUAUAAUCUUUAAAUAGAUUGGAUUUCUCAUAAUAUUAAUUUUUUUGAUAGUUUAAUCCAAAUUUUCUUUAAUUAAAUAAAAAUAUAUAAGUUUAAUACAUCCACAUCCUCAUUGGUAGGUAUGAAAGCUUUUAUAUAUAUCGUAAAAUAAUGGUUAUCUUUUGCUUUAUAUACCGUGUCUAUUUUUGAUGGCAAAAAGAUAUCAAGUGAUAUUUUUAGCUAAUAUCAAGAUUUUUAAGAUAUUUUGAAAAGAAAAACAUAGAUCUCUUUCUAAAGUAUCAUCCUUAUGAUUGUUCCAUUGAUCUUCAAAAAAGAGCUCAACCACCAUUUAGACCAAUCUAUAGCCUAUCACAAAACAAAUUGGUUUCUCUCAAAGAAUAUAUUAAUAAGAAAAUAGCUAAGAAUUUUAUAUGUCAUUCAAAAUCUCUAGCCACGGCUCUUAUUUUAUUUGUGAAGAAAAAAGAUAAAUCUCUACGGAGGUAUAUGGACUAUCAUGGAGUCAAUAAGAUUAUCAUAAAAAAUAAGUAUUUUCUACCUUUGAUUUCAAGACUUUUUGAUCAAUUAAAUCAAAUAAAUAUCUAUAAAAAAAUAGAUCUACAAAGAGUAUAUAAUCUAACUGUUGAGUAUUUAGUAACAACUAAAAGCUCAACGUUUUCUUAAGGCAAACUCUCUCUAUCUCAAUAUCAAGAUACUUCUAAGUUUGAGUUUGACAAUAACCUACUUUAUUUUAAAUGACACUUAUAUAUGCCAGAAGGAGAAGCAUGUUUAUGUAUUCUUCAAGCAUGUCAUGACUUUCUAAUGGCAUGACAUUUUGAAUACAAUAAAACUUUAUAGCUAAUAUUCAAAGUUUUUUGGUCGCUUCAAAUGUAGAAGGUUGUAAAAGACUUAGUUCAAUCAUGUGACAUUUAUUUAAGGUCAAAAACUCCUUGUCAUCAACCUUAUAGACUUCUUUAGCCAUUACCUAUUCUAGAACAACUAUGGUCUUCUAUUACUAUGGAUUUUAUUACGGAUCUUUUAAUCUCAGGAUCAUGUGAUUCUAUAUUUGUGAUAGUAGAUCAUUUAUCAAAAUGAUACAUUUUACACUAUGUACAAAAUCUAUCACAAGUAAAAAAACUACCAAGAUUUUUCUUGAUAAUAUUUAUUAAUAUCAUGGAUUGUCAAAAGAUAUUAUAUCAAAUAGGAGGGCUCAAUUUGUAUCAAGAUUUUAGAGAAUUCUUUUUCAAAUUCCAAAGGUGGAUAUAAAGCUCUCUUCAAUCUUUUAUCAUCAAACUAAUAGACAAAUAGAGUUUGUUUAUAACAAUACAAUGCAUUUUUUUAAACAACAAAUACUUUUCUUUGCUAAUUAUGAUUACCAUCCAUGACUUGAAACUUUUGGCUUUUUAAAUGUUGAUAAUCCUACGACAAAAGUUUUGGCAAAUCAUUUGUCUGAGCUACAUGCAACAAUGAAGAUACAAUUAAAGGAAGCUUAAGAACGCAAAGAUCAAUGUCGAUGCCUAUUGAAAGGAAUAACCACAAUUCAAUAUAUAUGACAAGGAAUGGUUAUUUCAUUAUAAUAUCAAGACUACUUAUCCUUAUGAUAAAUUAGACUAUUGCAAGCUUGGAUCUUUUUUCAUUUGUGGACUAAUCAAUCCAGUUGCUUUUUGAUUAUAUCUAUUAGAGUCAAUGAAGAUCUAUCAUACUUUCUAUAUGUCUCUUCUUGAACCAUACAAGAUUGUAAACAUACUAAGAAGAAGACAAGCUCCACUUCCUCCAACAGAAGUGGACAAUAAUAAAGAAUUUGAAAUAAAAGAAGUUCUAGACUCAUGGCGAUGCUGAAAUAAAUUGCAAUAUCUUAUCCAUUGGUACAAAUAUGAUAUUAGUGAAUGCACAUUGAAGCCAAUAAAGAAUCUUGCAAAUGCAACAAAGGUAGUGGAGGCUUUUCAUCAACGACAUCCAUCAAAACAAAGAUAAAGAAUAAUAAGUCUUUGCUAUAAAAGAAACAAGGUCUAAAGAAGAUUGCAUUCUAACUUCUAUCUUUGUUUGUGGUUUCUAUGUAUUUGUGAUACUAAAGAAAUGGAGAAUUAAUAAUUAGUAGAUUUGACUCAAGAGCCUUCAUUUGCUCGCUUAUUAGAUGAGACAUUGCAAUUGUCACAACCUUAAAGACAACACAAUCAAAAUGAAGAUCUUUAAGAAUGACAUGUUCUUCUUCAAAUAGAUGGCAAGAUACAAUGUUUUUGAUACCACAACCUUGGAAACGACUUCCAAUGUAUGGUGAUUUUAUUAAAGAUAGAAAUAAUUCUUGAUGGUGUUUCAAAUAUUUUAUUUGAUAGAAGUUAUGAAGGCCUUAACAAUGAUCAAAUAAUUUGGUGGUCUUUUUGCUCUGGUAUGGGAUACUAUUGAUAGUUGAGAGGCCCUAUCAACCAUCUUCAAAGUAUAUGGCAAAUAUAGUUUACAGCAUCUUGAAUUUUUUCAAUAUAUGAUGACCACUCAUCAUGGAAUUUAUUCUUAGAAGAGAGAUAAUGUCACAAAUAUACAUAUGUAAACCAAUAAUUAUCUAUAUGAUUAGAUAAAAAUAGAUAAAAAUAGAUUAAUUUCAUAAUAUCUUCUAUAAAAGCUUUUGAGAACCUUUAUAGAUGUUGCUUUGAUUUUAUAGGUAUCUAUGAUUGAAUUAUUAGGUUAGAAAUGUAGUCAACAAGUUGGCUUUAAGCCAUACAUAUUAGUAGCUUGAAGAAUAAGCUAACUAUGUACCACACAUAUAGAAAACUUACCUUGUAAGUUAAGGCAUGUGUCUUAGAAAGUCAACACAUAUUAGAGGUCCUAUAGAACAUUGUUAUAUAGCUUCUAGUUAAAUAGUAUUUAUAGAGGCAAGAGUAAAGCCCUCUUUAUUCUUCUCAACUCUUUUCUUGCUUCUAGUUUAGAUUUAAGAGUCUCUACAUUCGUUAUCUUUUGAUAAUAGCCAUUCUAAUUUCUUUUUAAUAUACAUACUAUUUUAUUCUUAUUUUUUCGCUUUUCUUUUGACAUUGAUUUUUCAAAUUUAUGCAUUUUCUUCCAAUUCAUGUCCUUAACAAUGCUUCAUCUCUUUUGUUGUAAGAUAUUUGAAUUGUAUUGCAUUAAUUUGCUUAUCUUUAGUUUCAAAGUGUAGAAGUAAUAUAUUUAUUGAAAUAAUAGAAUCAAAAUUUCUAGUACAUUGCUUUGUCAAAGUUCACAAGCGUUGAUCUUGAAAAUAUUGAAAUAAUUGAGUAUCACACUUUACAACUUGAUUAAUAAUUUCAUUGAGAAUUUGAAGAUUAAGUAAUGAUAAUAAUAGGUCUUUUACAUCAUUUCUUAGUCUCUAAUAGAAUUGGCUCAUAAGAUCUUAUUUAUUCCAAUUGAUGUUACAAGUCAAUUGUCUAAAAUCAGAUGCAUAAAUUAAUGCAGAGCAUGACCCUUAACGUAAUAAACAAAUCUUUGUUAUUGCCUAUUGGGCCUUAUCAUAUUUUUCAAAUGCCUCUACAAAUCUUUUAAAAAAAAGCUUCAAAAUUAUUUAAGAUUGAAGAUUUUUUUCUCAAUUAAAGAAAUAAAUAAAAAUAAGACUUUUUUUAUGAGUAAAGUUCCAACUAAACCAACUCACGACUCUUUUGUUAGAUAAUGCUGAAGUUGUAGAAAUGUUAUUAAUUAAAUUUAAUUAACAAAUACUUUAAAAUUACAGCAUGUACCAUCAAACUUUUCUAGAAGACUUAUCUAAGGCUCUUUAUGUUGUUGAAUAGGUAAAUUUUCUUAUUGAGAUAUAAGUAUCAGUGCUUCUUUAGAUAUAGAAGCUUGAAAAAGUGAUUGUAUUAUAGAUUGAAUUGCUCUAGGUCUUGUAUCACAAUAAAAUCUUACAUAAAUUUCUUUAAUUUUAGCAGUUUUAAAAGAUAAAGUGUUUAAUAUAUUUAUAAAUAAUAUCUAACUUGGACUAAGGAGAUUCAAUUAUACUAACAUCUUCACGUCCAACCAUCUUGAAAGAUAAAAGGGAGUUUCUUAACAAUACUAGUUUAAAAGAAGAUACUCCAUAACCUUUAAAGUACUUAGAUGACUUCAAGACGAGGGAUAAUCCACCCUCUAUCAAGAAAGAUCAAGCUUUAAUAUUGAUAAAAAGACAGCCUUAACAAACUAGCACGGCUAUCUUGUACAUAAGACUAAAUAAGAAGUUGAACAAAAGAAUUUCAAUAAGAAAAUUAGCAAGAACUUAAGUAAUUGAGAUGAGUACAAGAUCAAUACUAAGAAAAGUGAGUUGGAGCUCCAAGAGAUGUAUUGUCAAGAGUAAAGAUCUUCUUAGCUUCAACUCUAAUAUAUAUUAGGUAUUAAGAAGUUUCUCAAGAAGUUCUCAUAUUCCUUAAAGACAAAGCAACUUUAAAAAGCUUUUUAAAAAGUUUUCAUCAUAUUAAGGAAGUAAUUCUCAGAAGCUUCUUAAGAAGUUUCUAUAUUUCUUGAAGACAAAGUAGCUUUAAAAAGCUUUUUAAAUAACUUUAUUUAUUUAUUUUUACUUUUAAAAAGCUGUUGGAAUAUUUUAAAAUCCUUCUAGAACUUUCUAAGAAUCUUUUUAAAAUAUUUUAAAAUUUAUUAGAACUUGAUAGAAUAUUUUAAGAAUAUUCUUAAAAUCUUCUUGCUAGAUAUCCAUAAGAAUAAUAAACAAUAAAAAUAUCUAAAAGCUCUCAAAAAACAUUAUUUAGAAGAUGGCUUGAAAUGCUAAUUGAAGACUUUUAAAUAUUAGAAAUGAAUGUGGCAUGAAUACAAAAAUGUGUUUUUUUUUUUUUUUUUUUUUUUUUUGUAACAUACAUAAAAGCUCUCAUGCUUAUAAAUAAGGACUUGGUUGCACUAGGCUUUAUGACUUUUUACUCGGUUUAUAAAACUCUUAAUUAUAUUUUAAAAAUAGUCAAGACUAUAAAAAUCCAAUAUAUAUGAAUGUUAUAUUUUUUUUAACCAUGAUAAAAUGAUUCCAUUAAAAAAAUAUCUAAUAAUAUUGAAUUUCAUUAAAGAUAUUAUGACCAUUAGCUACUACAUCUAAAAGGAUAGUUUUAUAGUUAACAUCUCCAAAAGAGAGUAAACAACCAUCUAUGAUUCUACAUACAUAGGCUUUGUUUUCUUAAUUUAGGAUAAUCACAACAAAAAUACAACAAAGAAAUAGAUUUGUUUGAUUGUAUAUUUUAUAAUAAAGCUUCAAAAUAGAUAAUAAAUACUUAUCCAAUAGCAAAAUAACAUAAUAUAUUAAUAAUUAAAACAAAAUUAAAUCAAAAAAAUAAAAUAAAUAAUUUUAAAAUUGAUAAAAUUAUUAAAGAAUAUAUAUAUUUAUAUUUUAAAUAUUAAAGAUAUUUUCAAAUUUUAAAUGAAAAAUCAUAAUUUUUUGAAGAAUAUAAUUUUAUUAUGAAAAUUCCAAAAACUAAAAAUAAAUACAUUAUUCAUAAUUUCUUUUAUCUUGUAUUUAUUUUAUUUAUUUUUAUCAUACAAUGUGUAAUAAUCUAUAGCUUCUGUUACAAAAAGGUGAAUAUUUGAAAUAAAAGAAAUUUUGAGGAAAGAAAAAAUAUAUUAUCUUUGUCUAUUUAAAAAUCAGAUAAACUAACUUCAUUUUAUCAACAACAUUAAAAUUCAUCAAUUUGUUUUCUUCUUUCUUUCAUUGCCAUUUAUAAUAAAUUUUAUAAUUUAAUUAAAUUUAAUUUCAAAUAAAAUAGAAUUAUUUCACAACUUACCAAAAUCAUAUAGUAUUUCAUGUCAAUUUUAUUUUUUUCUUUGUCUUCAAUUUUAUUAUCAAAUAACUAUAAAGAAUUCUUUUUAUAAAAAUAAUAAGAAAAUUAAAUAUCUUCCUUAAAAUUUUAAAAAUUUAAAAAUUUAAAAAUUAAAAUAAUAACCAAUCACAUUUUCUAUACAAACCCGUGAAGGGGGUUGCUAAAGAAUUUAAUUCUUCAUGUUCCCACAUCGAAACCCCAAAGAGCAUGAAACGACCACGCGGAAUUAGGAAGAGGACCCAAGCCCGACCCUUGUACCGAGCCUCAUGUCCGAACCUAGAAACUGAGCCCAAACCCCCAGCGUCGGUGUCGAGCUUGAGUCCACAGAAACCCUAAUCCUGCUUUUUUCCUUUCCUUCAUGUAAGCUUUUGCUUCUCACUCUCUCACCCUCUCUCUCUCCCGCUAUCUUCACAGGGACGAACUCCUCGUCCUCCUCCUUCUCGUAAUUGCUGUUCCAAAUCACGACUUGCAUCUUGCUCCUGACUCUCCUCGGAGGCACGUUCUCUGUCCCCUUUCGCAUGUCUCUUAUAAGACAAUGAGUGUGUCGACACCUAUUUUUCAUGAGUUUUGGCCCUGAAUCCUGGGUGGUUUUAUAGAUAGCCAUUUUCAAUUUUGACGGUGGGGGUUUGUGGUUGAGGUUUAUGUUUAUGUUUCGGUGUUGCUAGCUCUGGUUGUUGCUGUUAUGUGCGCUAGGAUUUUCGAGGAAAGGGUCUUGUAGGUCGGUGCGUUGUUGGUUUUUUUUUUUUUUUUUUUUUUUUUUUUUUGGUCGUGUGUUUGUGGCUCGCAUUGCGUGUUCCUGGUUUUUGGUUGGGUAUGGUUGAAACUCAUGCGGUGACGUCCGGAGAAGCGCUUCCCCAUGUUAGGAAUCUAGAAGGAUUGGUGGUUGCUGUUGAGGAUUGGUGAGCACUUUUAGCUCUGUUGAGAUGUGAGUCUGGGUUUGGCCUGUCGAAGGCAGCGUAGGGUGAAAUUAAUCUAAGUUGCAUCAUAGUUAGCUUAACACGUAUAUGCUCGGAUUCGCAAUUCAGAGUUAAGGAACUGUAUUAAUCGUGUAAUUUCUGCUACGAAUCCGCCCAUUUGUAUUUAGUGUGCUUCAUGUACUAUCAUUCUCCUAAAUUGGUUUUUUGAGUGGUUAUUAAUCUGCUUUGCAGUCAGGAGGAAUCAUCUAAGUCAGUAUGGACCAGAAGAAGAGGAAGUUGGAAGAUCCACCAGCCACGAAUGCGAAAGAAGACAACACUGCUGUAGUUGGGGGACCAACAGUGUCUGUUCCUUCUUUCGUGAUCACUAAGGAGGAUGUCAAGAAGCUUUUGGAGUCAUUUACGAAGGAUCGAUUGAUGGAUUUAUUGGAAAAUGCUGCUCUUGUUCAUACAGGUUAUUCCUCGUCGAGUUAUCUAUCGUCCUAAAGCUCAUUUUGGAUGUGGUUUUUCAACGCGAGAGAUACAGUGAUGGGUUUAUAUAUUUUCAUGUACUGUUCAACUUAUUCACAUGUUCUCGAUGGGUGUCGCUGUUUGACUUUUGCAGAUGUUCUUCAGGAAAUUCGCAAGGUGGCUGACAAAGUUCCUGGUCAUCGGAAGAUUUUUGUAAGGGGCCUUGGUUGGGACUCAACGACAGAAACCUUGAAGACAGUAUUCUCACAAUUUGGAGAAGUGGAGGAGGGGGCGGUUGUUAUGGACAAGGGUACUGGAAAGAGUAGAGGCUUUGGAUUUGUGACAUUCAUACACAUGGACGGUGCUCAACGAUCACUGAAGGAACCUAGCAAGCGGAUUGAUGGACGGAUGACAGAUUGUCAGUUGGCAUCAACUGGGGCGUUGCAAAUAAAUCCUAAUCAAGAAGUUUCAACGAGAAAAAUUUACGUGGGCAACAUAUCCCUUGAUCUUUCUGCGGACAGGCUGCUGGCUUUUUUCGCAGGAUAUGGAGAAAUUGGAGAGGGUCCCUUAGGAUUCGACAAAUUCACUGGACGCUCACGAGGUUUCGCUUUGUUUAUUUACAAGACAGUUGAAGCUACAAAGAGGGCAUUGUUGGAGCCAAUCAAGACUUUAGAUGGUAUUCAAAUGUACUGUAAGCUUGCCUCUGAGAAUCAGAAACAGGGGCAGGGGAGGCAAGGCCCUCCCGGUAAAAGCGACAAUGAUUUAAUACUAGGCAGGCAGCAGGUAAUCUACAUCAAUCAUCUUGUCCAUCUGAAAAUGCGUUUAUUCUUAUGGUCGGGGACCAGUUUGUAUUUUAAAGCUGAUGUGGUGUUCAUUUGAUCACAUGUUUUUACGAAGUGGUACUGAGAGUAGUUGUUGUGAGAACCUUCUGCUGGCUUUUCUUGUGUGCAGAUAUCAACUCCUCCGUCCCUCUCAAACGAACAAAAUAUGUCGUACGGAUCCAUGAAUACUGGUUCAUUAACUACUGGAAUUCCGCUCAACCAGGGCGUGAAUCAAGGAAUGAGUCAAGGAAGUCACAUGGGUCUCAAUAAUCAUAAUCAAGGUCUUAGCAACCUGAAGAGCACAUUGAACUCGCCCCUCAACUAUACAUUGAAUUCAUCAUUAUCUCCUCUAGGACAGUUAACGAAUUCAUCGUUAAAUGGUUCUUUUAACUCCGGUCACCCACAAACAUCCCUUGGAAUGGGAUCUUACAGUUCACAAUUGGCUGUGUCCCAAUAUGGAGGUCAACCAACUGGCCUUGGUGGGCAACCUACAUAUUCUUCGAUGAAUGGGGUUCUUUAUUGCUCGGCAGCCAACUCAGCAGCCUCGCAGCAGGUAUUUAAAACGAAUUUUAUAUUGCGCAUGACGAUUUAGUGUAGGUCCUGUAAUUUGCAUGCUUAACUGUCUAUUUUAAUUAAUUACAUUACAUCUAAUGAGUGAGGCCGUUCGUAUUAUUCGGGAUAACUGUGUUGAUCUUGGCGGACCUGCAGUUUGUACCGAAGUACUUGACGUUGCAUUCGCCUAAUACUAUGUCCAACACAUGUAUAUUUAAAAUCUGACUUCUCUCAUCUACUGUAUAUUUCUCAGCAAGCAGCGCUGCAGGUAGCUGGUGGUCAUUACGGAUAUGGGUCAUAUCAAAGUCCUCAACUUCCAACAUCUUCUGCUCCUCGCGCCCCUCCCGUAGGAAAUAUGUACAUGCCUUCCAACCAUAACCUAAAAGGUAAGCAUUGGUGUCUUCACUUUCUUGCUCUUUAAGGUGCGCUAUUCUUUUACUGACCAAUUGUGAGACCUCCUAAUUAAAUAUGCUCGAAUGAUUGUCCUCUUUUCGUUCAAAGUUGCGAGUUUGGUUCACGUCUGAGAGAGGCAUCGGAGUUUUGAAUGAAUAUUAAAUCUUGGAUGUUUUAUUUUGGAUGUUGAAUACAAAUUCAGCAAUAACAAUUUUUUUGUCUGUGAUGUUUCAUGUCUGGAUUAUCUACAUGUCUGUGAUCACUGUUCAGUGUAUACAAGAGUUUCAGUUGUUUUCAAUUAGGAUGAUUAUGUUUGUGCUACAUUGGGCAACAGAGGUUAUUUGUGAGAAGGGAGAUUUAAGUACUAAACAUUGUGCUUACUGUAAAUGUUCUGUUGCGGAUUUUGUUCUUUUGACUUUUUCUUUUUUUCUUUUUUUCUUUUCUCCAGUUCUUUGCAAAUUGUGAUAGUUUAACCUUUUUAUCUUAAUAAUGUUGCAAGCUUGUUGGUCUAGUUUCUUUGAGGAAUUCAAGUUUCGAACGGGAUAUUACCACAGUUUGAUAGCAAAUACAAAAAACAAGAGUUGAAAUUAGUGGUGAAAAAGUUUGGUCAUUUCAUAACCGAUGCCCAUAAUUUGAAUCUCUGUGACUCUGAAAAUCUCUAAUAUUUAUCGUUUUUAUCCAUCAACUCUAGCGUACGCCAUGCACUACUUAUUGUUCUAGUAAUUGACGGAUCUCUGUUGACAAUGUUGGUGGACAUGGGAUUACCAUGAGAUAAGUUCCAGGCCCGAUCGACCAGGUUUCACAAAGAAGCUUUAAAGAUUAUUUUUUCUUAUCAAAUUUAAUGUAUAAAGAUCCAAAGUGGUUUAUUGCCAUGUUUUCAGUCAAGUAAUUUCAUGACUGAAAAGUUAUGGAGACUAAUUAUUCCUUUUAAUUGUAUUUUUGCUGUUAAACGAAUCGUUUGGUUUUACAUUUAACAACAUGCUCAAGUAGUGAACGGUUUGAACUGAUGGUAGCGUUACAUUUGUUGGGUUUUACGGUUUGAGUUCUGCUCCGUUCUGUAUUUCUCGUUUUCUCAUUUUCUUGUUUGUCUUCUGUUUUUUGUUUUUUGUUUUUUGUUUUACUUUCAUUGGCUGUAAAGUUAACUAGGUUAUUACCGAUCUUUUUUGGAUCUUCAAUUUUGAUCGUUUCUUUCCAAUUCGAUCAGUAAUCGUAUCAGAUUGCUGUCUAUAGCAUGAUGGGUCAUUUCGGUUGAUUGAAACAACCCCCCGCUCCCUUUUUUCAUUUUUAGUUAUUUGUGGAUAAAUUGUUCACUCUCCUCCAAGCAGAUAAAUUGAUUGUAUCAAUAGAAUCUUAGAGCGCUUCUUCUAGCUGCAGUAUGUCUAGGAAUAUGGCUUUUGUUAUCUGCAUGCUUUAUUCAGUUUUCAACAGUAAUGUCGGGGUUUACACAUACCUCAUUGUGUAGGAGUGCUUCAGCUUUCAAGUUUUGUAGCUUCUGUUACUGAAAUCAUUUUGAUUAUUCUACUUGGAAUACAGGUAUGUCUACGAUCGUUCUCUUUGGUCCGUUUUAUCUUUGCAAAGUAUUUUCUUCCAACUUUUUACUUUGUCGUAUGGUUUUUCAAUACUUAAGACAGAAAUACGUGCAAGGCUAGGGCUGCAGAUGGACAGCUCGUCACUCGGAUGUGGGUUCGAUCCCCACUAGCCUUUUCCUGAUGUAGUAAGGUGCUGGAUGCAUGUACUGGAUGUAGGCUGGAGCAGCUGUCAUGCUCCAUUACGCUGUUCCAUGGUUCUCUUGACUAAAGUAAUCUUUGAAUCUCCAGAUCGUGGUAUUUUAUCACAAUUGUAUUGGUAAUUUGAAGAUGAAAGCAGACCUUUCUGAUGCUAUUAAUCUUGAGUUUGCAACCUGGACGGACAAUUAUUGAGCCUUAGAAUUGGCACAAAUUCAAGGAAGUUGGAGAAAUAAUUACAGGUAUGUCGUCAUGGGAAGUUGCUCUUGGAACUCGCAUUGGUUGAGUGGACUGUAUAGCUAAUAUAUGAUAAAAGGAAUUUAUUUUUGGAUCUGCUACCUCUCCCACCCUUAGAAAUUUUUGGUCACCCUAUUGAUGUCCUUGGAUGUAUCUUUGAAAGCCCGUUGAGGAUCAAGAGAGUUGUUUCUACGCACAAAACUUUCAGUGGGUGAAUAUCAGAUUUCGCUUUAUGGUGUAGUCUUGCACUUCUGUUGGCCACCUUUUAGAUGCAGGCAAGCUGGGCAUAUAGUUAAAGUAACCGAAGCGGUGUUAGUAAGGGAAAUUACCUUUGGAACUUCACAAAUUGGCUUCUAUAAACCUCGUGUGCAACAUAGCUCUUAAAUAUAUCUUGCAGAAGUGACUUAGUAUGCAUGAAUUACCUUCUCUUAUGCUCACAUUGUAAGGUGAUCUGAGUAUUUCGUCAUGCCAGCAGAUGUACUUCCAUUAGUAUCAUCCUUGGUACGCACAGAGCUUGCAAGUCAUGUCUAUAACUUCCGCUGCAUGUCUACAGAUGCCAAGUAACUAUUCAACUAUCCUUCCAUUUCAUAUAAAUUCUGGAUUUACAUGCUGCGUUCUUCGUGAGUGGGGAGUUAUCAUCUGCAGUGAACGAAUGUCGUCCAGCCUGCCCUCCACUUCAGAUGAAGUUGAGGACUGUCAACCAAUAAAGGUUCAACACAAGUUUCGCAAGGGCGUCUUGAAUGAGCCACUGGAAGGCUGCCAUCAUCAGCCACGUCUUCGCACUUCUAAAAUGCUAAGCAUAGUAUCAACGAUGUACAGAAGAAUGGAAGAGAAGCAUUCGCUGCAGAUGAUAACUCUACACCCACCAAGAAUUUGCUGUUUAUCCUGCAAGGGGAAGCUUUCCUUGGUGCCAACUGUUUCUGCAAGUGGAAAUGAAUAUUUAUAUCUUCAGGUUUCUGCUAGUCCAGAGCUGCAUGACCACGAAGCAACCAGUGUUCGUGUUUUUUUGUGAGUUGUGAAGAAUGCAUUGAUUAUAAACUAGACAAGUUGAUGCUCUCGUGUGGCCUCUUCUCCUGUACAUCCUUUCUGUUGAAAUCAUAUGCAUUUGUGACGGUGACUUAGAUCACACCCAAUGAAUCACGUGCUAUGAUCAUGAACGGAUUAAUGGUUGUCCUCAGAACAUUCGGCUUUUCUGUUCUCGAUUAUGAUUGUUACUUACAACUGUAGGUAAAACUGGGCAGCCACUUUAACUCGUGAAAAUAGAAACAGGUGCUCACCCACUACAUGGAUUGCAAUUAUUGCUUUACUAUGCAUGCUCCACGGUCCUGGAAUUCUUCCCUUGGGCCUUUCUCAAUCUGAGAACCAUAUCUGAUGAGUCUGGUCGACAGAGACUUAUUAAUUAAGCUCACAACACAUUCGGGUUGAGACGUCGUGCACUGCAAUCAACAAAAGAGAUCUGACAGUAUUCUCAUGAGCAAACCAAAAUCCCGCUGCGGUAUAUCAUUUGAAAACUAGAGCGCACUGUCCAUCGAGUAUCAUGUGAAGAUAUCUUGCAAGUCACUAGGUCAAAGAACGUGGAUUAAAAAGAGAUCGAUGUAAAAAUGAUGCUCGAUUCCCGCAGCCAUGGGACCUACAAAACCUCAGCAGCAAAAUGUUCAGUUCAAGGAGGGUGGAGCCCACGGAGCAUGAUUAGCCCACGCCGCACAGUAAAAAUCCUUCUCAUAUGAAGCCCAAACCGAAGUUGCUGCACGCAUUCAACACCGCCACAAAAAAUAUUGCCUCAAACCGAAGUCGCGGCACAAGGAGCAGAACUGAAGCGCUUUGCAGGAGGGAAGUUACGUUGAGCAGCACUCGAUCGCCUCUGGAAUGUUCCUCGAGCUCAUCAUGAACUCGAGCUUCGAUGAUGCGCAAGUGUUGGCCGUCGUCUGAUUGCCUCAGGCUGUUCAAAAGGCGACCUUGUGGGGGCGCGCUCGCGAGUGAUUGACAGCAACGGGCCCAUCCUCCCUCUCGAAGAAAGAUUUCACUGAUGCCAUCUCCGACGCCUGCAAGACCUUUCUAGAUGGGACCCACAAACUCAAAUCGCUUGGAUUGCUACUCGCCAUGGAUUAUGCAGAUGGAUCUCCUCCUCCUCCUUACAGAGUCCAACCACUUUCCCACUCUAAAAAAAAGAAACCCAACUGAAUCUACGUUUCAAAAGUGUUCAAUAACUGACUCAGGUUUUCUCUCAUGUUUUGUAAAUAAUUUGUACAUGAGCAAGGAGAAUUUUGUUUCUUUCGGAGCUCCCUCUAACAAAUCCAAUCCCACUCGGGAUCCCGUUGCCCACAACCCAAGACGCGAGCGAGCGAGCGAGGCUGUCUCUCCUGUAUCGCCAAUCGCAAGCAUGAUCCCCUUCCGGUGCGCCUGAAGAUGCCAACCAUCUGUUGUCGUGUCCCCCGGGCUUCACACCCUGCAAUUGUCUGAUUUUGCUAAGCUUCGCUGCGUAGACCUCCCAUCACGAGCUCUCGUAGCGAGGGACUUUGCUUACGAACUUCCUUGUUUUGGGGUCGAGAAUUGUGCCAGAGAGGUCGAAGAUGCUUGCGGCUGGUGGGGAUGUCGGAUUUUGUAGAAUCGGAGAUCGUGGGGUCUGGUGAUGGGGGUGUUGUGGGUAGGAUUUAGGGUUUCGAGUGAAGCCGAUGUUGGGUACUAGGUGUCUGUUUUGUGUGAGAAUUUUUUUUGGGACUUUGUGGAUUGUUUUGGAUUGGGUGUGGCAUUUUGCGGUGGUGUUUCGGGGAAUUAAAAUGUGUUUCAGUGAAUCCUUUUGUUGUGGUGUGGGACGGAUUUGAAUCUGAUGGUCUGUGUAAGAGACUUUGGAGUGUAGUCGUUGUCUUGGUUUUAGUCGUAGAAUUAAGUGCGAGUGUGUUAUACUUUUUUCCUUUUCGGGAUUUUUUCUUCAUUGUGAGUCUUCGAAAGAGAAGUUUUGGAGAGGGAUUCCGUUCUCUACUGAAAGCGUGUAGGGUACGAUAGAGAAAUGGCUGGGAUUUUUAGAAAGAUUUUUGGUAGUUUUUUGCACAAAAAAGAGGAGAAAGAUGAACAGGUUCAGGAGAAGAGGACUCCAGUGGUUCCGCCAGAACAGAGAACUGGUUCAGGAGGUUACAGUAGGAGGGUCACCGUUCCGGCGGAUCCUAUUGUGUACGCUCCGGUUGUCACUCAAUGUAAUGGGAAUGGUGGAGUGCAGGUGAGUUGCUACUUCUCAAAGUGCCCUACUUCCCGUUCUUUGAAUAGAUUCAUGUUGUGGGAUAGUCUUCGAAAGAGAAAUCUUAGCGUUAUCGUAAGCUGUGGCUGCGGUGUAGAUGUUGAAACUCAACGAUUGCCUGCCAUGGUCUUGAGCAAUACACAUCUUGCAAUUCUUAUGACGUCAAAGCAACCACUAUUGUCAGCUACAUUGCGGAAGUAAUUAGCAGUCUCCUCCGCAGUUUAUCCUAUAUUCAGUUGCCCCAACAAGGUCUACAUAUGCUGCACUCGAAGGAUCCAAUUUUAGUGCAAGAGUUGAAUUCUCGCUAGGUGGUAGAAAAUAAGAUUUCCAUUGUGCGUGUGUUGUUUCAAUGAAUUGGGAAAUAUUUAAAUUCAUGCUCACUGCAAUCACGUAUAACAGUAUUAUUGAUUGUUCAACGUGGCUUUCUUAGACCCUACCUAAUGAGGCUGAAUGUCGGAUUGGAUAUUAAUUGUAGAGUAGUGUCUCCUCUCUCUGUUGAAGUUUCUCAACCACGUAAAGUUUCUAUGUACAAAUUGUCUGUGCCGUGCAGGGGUUGACGUGGUAUGCCAAGGAGUUUCGUGCAGACGAUGAUGGCGACGUGGCACAAGAGUUUUUGAGGGAAGUCAUUCCUAACGCCCGCGAUCUCAAUGCAACCAUGCCUCCGUGCUUUGAAGCAGUGAGGCAUACAAGACCAGUGAAGCUGAAAGGUCCUGUCUGCACACAGAAUGGAAAUGUGCAUAUUUCUUGAGUUAAUUAGCUGUUGACACGAAGAAAACCUGAUCCCAUCUUAGGUUUAUUUAUAAUCCUGGGUUAAUUAUGUAAGAUUAGUGGAUCUGUUCCUCCAUUCUUGAGGUAUGCAUGCCUUUAUUGGGCUUUACGUCAUGCUGGUAGCCAACGCACCUAGCAUCAUGCUAUGAAUUGGAAGGAGGUCAUUUUUUUGGUUGCUCGUUGCAAAUGUUCUUCACAAAUUCUGCUGAUUACAACUUGAAUAUUAUGUUUUAAUAAGUUCUUUCAGUUACUGUCUCGGAUUGUCCUAUACAUUCAUUGUAUUUACUAUUUCAAAUGCAAAAUUAUGAGUAGCACUCUCCUGCCUCACUAGUCCUGACGGAAGUGUCAAGUUAGUGUUCAAUGACGAGUGUGAUAUAAUUUGUGAUUACUAUGCUGUAGCAUCAUCUUGUGCAGGAUUUAUAGAUGAUCUCUAACAGAAGCAAAUCAUCGGAUGACUUGCACCCACUGUUAUCAUAGCGUUUAAAUACCAUCAUUCUUACAGCACUGUUGCAGAGUAAACCAGCCACAGAUCCAUCUCCUUAGAGUGCGUGGAUUAAUGCGUAUUAUGAAAGCUCAUAUUACUGACCUUAAUAACCAUUAAUUUCAUUUACAGUCUAUGAUCAUAACUGUCAUAAAUCACAUGUCUACUGAAGACUGCUUCAAGUGGUGAUUGGAAUGUGGUGCAUCAUCCACUUCGUAAUGGAUAAGAAUCUUAGUACAUGGUGUGAUUGACACAGCUAAGACAGAUUGGAGAAAAUGCAUUUUACACUGAGUCUUACAACCAAUCAGAUUUCUAAUAAUCUUAAAUUAGUUGUUUAUGAUAAUGCAAUUUAUCAUUAUAUGUUCUGAGACUUAUUUUUAAAGCUAUUUCGGUUCAUUAAUUUUGUAUUUUAAUGAUGACCUAUUAUUUUUUAACUUCUGACCACAGAUCCAUCUCCUUGGAAUGGAUUUUCAUUGUUUUUGAUAAAGCUCAAAUUUCGUCAUAAAAUCAUCUUUUUUUAUUUAUUUCUUUAUUUUGUAGCUUUUUUAAAGGAUUGUGUUAGCAAAGAUUGUGAAUCUAGACGAAACAUUAAACAACCCAUAAGGUCCAUACUUUUGUACUGAAUGGAGUGUUUUCAAUUUAUUGUUUAUUUUUAAUCAGAACUUGAUAAUGUCCCAACUUUGAAUUCAUGAAACUAAAAACAUUUUGAACCCAACUUAUCAAAGAAAAAAAUUGAUUCAAGAACUUGAAUAUUUAAUUUUUGAUUUGGCUUAUUUGAUUUUAUGACUGAUUUUUAACAGAAACAUUAUUGGUUAAAAUUUUACUCCAAAAAGUUGGAUUGGUUUAUGAAGUUUUAAAACAUAAAAUAUAAAAAUUAAGUUAUAUUAAUCAUAAGUUUUACAAAUAAUCAAUUAUAUUUGAGUAGUUUCCAUUCUUUGCUUACAAAUAUAUAUAUAUAUAUAUAUAUAUAUUGUUACUUCUGUUGUUGUAUUUUUUAAUAUUUUGACAUGAAAUUUUAUGAUGUGUUUAGAUGUUACAUUAAAUCUUCACUUUGACGUUUUUUUUUUCUUAUUUACUUUCAAUUGUUAACACCCAUGUUCAACAUCAGUUUAUGUUUUUAACAUUUUAACAAGACAGCUAACAGUACUUCAGCGAAGCAAUUUCAUUUAAAAAGAUCAACUUUAUUAUAUUCUUAAGAGCACUAAAGCAUUUGGAGCUUAUGAAAUACCUACUUCAACUCCAACAGGUAAGACUCCUAGCCAAAACGUGUUCUGAAGAUUCUAAACCAGUAUUUUAAAGACUAAAAUCAAAGAGAUAAUAUAACUGCAAAGAGCAGAUGGAAAAAGCAAGUAAAGAAUGAGAUUUAGCUUCUGUGAUUGCAUGUAAGUUUGGCUUUCAGUAAAGGAUAUUGCAGCAAAACUGAAAACAAGCAGAGAUAAUACUGAAUAGCAACAGUUGUUCCAGCAUCACUCAAAAUUGAAAAAAGUGGGGAAGUAGCUUGUGUCUGCCAAGAGUCAAACCUGGGUCCAUUGCCUGGAAGGCAAUUAUCCUAACCUUGAAGUCCUCUCCAGAGUUAAAGAACAGAGCACCAAGGUGUAGUACAAAAAAGUGCGAGGCACAAUGUUAUGGCUGAAUGCCUAGUAACAGGACUAGUGACUAUAACAGGGUACAUCAGCCAUAUAAUCCUAUGCCAAAUUUAACAUGGGUAGGCUAAUGUGAAGGGUUUCCUUGUGUUGCAAAUACACCUUGGUCUAUUCACACUUUUUGAAAAAGUGUUAUCAUGUUUCUUAGUUUCUCAGCUAUGCCCUUGUAUUUGAAGAUGCUAUGCCAAAUUUUGGUUUGAAGGACAAAAACUUAAUGAAAGCAAAUAAACAAGUGAGGCUCUCUCAAAGAAACAUGACAAACUAGAAUGGUUAUUGCCAAAAGACAAGGAAAUCUAAAGACUCGUGAAACUAGACUAGAAGCAAGAAAGGAAUUGACAAGAGUAAAGAAGGCUCACUCUUGCCUGUUUAUAUACUAUCUAUCUCGAAUCUAUGUGGCAAAGUUCUAUAGGACCUCCAAAAACAUAUUGACUUUGUAUGAUAUGUAUCUUAACUUGCAAGGUAAGUUUUCACUAUGGAUGCCACAUAGUUAGCUUGUCCUAAAUCAGUGAACUGGCCGACAUAUUGCUUGCCUUACAUCGCUAGUGAUUUUGUUCAAAUCCACCUAGGGCUCAUUCCAAAACUGCCUCUAUGCCAUCUUCAGGUUCGAAGAUGGUACCUAUUAAACCUAGUGCAGCUAAUAUUAGUAUCUUGAUACUGAACCGGAAUGCCAAUAGAGCGUCAGAGGCAGCCAUUGCCUCUACUAUGCACCCGUCUAACUAUCUUAGUAGGAUUUUUUGCAAUACUGCAACAGUUGAAAUUGAGCCGUUCCUUUGGUGCCCUAAUGUGGCUUCAUCAGCAACAAAGAUGAGUGGUUGUUACACCCACUAUGCAUGUAUUUUCAAUUACUGAGUUUACUUCAUCAAUCCCCAGAGCUUCGUUUUGAUCCCUCUUUGCUUUCGACUUUCUCAUCCUGAUUGUUCUUCUUUUUGCAUCAUAAAAUCAUUAAGAUCAAGUGAAGGAUUCCUGUUGGAUUUACAUCAAUGUGAUGCUAUGAGUGAAGCAAUAAAGUACUUCAGAUGCACAAAAAUGCACAUCCAUUUUCAAAUAAACUUGAAUACAUAAAGCUGCAAAAUCAAACAAAACAUGAUUUUAUUUUUUGAAGUAUUUGUUAGUAUUUUUUGAAGUAUUCAAGAAUCAAACUCCAUUUUGCAAAAAUUCUAUAGAAUUGAAGUGAUAGUAAUAAAACAUAUGUCUUCUUUGACAAAAUCUAAUGAGUUGAUUCAAUCAUUAACUAUAGAUGAUUUAUAAAAGAAGACCUAAUAAUUCUAACCCAAAUUCAAAUUCAAUAGGCGAUAAAUUUCACAAUAAUUAAAUCGUGAUGUGAAAUCCUAUGAUGUCUCACGGUUCUUACACAAAUAAAAAUAAAAAACAUACAUAUACAUAUAUAAAUAAUAUUAUGCAGUUAUCCAAACAGUCAUUCUUACUAGCAUGUAACAAAAUAUUUAUAUAAAUUAUUACAUUUGAAACAUGAUAACACUUGACAUUUCUUAGUAGUGAGUUUGUCCACAAUACACAAUCCAUUUGGCGCCUUAACUUAUAAACAUCUCUCCAUAUGAAAAUUGAACAAAUCACCUUGUAUAUUUCUUGGGAUCUAAGCAUAGCAUUCUGUUGACUCAACAAGUUUCUCCAGGUACAAGACUCACAAAUCAAAUUUGACAUUUAAAUGCGAAUGCGGAAACCCGAUGGCAUAUUACGGGAUAGGUUUAUUAGCCUUGAAGAUCUUGGUCUUAAUAUCUUCACAACAAAUACACGUGAGUCAAUGUUGUAAGGUUUAAAAUUUACACUGGCUGCAUUGGAUCAUGAACUACAUGGUUUGGGAAGGCAUUUGCGCUCAUACUUGGCUCAACCCCAAGGAUCAUCCCAACCUUUGGGUCCACCUUUCUUGAUGAAAGAUAUCAUCGUUCGCACAGUUUCCUCAACGCGGUUUGAUAAACUAUGAUUGCCCCAUGGAAUAGCCGCCCUCUCCGCUCCUCCCAUAGCAUCACAAAGCCUGCAGCGAGCAAAAAGUAGCAAUGGUUUAACAAACUCACCAGCAGUUUUCAAUGCGUACCUGUCUGCUGUAUGCAGAGGGUGGUAAUGCAAAAAGUUCACCAAGUAACACAAAGUCUUCUAAUGGGAUUAUACUGAGCUUAUCAUCAGUUUCCGGAAACUAUCCUGAAUCAUAAUUUAGCACGAUAAAAGACUGGGUACGUGCCCAUACUUCCCUACAACGCUAAUUUAGCCAGAUAUUGGAGAGCAUUAGAAAAUGAAUUGUAGUCAGCAAGGAAAAAAGAUAAAUUAGCCUUGAUAAACCUUCCAGUUGCAGAUUACACGACGAGGCAAAAUAUGUUGCAACACUUACCGCUUGAGUAACUUGGCUUUGUCAACGUAGUCCGGCACAUACUCGUCUGACAUAGAGAAUAUUACCUGGAAAUACAAAAUCCAGCACCACACUUUCGUAAUCUCGACGGAGACAACAGUAAAUCCUUACAAAAGAGAGACCCAGUUUGAAGAUGUUAAGUCCAGUGUCUCAUAACUAUAUUCUCACCUUCAAUCGGAGAGUUCCACACUUAACCACAGCUGUGAAAAUGCUGACCGUACCUGACAAGGUACCCGUGACAUGUGCCCCAAUAGCGCCUUCAGCUGCGCAUCAGUGAAGUCUGAACUGAACAGAUCAUCAUCGCCCAUGUACGCACAUAGUGAUCGGAACCUGCAAUAAAACCGAAAAAAUAAAAUUGAAAACAGUGGUAGCUGGGUUGUAGAACAAUGCUACUUUGUUCUACAAAAGCAUAACUUGUACCUUCCUCAGUAGAAAAUUUAUUACCUAUUAGCUGUAAUUGGUGCUUCUGGACUGGCAUCUCGGGGCAUCAAUUCUUCGCCUUUACCUUCCUUGAUCAUUCGCUCAGCCAGUUCAAGCAUGGGCUGCGUCUCGGGUAACGUAGCUCGGAAUUCUCUGUCACUGACUGGUGCCUGGCAGAUCAACCAUCCGGAUAGAUAAUAUUACGAUAAGUUGAGAGCACUCGCCUACCCAAAGACCAACAUGCCCCUAACCUGUUCCUGUACUAGAACAAUUUCACUGGACUGAAACGGGACGAAACUUGAUGCGAUCACAAUACGACACCAGCUAGAUGAAGUAAGGAAUUUACUUGCAAAAUAGCGCCCCUCACUGCGCGUGUGCAAUGCCCUCCAGUCCGCAAGUAAUGAACAAUAUCCUGGUGCACCAUGAAUUUAAAUCAUCUCUUCAACUAAAACAUAAAUUGCUGACUCACGUGCUCGUUCUAUGCAUAACUUUGCAGAAUCUCUCUGAAGGAUUUGAACAUUUCCUUCAGCACUCUGAUGACAUGAAAUCUUUGCAGAUUCGCAAGUAAAGUACCUGGCAACCAGUGCUAUGACCAACAAGAAUGAACCCUUCGGAAUCUUCCUGGUCGAUUAAGUAGUUGAGAAGCAGUUCAAUCUCUACUGCGUCCUGCACAUGCAACACGUACGAAUCCGUCAAAACCUAGAAACCCAAUUUCAUGUUCCUUCCAGCAUCUAAAUUAAGAUCUGCGCAACAGUAUCCGUAGGAAUUCGUAAAAAGAGCCAUGCGUGAUCACAGAAUAAGUUUGUUCUUCAGUUCGUAACAGGAAGUUACUGUACCUCCUUCAGACUUGAGGUCCCAAACCCCGUGUAAGAAGACGUCAAAAGUGGCUGCACCAAUGACCAUUUUUCGGCUUCCAGCGCUUUUGCAAGUGGCUCGACAUAACUGCAGUCAAUGAGAAAAUAUUCCCGAACUUCUCAGGGAUUCUAUGGCGAAUAGUGUAAGGCUAGAGCUCCAAUACAUGCUCCCAGCACAAGAGCAGGACAGGGGGACACAAUCGGACGAUAAAUCAUGCAAAAUUUUCUUGAAAUUACUCUUCACAAAGUUAAACUAAAAGACUUUCUUAACCACGAGGUUCUGCUGGCAUCGAGCGGGGAAAGAGAACGCACUCUGUUGCAAGGAACCCAUCCGUAAGUCCCCCAAUGAAGACAACCUGCUGCUUAUAGUUUCCUGUUUUGAAUGCUACCUUCAUCCACGCAGCCACAAGUCACUUCUCAGAAAACUAGCAGAAAGAAAAGACAGAUCUCUGAUGAACUACAACUGAAUACAAAAGGAUAAAGCACAUCAUCUUCUCGGCAAACAAGAAUAGGGUUACUGGAUUUAAGUCAAAGAGUUCUACAACAAUCCUUGGAUAGAUAGUUGUUCAACCUGGUUAGAUUUGCUGCCAUACUUGAACAGAAUGCCUUGCAGGUGUGGUAGUUUCCUACUACUGGCCAUGGCGUCUUUGUUUUCGCUACAACACCUGAUCGCUCGCUCUCGCUCCAAACUUACUACCUGAAUACCACCACCUCUAACAUCACAACCACGAGUAAAAUCCCUUCUCCAGACCCCUCGAAGUGCCCUCCUCUGCAAACAAUAGUCUCCUUGAUUGCUGCUGAAACUAGGUUGACAUGAGAAUCUUCUAAACUUUCCGUCUCCCUCAACAACCCUGCUCGCGGAUAAAAUUGAUGAGAAACUGCUGACCCCAACUGCUUGUCUGCGUGUUUGUGUCGCUAGGGCCCCACCAAUACCUGGAAUCGGUCUUCUUGCGCAGUCCGCUGGUAAGCUUCUGCCAUUGCACACGGGGCUGCAGCAGCUGGCCAUAGACAGACACAUGGACGUGGACUCACUUUCCAAUACAUUCACUACACUUGCGUUGUAUCUUCACGAUCCAAUGGUUUCCGUGAUUGAGUCUGGAUCGUUAAGAAAGUAGUCGACCGGAACCUUUCGUCCAUUGCUGAGCCAGAUCUCUACAAAAAUACGAUGAAUGCUUGAAGAUCUAUGGGCAGUUCAUACCUUGGCCUACGGAAUCGGGAAUGAAGCAACAACCACAUCCGUAAAAAAACGCGUCAACAUGUUGGGUUGGAAGCGACAGUUGACCUGAGCGGAUUUAUCCGUGUUCGAAAAAUCGUAUUGUCUCAAUAAUACUGAGAGUGUUCGUGGUAUUGUGACACAAGUUCAUGCCCAUUGGACAAACCCUGCUUAAUUAGAAAGACUUCAUAAAUCCCCAGAACUCACUUUUUAAAAUAAUUAUGCCUAAAGCUGUGUGUGUUUUUUCCAGGUGGACUCACUCCAAGCGUUUUUCAAUAGAGUUGUUUUCUAGAAUAUAUUGUUGAAAAAGGGAGACCGAGGCUUCCAUGGGUACAAACAGGCGGGAGCAAAAUUCAUGAAACAUAUAUAACUGGCGAACGGAGAAUCAAGUCUUAUCUUUAUUGCAUACAUUUUUGAGGUGAUAUUGAUUGACAAAACUUUUCUACUGAAAAAACAUUUCAACUAGGCAGACCACUUAUUCUCGCUAUUUAAUUCGUGAUGCGGCAUAACGUAGUCCGAUCCAUCGUCUCAGGAAGUGUUGCAUGAAAGCUGCAUGUCUCGUCUCACGCUGGGCAAGAACUCACGGUUCGAGAGAGGGAGUAAGGAGGCUCAUCCUUGGCCAGCCACUCGAACACAUUGAAAACUUGAGUCUGAUACAGUAGGGAAACUGUGACGGUGUUCACGAACCAGCCCGGAUGGGGGCCUGAGUCGUCAUGAGAUAAGUGCAUACGGCAUAUAUUUUGGACGCAAUUACCCACAACAGUGAAUGUGUCUGUCGCUCCGCGGUUGAAGUUGCGGUUCUGGCUCUUAAGACCUACAAAGAGAACAGAAUCACCGUAUUUGUCGAAGAACUCAACGUUCACAUCGGCUUGUGUACCAGCUCCUUCGAUAUUCCCAGUACUUGUAAUGAUCGUAUACGUGCAUUGAUUGUACUGCAAUGCCCUCAAACAAAGGCCACAAUGACUAGUUCAGAAUCCACUGUUUACAUACCCGUUAAAAUCCAGCAACUGCUGAAAAGGUAAGCUAUACAGUGCAGAAUCUACACAGAAUACGACAAAGAAUUUGCAGUUUACUUGAUUCCUCUUUGUUCAACACCUUCAAGGGUUGACAUGAAGAUAAUGACGCACGGGCGUACAAGAAACCGUGGAAAUAUGAACAGAAAUUCAAACAUUUAAUACUAAUAACUGCAAGCGCGUGAGCAAACAGAUGCAAAUUCAGAACCAUCUAUGAAAGAAUGGACUGUCAUUAAACCCCCACUAUACCUACCUGCACGGCACUCACCAUAGUGGUAUGCGCCAUAGAGCCGUCAUCACCAGAUUCCGGUUGCGGUGCUGGCUGGUUGUUGUAAGAGGCAUCAGCUCCAGAGCCGUGCGAGGGUGCAGGCGCAAGAGCCGGCACUCCGGGUUCACUAUAAGCAUAUGGCGCACCGACGGGAGUAUACCCACCGUAAGGAACAAGCGGAAUCGCAUCAGAUGGUGCACUAGGCAUUGGUGCCCCAGAGAAGGGAUCAACACAUUUUGCUGGUGCUGAAUCACUGCUGGGCAAUCUCCUUUCAUUGGGAAGCUUUGAGUUAUCUGAAUCUGAGGGUGACGGUGACGAGGAGGGAGGGGGAGAGUCGAAGAGAGGCAAUGCAGCUGGAUUUACUGCCAAAGACAAUGGAGGAGGUGCAAACGGUGGUGCAGAACUAUUAGCAGGUGCAGAUGCAAAGGAUACCAUGAAUCUAGAGGCUCUCACUGGGGCACACAUCAGAGAUAUCACAGCUAGCACCAGAGCUGCAAACACCAGUUUUCCUUCCCUCUGGAAGGUACCAUUGCUUGAGACAUUCAUACUUGCAGAGUCGGAGAUGGCACUCAGGGACUCAGGUGUCUCCUACGAACUUCAGCGGCAAGAAACUGGACUGAGGAAGACUGAAGUCGGAAUGUAAUAGAGCAUUGAGCAGUGGGACUGAAUGAUGAGGAUGAGAGACAUAUACCAGUUGAGUCGCUUUUAUAGGUAAGGCUUCAAGUAGAUGUUGAGAAGAGAAUCCAAAUAUUGACGUUGUGGUGAAUUGCGCUUAGUCCCGUAACGUCCUUCAGCAGCUGUAAUUCAAGUACCAUCGACACGGAUACAUACCCAUUCUCGAAUGCGCUUGGGUCGGAGGACAAGGCACAGCAAAGAAUGAGGAGGCUUCGAUUAGUGAAGCAAUGACUGAGAUGGAAAGCUUGAAACUGAUACCUUUUUACAUUCGAAAAAAAGCAGCGAGACAUGAUACAAACGAAGGCUGCAAUCAAAGGAUGCUGGAACGAGAAGAGACAAGAAAGAAACUGAGGAAAUGUUUUUACCAUAAAACUUAGAAAAUCUAAACUGACAACUUGUAUUAAACAUCGAUAGAUUUUUAAUACAGGACUGUGUUACUGGUAACUUCUCAACGAAUACAAUUGUGCCAUGGCGCUGAAACCUUCAGCUAGCAUUACUUGCGCACGAGAUAAGAAGUUUCUGACCAGAGGAGUUGAUUUUUCCUCAGCUCCGAUUACCGAAAUAUUUCAUGCCUUCUCCUUCUUCAUUUUUUUUUUUUUUUUCCCCUCAAAAUAGACGUAACAAAAGUCACAAAUUCACUUGUGUACCUUGCACAUAAGUGAUACAGUAACGCACCAGAGAUGCAGUUGAAGACAUCGGCAUAUUACAAUGCUUUGAGAUCACUUCUUCCUCGUGGCUUGAAACUCCAAACCGUGCCUCCUUCACCCACAGACGAGAGUAGAAACUGAUGCAACCAUGAGACAACCAACCUCGGUACCCACAAGCGUUACACAUACGCAGCUGCUCAAGGCUAAUCAUGAGUUUUCGCACACCAAAAUUUCAUACGUGGCAAGGAAUGUACAGACUAACCAUUAUCAUGCUACAGAUGAUUAAGGCACUCUAAACGUACUCAGUCAUGAUGCCAAUUUUGGAAUCAAUAUAACCUAGGAAGGUGAAGCCGUAAACGUACAAAUUUUCUCACAAAUUUGGCAUUACCUCUAAUCUUGCAUGUUCCCAGCAUGAUAAUAAUUCUUACCAUCUUGCACUUGAUUAAAAGGGAAAGGUCUUUAUUACAAUACACGACUUCACUUCCUUUCCGAAAACAAACUCUCCCGACUCAUGAAUGCCUCAAACGAGCCAAAAGUUCAUCUCCAAGUAAGCCUUCGCCCUCCAGCCCUGGCUGAAUCACAAACGACAGACCACGACUACAAAAAAACAUGAAACAGGAUUUGUAAAAUAAUUUGGACAAUGUCCACAUAAAGAUGCGGCAUGUCAUUUCCAAUAUCUGAGGCUAGACAUCACAUUCGCCAUGACGAAAUUAUGUAUCCAUACUGAUGCUUUAGUCCAUAAAAGCUUCGUAAAAUAUGUAGUGGUCACCCUGUUAGACAAACAUUCAAAUGAAAUCAUACAUAAUCACAAUAACUAACAUAACCAUUAUCCCGUUCUCAUAUGGAUGCCCACACAUCUAUGCUAGGUAUAAUUCAUGGACAGCAUCUACAGAAUGAAAUUCCACAUGGAUGUUAUCAGUGUAACUUGGCACUUGCGAACAGCAGGGCCCAACACGAGCACAAGACACACUGUAACGCAUAAACACUUUGUCCAGUAGGUCACUGGCUUAAAUUAAUUCAAUAUAAUCAGAGACAUGGCGAGGUUCAACUCUGACCUUGCAUUCUCACAAAAAUAUCAUGCACUUUAACAAAUGCUUGCUAAGUAUCAAUUCUAAGAUCGUACCAGAGAAAAGCCAAAAUCCCUGAUCCCACCUAGAUGUUGCCCGCAGGCGACCAUAAGAAGAGUCGCCUAAAAACUGAAAAGAACGUAAUCAAAAGAGGAAUUCAAGAAUUAUUGUCAUAAUUUUCUCUGGAAAGUCAGCACUGUCAAUGUUAACUGUUUGGGCUUGGUGCUUCACAAGAGCGGUGCAGAAAAGUGUCACGAUGAGCACCGAUGCAAGCAAAAACGCACCAUAAGCAAAAAGAGCCGGUACUGAAGCAGAUCGUCAAGUGUGUGCACAACCCGCCGCACUACACAGCCCAGCAUUUGGCGAAAGGCGAGAGUUUCGUCACGCAAAAAAUUGCGCAAGAGCACAACUGUACUAGACCAAGUGGCGGGUUGUGUGCGGUUCCUAUUUCUUGUUAUCAGAAACUCCAAAUCCAUGGUCGCUAAGCUAACUACCGGAAUUUCUUAUGCAACUAAAUCCUGUAUACACAAUACGACAUAAAAUAAUUCAAUGAUCAUCCCUAGUGUCAGGCAAUCAUGCCUGCGUAGCAAAUUGGGACUUUCAGGUAGUCAACAACUUCAACACAAGAAAAGCUACGGCUUCAAUUAGGUUUAGUAUAGGUCGAAUCAUAACGAUGCAAAACCAUCGGGAAAACCUACGGAGCACAUCUAUGCAAACUCCCAAAUACUAACUCAAGUCGAAAUUUGUGAUCAAAACACAGUAUCCGUAGAACCUGCCUCCUAAAGUCUCAAAGUGCAUAUUCUAGAGAUCAACUGUCAAGAACUUCGACCGACAUAAAAUCUACGCCAAAACAUCACCGGUAACUCCAAAGCGACAUCAGAUUGAAGACGAAAUUCGUACCAGGCAUACAAUGAGCUCAACUAUUGCUUUAAUGUGAGACCGGAGGAGCGCAAGUGGCACAAUCAGAAGCUGCGGCCUGAUGCGUGGACUUGGGCUGCGCACGCUGCGGCGAAGAGGACGACGGAGCAGAGCAAGCAGUCUUGAAAGCAGCGAUGUGUUCCUUGCACUUUUCCCCGUCCCCCUUGUGCUCCUCCAAGCAUUUCUUCAACGCCGCAACGUCGCACGGUGUCAUCGUUGCCGUUGCAGCAAGGAAAUCAAUUCCUCCUCAACGCAACACUGCACACCAACACACCACCAAGCUCUUCAGCUGUCGCUACGGAAGCCGAAACAGACGCAGGCGCAUCGGGAGGUUGAGGCAGGCAGCUGGUGCAGAGCCCCUUGAAAGCCCCGAGGGAAAGCCAUCGCCUCUGAAUCCUCACCACUUGGUGCAAAUCCCCCCGCGACGCCGAUGUCGCCCCCACCGCAGUCUCGAAACCCUAAUUUUAGCAUCCUGGACAUUCCUCGUUGUCUGAGCCGGAAUUCCCCACAACAUUUAUAAUGCAAUAAAAUAGUCCUAUCCUCCCAUUCAAUUGAUGGAAUUGAGAAUACAUUUCAAAGAUUAUGUAGAGAUUGCUAAUGAUGUUGUGAGGAAUUCUAUCAUAGUGUUUAUCUCCUUUACAAGAACAUAGUUUACUCUUUUUAUUUUUUAUUCCUCUUUUCUUCUUUUAUAUUAUUAUUUCUAGUUGUGUUCUUUAGUUGCAGCAAACUCAAAAGGUUGUUGUGUGAGGAGGAAAGGGAUUGCUUUGACAUGGUGGAAGAUGGCAUCUUUUGUCUCCCAUUCUUGGGAUUGUUUAUAUAUUGCAAAACUAAUUGACUUCAAUUUUUUCUCCUAUAAGAGAUUGAAAAACCAUUUUGAUUAUUUAUUUUAUACUUUUCUUUUUGUAAGUGCUACUUUGAUCCAAGUCCAUUGGAAGGAGAUUGGACCACAUAUGUGUUUUUGGAAAAAACGAUCUUUAAUUCUUUGUGUUCUUUUCUAAUCCUUUAUUUGAAUUUGAUAAUGUUCAUUUUAAUUCUCAAUUUAUUCAUAUGUACAUAUGUAUGUAUGUAUUUAUUUAGAAAGAUGAAAGAAAGAACAAUAUGAAUAAAAUAUUAUUUAAGAUUGACUAUAAAUGUCUUUAUAUUGAUUUAGUAUAUAGUAUAAUAUUUUUUAAACAUGUUUAAAGAUAUUUUGAUUAAAUAAAAAAAUAUUUAAAUAUGCUCUAAAAAUAAAAAUAAAAUUUUGAAGAAGAAUAAGAAGAUAUGACAUAAUAUUUAAAAGAGUGAUAUCUUCUAAGUGUGCUUAGUUACAAGCAUCUUUGUAGUUUUAUUUACUUAAAAAUAUAGAAUAAUAAUAGUUUGUAUUUUUUUUAUAAAAAAUAUUUAUAAUUAACUAAAUUUUAAAUAUUUUAAAAGUAUAUAAUAAGAAUCACUAACAAAAACAUCACACAAAAUUAUAAUUCGACAUUUGGAUAGCCAUGUCAAUGUAUAUAUGAAUUUGAAAGAUUAAAAUUUAAAUUACUUAAACAAAAAUAAUCAUAUUAGAUAUUCACAUUAUAUCUAUAUAUACAAUUUAUAAAGAAAAAAGUUUUUUUUAUCUAUUAUUACUUUAUAUUUUAAAAAGACUCUACAAUAAUAUCAAUCAAUUAAACUAUAUAUAUAUAUAUAUAUAUAUAUAUAUAUAUAUAAUAAGACUUAUUAUUAAAUUAUCUAUUAGGAUUUCAUUUAUUUUUAAAAUAGAAAAUUAAUUUUAAUAUUAUCUUAAAUAAAAAUAAUAAAAAUAAUAAUAGUAUAAAAUAUAUAAAUUUAUAUCUAUGAAAUUUUUUCUUCUUACUUGUAUAAAUUAGUUCUAUAAAAAGUACAAUAAAAUAACUAAAAAAUAGUAAUAGUAGAAACUUAUUUUGACUUAUUUAUUAAUGAGAUAUUAUGUUUUUUGAAUUUUUUGAAUUUUUUCAUAUGUUAAAGUAAAAAAGAUCCACAUUGUAAUAGAUAGCCAUAUUUAUUAGUACAUUUAUUUAAAUAAUUAAGUUAGAUAGAAGUAAAUAGAAAUAAAUAGAAGUAAGUUGAAGUAAUUUAGAUUAUUGAUAUCUUGUUGGGAAGCUUUUUAGAAGCUUUAUAGACUUUACAUGUCUAUAUAUGUGAUUAAAAGGUUGAUAAUUAGGCCAACAAGUUGGCCACAUGUUGCUUAAUUAAAUAAAAUAAAUUAUUUGUAUUACAAGUUGGCCACAUGUUGCUUAAUUAAAUAAAAUAAAUUAUUUGUAUUACAAGUUGGCCACAUGUUGCUUAAUUAAAUAAAAUAAAUUAUUUGUAUUACAAGUUGGCCACAUAUUGUACAUUUAAAUAGAAUAUGUUAUUUGUAUUACAAGUUGGUCAUGUGGCACACAUGUUUUUUAAAUUUUCCCUAUAAAUUAUACAAGUAUUUUGCAAGUUGGACACAUCUCAUAAGGCCUAUAAGACAUUGCCAAAUAGUAUUUUAAUUGAUAUUAUAUAUAGAGGCAAGAGUGAGGCAUUCUUUAUUCUUGUCAAAACUUUUCUUGUGUUUUAUUUUAAAUCAAGACUUCUUAGUCCUUUUGCAUUUUGUAAUAGCUACUCUAGUUUCUAUUCUAUAUCUAUUUUUAGUUUUUUAUUACUUUUAAUGAUAUAAAAAUAUAUUAUCAUUUUUAGAUGUAUAAAUUCAUAAUUAAUAUAUCUAUCUAUCUAUUUAUUAUAUAUAUUAAAGAUAUCUAUCUAUUAUAUAUAUAUAUAUAUAUAUAUAUAAAGAUAUUUUUUUAAAAAAUAAACUAAAAAUCUAAUAGUUUUAUAAUAAUUCUAAAGAAUAUGUACAAACUUAAUUUGAUUUAGUUUACAAUCUAUGAAUUUUUUAAUUAUUCAUGCUUCUUUAGAUUUUUGUUAUGAUUGAUGUCCUUGACAAGUACACUCAUAAGUUAGUAAGAAAUGUAAAAUCAAGCCUAGAUAAGAUAUAUUUAAGAUACAAUAGGACAAAAAUGAUAAUAAGUCAAAGAAUAUCAGAUUUAGAUCAUAUCAAAGAAACCUAAACAGUGAGGCUGUUAUAAGCAUAAAAUCAAAUAUUUUAACUUGUUCAAUUUUUAAAGACAAGUAAAAUUAUUAGAUUUGAAAUUUGAAAUUAUGUGAAUAUUUUUAAUUUUUUGACAUGUUUAAUUUUUAAUUUUGACUUGAGUUACGUUUCUAUUUUGGAGGAUUGUAAUACCAAUAGUAUAAAUACUUUAGUAUAUAAGAUCUUUUAUUGGAAGAUAUAAUCAAUUAGACUUUAGUUUUAAGAUUUAUAUUUUUGAUAUAAGAAUUUCAAGACUUUAGAAUUUAUACUUAUAAAGGUGUGCCCAAUUUUUUUGACAUCUUUAUUUUACAAUUUUGACUUGACUUAUUUUCAGUCCCACCAAUGCAUCAUAAUUUGUGGAUUUUUUAAUAUUUUUUUAUUUUUAUUUAGAAAAAAAAUAAAAUAAUAAGCUUAUAAAAUCUAUUUGAUGAUCUAAGUACUUAUUAAGAUUUAAGAUUUAAAAUUUUAGAAUUUAGAAUUUAGAAUUAUAUAAGUUUUUCUAUUUUUAUUUUUAUUCUUUUAUUCUCCUUAUUUUUUAAUUUCAAAUUAACCUUGCAUCUAUUUUUGCUCUUUACAAUUCUAAUGGUCUAAACAACUUGUCGUACAAGUUUUUAAUUUGCAAAGUAUAGAAACUUUAUUUGGACAUUAAGAUGUUGAUUUUUAUUAUAGAAGGAUGUUUUUAGAGCUUUUAAAAUACUAUUAAAUCCGUUUUUGGAUUGGCCAUUCUAAAUAUGUCAUCAAAUUGUUCUAAAAGUGUAUGAAUUUGUAGCUGUUAAGGAUUUGAAUGUUUUAAAUUUUGAGUUGACUUUGAAAAUAUAUAGGAUUUUGUUAAUUUUGAUUCGAGUUGUUUCUCUAAUUUGGAGAUUAAUAAAUCUAGUGGUGGUCUUAAAAUGCUCUAUAAGUUUUUUUGAUUUUUAAAUAUAAGAUCUUUGAUUUGAUAUAUACAUAUAGAUAGAUAGAUAGAUAGAUAGAUUUUUCUUUUUCUUUUUUAAAUUUUGAAUUGAUUUGUUCUUAUGUUUAUGAUGCUUUUGAUUCUAAUAAUAUAUUUAAAAUCAUUAGCAAGUCUUAAAAUUAUAAGAUAUGAGGUUUUAAAAAUUCUUUAAUAAUCUUUAUAUAAUAUCUAAAAGAAUAAAUAAAUGCAUAUAAACUUUUUUAUAUUAUGUUAAUAAAAUAAUAGCUUAUAUAAGUAUAUGUACAUUUUUUAAUUAUAAAAUUUCAUAUUUAGAUUAUUUUUCAAAUAUAAUUUAUGUAUAAAUGACUUAAAACAAUGUAAUCUAUAUUCUAAGCUUAUGCAAUAGAUUGCACAUGGCCAUGACAAUUUGCACCAUUCUCUCCAAUAAAGUGUCAAGUUCUUCUAAUACAAUCUUCAUAUACUCUUUUUUUCUUCUAAUAUCUACUAAAAUUAGUCUUCUUCAAUAUUAUUCCAUCCAUGCUUCUAUCGACCACCAUAUUAUAAACAAAUCAAUAUGCAUUGUGAAGAAAUUCAAAGAUGAGGUGAUAAUUACUUGGAUCAUCUUGCUCUCAACCAUCAUAGAAAAAUCGGCCCUCUUAUAUUAAAGCCUGUUGAUGUGCUUGAACACUUCUCUACUUCCUUGCUUGUAGAAGUUGAUGCUCUAUAUGCUUGAUACUCCAUCCUAUUGCUUGUCUAACAAAAGUCAAUGCAUUUUUCACACAAAUAGAUUUUAAUAAAAGUAUAUUUAAAAUAUUUUCUUUGUUUGAUAUUAAAAAAUAGCUAAUUUAUUUAAAUUUUAUAAAACGAUUGAUAAAUAAUUCAUUUACAAUUUAUCUAAGAUAAAAUAAUAAUAAUAAUAAAUACUUUAAAGUCCAUAAUAAAUUAUAUAUUUUACAAUUACCUAUGUUAGUAUUAAUUGAAAAAAGAGAUAUUGAUUGAAUAAAGUUUUUGAUCAUGAAGUGCAUUUGGUAGGAGUUUAAUUUCAUGGAAAGUUGUUCUCAUCACCAUUUUUGAUCUUCAAGUUUUCAAAUCAAAUUUAUUAAUAUUAUGUUUCCUUCAUUACUUAAGAUAUAUAGGCAUAAAUCUCUGAUCCAAAACAAAAAUAAUAUUUUUAUUAUGACUACUAGGAGUUUGUAGAGCCAGAUGUAAGAUAAACAACCUAUUUCCGAUAAGCAUUUCAGCAUAUAUCUAGUAGGUGUAAAAAUGGAAAAAAUACCUCUAUGUAGGAAAAUAGAAAUCAAAAUGAUUCUAAGUAUUUUGACACUAUUUUCUAAUAAUAGAAUUUUAUAAAAAAUUUAACAAAAGAUUCUUUUGACCCAUUUUUAACAUAUAAAUCAACCUAAUUCCAAUUAGUAGUAGAUUACAAAACCAAGAAUCCAACUUUUACAAAACGUGAUGUGUAGGACUUAAUUAUGCUAUCAAACUUCUUCUAAUUCCAUGCUACCUAUAGAUGUAAAUUUGUAGAUGAAGCAACAAAAAUACAAACAUCUAGUUAUAAGUAAUCUACCAUGUUCAAGUUGGAUUUUUGCCACUAUUCUUCUUUGUUUUUGCUCAUUUCCAAAUAAUAUCUCACACAUCUUCCAUCUUCCAAUCCCACUCUAAUAACUCCCUGAUUUAUCUAUGCAUAAUCAACUUCUACAUAUGUAAAACUCCACUAAUGCAAAAAUCGAUUUUUGACAGAUCAUCCAUAUUGAUUUUUGAGUACAAUGAAUUGUUUAAAUUGCUCAUAGUUUAACAUCAUUUCUCCUAGGCUCCAACAUAUUUUUGACCACAAAAUGUUAGAAUUGAUUGAAAAUAGGUCACCUACCUAGUGAAAUUAUCCCAUCCUAUAAGUGAAAAAUGAGAGGUUGGUUGACAAUGGAUUGGCUACUUUAGGAAUAGAGAGCAAAGUAGUUGUCCUCUCCUCAUUUGAUUCAUAGUUAUAAAGAUCAGUUGUCAGUAUAAUUUAUCUCUUUAGCCUAAACCUUGUUGAGAGAUUGUAGAUUUUGAAUUUUUCAAAUAUAUCCCAAAAUUCUACUUACAAAUAGACAUUUUUCAACAAAUAAUCAUCCAUAAAAGUUGAAGUUGAGGCAAAAUCUUAUUUUACCUAAAUAUUUGUAUAUUUUAUUUGAAGAUUUUUUUUUGUAAUAACUUAUUAGAAUAAUUAAGAAAGUUGCUUACGGCAAAAGCAAAAUGUUUAUAUAACUAAGACUUUAUUUUAUUUUAAUUUUUUAUAAAUUUUAAGCAAUUCUAAAUUUAUUUUGUCUUGCAUUUCCAUUUAUGUGUCCAUAAAAAACGAAAUUUGUAAUGCAAAAAGUGAUUGCCAUCACAUGUGAAGAUCAAACUUUAGAACUUCAGGAGUGGCUGACUAGGUGAAAUAUUAUUUGGAUGGUUGUGGAUAAAAUCUUAUUGUAUAAUAUUCAUUCAUAAUAUUAGUUUGAAGAAUGUUCUAUAAUAACAAACUUCCUAUGCAUUGAUAAUUCCAAAUUCAAGCAAUUUCAUGUAAUUUGAUAUGAAAACUUAAAGAUCAAUUUCAUGCAAUUUCGAAUUGAUACUUGUUUCAAAUUUCUCUAAAUAUUUUCCCUUGAGAUUCUCACAUUUAGGCUACUCUGAUUAACUUUGGAUUUCUAAGUUAUGCAAGUACAUUAUAAAUAUUUGAAUUUCCCUAAAUUGCUUAUUUGGAUGAACAUUAAUAUCAAAUUGGUCUAUCCUACUGCCUAAUCAAGGAAUUAUUUCUUCAUAAUCUUGGAUUUUUUCAUGUCUGAAAUAUAUUUUUUAUGAAAUUUUUGCUCAUAAUUUCAUAUAAUUAUUACGUAUCAAUCUAUUACAAUUCAUCAAGAUGUACAUCACAUUAAUGAACAUGUUUGUAGGAUUCUUUCAUUAAAAAUAGUUGCACAAAAUAAUAUCAUGCAAUUUGUGCUAGUACAAUAUUUGAAACUUGACAGCUCUCAUUCUUUUAGAUUGGUGCUUGCUCAUCUACAAAAUUGAUUCUUUCUGUGAGUUUAAGAUAAAAAAAAAAAAAAAAAAAAAAAAAAAACUCUUAGUGUCAGAUUUCAAUACGCUUAUGGUCUUCAAAAUUUCUUUUUUCCAUAAUCCUCAACCAAACAAUGAAUGACAACUCUAAUUCUUAUAUUCAUAUGUUCCAUUCAACUAGGCUUCUUAACAAUUACUUACAGUUGCCAAUUUGAAACAUCAGAAACGGAAUUUCUAUAAAUAUAUAGAUUUCCAGAUUGAAGAGCCCAAGUUGAACCUUCAACUUCACAGUAAAAUAAGUAGAAUCCAAGGCUGCGUCCUGAACAUGGUAGCGUGUUUUAUUUUAGAGCUGUGGAUGUUUGCGGAUUCAAAGUGGACUUCCCAUUUCCUGCUCCAGAUGAAAACACUCGAAUGCUGCAGAAUAUCAACAAUAUAAGUUGUACUGCAAUUUUGGAGAUGAAGAACAUACCAUAGCAUCUGUGGGUGGGAGGCACACCCACUUCCCAAGCACUGUCAAUCAUGCAUCUGACAAUAUCGUUCCCACCUGGAAAAUUAGCAGUAUAUUUAAAGCAGAAGGAAGAGACUUCCGAACACAGAACACAAGUGUUAAGACGAAACAUUUACUCAAUACAAAGUGCAGAAGUACAUUCUGGUAGUUGAUGUCUUUGAUUAAAGUCAUCGUCAUAAUCGUCAUCACACGAAACUGAAAAAAUCUUCAGUGAUCACACAAACGUAAUUCUAUUCCUGUUCAGAUCUAGAGCUCUUGCACCUAGGAGCCUGCAAAAAAAACUUGUAGUUGUGUCGGAGAAUCCCGAAACAAGCUCGUCGGGGAUAGAGCAAAUAUAAUGAGGUUGUGAGCAUCCACUCCCAUUCCCAAGACACACUAACACCUGGUGACUACUACCUCCCCUAAUUCUUUUGUUACAAACGAAGAUGAUGCUAACUGGUUACCAUGGGAACAAGAAAAAAUCCUCUCUACUCUACCAAGACGGUAAGAUGAGGAAGAAUCGGCAGUUCUCUGAGACCACAUAAAAAAACAUGCAUUCUAAAUGCAUGACUGCUCCUGAAACAAAGCAGACAUCAUCAGAUAGAUGAUUGACUGCAAAAAUAGCAGUUGUGGAACCCAGGUGUACAUAUCGUUUGCCUCCAUUGGCGUCACUUCUGUACUAGAACUCCAUUCAGUAUCAGGUUCCCGGCAUGUCAUCCAACACUUCUUCUAUACUCCCCUUCGUACAGGUUACAUCGUAUAAAACCCAUCGGAAACUCCACUUGAAUGCGCAAAGAAUCUGAAAUUAUUGGCUUACCCAUGGUUCGAUGGUAUCUUCUACAUGAAAACCGCAAAAGCAUUUGUGCCGAGAAAAAGUUCCAAAAAUACGACGGUCGACACUUCCCAUGUUGGCGUUAUGUGGCAUGCCCUAAAGGACAGCCAUCAGUUAAGCUCUUAAGAGCUUACAAAGUCGUCGCAAGACCAGAGCUGGGACUCGAGAGAACUCAGCCCUUCUCUAGUUAGAAGAGGGCAAUUUCGCAAGUUAAGGGACCCGAGUAAAGGACAGAAAUCUUCGAUCGAAGACAGACUCUCGUCCGUCAAAUUAAUGCAUCCUGUAAAUGUAAGGCCCUGGAGAAACAGCCCCUGCGAAGUAACCAAAGAUCGUAAACCAGAGUCCGUGAUAGAAGUUCCAGAAAGAUCCAGCUCUUUUAGUAAAGGGCACUCCGUGGCCAACGUCUGCAGGCCAUUAUCGCCCACUUGGUAACAACCAUCCAGGAUCAGGCGCUCAAGAUCACCACAGCGAGAAGCAAUUGCGGCAACAGCCACAUCUGUAAUGUUUUUACAGUUGGUGAGGUUGAGAUUUACAAGGUGCUCCCCACAAACUUCUAUUAUGGAGAUUAUUGCUUCGUCAUUAAGGUCGGUCAGUUGACUGAGGUCCAAAUUCUCCAACGAGGGACAACAGAGACCCAUUGUUACGAUGGGCUCGACUCCUACAUUCUUACACUCGGUAACAUUUAGAGUUUUCAAGGAGAGACAUCUAAGAGGCAGCUCCUCAGCUCGCUUUCCCCCAUUCCAGAAACUGUCGCACUUUGAAAGGUUUAGCUUCCUGAGGUUUCCCUUACCCCGUGCAAGGGCUGCCAGCACACCAGCAUUCGUAAUUGCAUGACAUCUCUCUAGCUGAAGACUGUCGAGACGGAUACAACACUGCAUUAAGCCUUGCAAGCCUCUAUCUGUAAUUGACUGGCACUGUGUCAGAACACACGUUUCCAAGUCUUGGCAAACUUUUCCAACCUUCUCCAGAGUGAGGUCUGUGAAUCCAGGGCAAAAGGUUAUCAGCAGACACUUCAACUGUUUUAGACCAGAGCCUCCGAAACAUCCAAGAAAUCCUUCUUCAGUACACCAGCUAAGAUUCGCAAGUUUCAUCCUCGUAACAAACUUGCAGUUAUCCCCUAUAGCAAUUAAUCCUUUGUUGCUCAAUCGUAACUUUUCCAGCUUCAAUUUCGUCAGCUUGUUACAACCCAAAGUAAUCAUACAAAUGCCAGCACUACCCACCAUUGGACAGUUUGUCAGACAAAAGGAAGAUAAAGAUCCACUCCAUAUUCCCAAGGCCUUCAGACUGGCAUCCCCAACAUUAGAACAAGAGUCUAUGCUGACCGUGGAUAGUAAAGGACAACCCUUCGCAAUGGCUUGCAAACCCCGAUCGCCAAUUCCUGGACAAUUCAUAAUGCUUAGUUUCUCUAAUGAGCGACAUCCACUCCCAAUCGCUGCCAAACCGACAUCUGUGAUAUUCUCGCAACCCCACAAAGUGAGAGACCUCAGAGCAGCACAGCAGUUUGCUAUAGCUAUGAGGCCGCUGUCACUGAUACCUUUACUGGCACGAGCCAACCCUCCAAUGACUUUCAGAUCAACAAGACCCCCACGUGCAAGUUCACCAAUAGCCACAAGUGCAAGCAUCACAUCCGUGGCCUCCUUGCCUUGCAAGAUGCGAGAAAGUUCACCACAUACCCAUUGAGGCUGCAUUUGCACCCGUGGUUCUCCAUCUAUAACUAUGUCUAUCUCAUUACCACAAGGAUGCACUUCAUUUGCAUUCCCCACUGUGUCAUCGUUUGGUGCCUCGUCAGACCAAUCACCUCUAACAUCUGAAAGCUCUUCCAUCCAGACAUCGGAUUUCUCUGCGGCUGACAUGGAACCAUUCUUAGUAGCACACAAGUAAUCCUGUGUGCAUGCUCCUUUACACAUUGAAGCAGAUUCGAUCUUGAAAUCGCCUCGUUGCAUUCGAGACUGCAGCAUCAGCCACCGCAUACAAACGGCAGCAGCAGCACAGCGGUCCUGUACCUUGGGUAAGAAACCAAAGAUUUCCUGCAGGCACUCAUCUGGCAAAUCAUUGAUAAGGUCCACUUGAUCAACCUCCGGAACUCUCACUAAAGAAUAUCUGUCUGGAUUUUUGUUUAGCAUCCGUCUUCUUUUGGUCGUAAGCGAGAGCGACUCCACAAAAACCGAUGCUGCAGAUCUGUAAGAAGGUAAGAUCUGCGGCUGCGCAUCUGCAUGGAGACCGGAGUGGUCACCCCCUGUGCAUUCGGGUCGCUGUGGAGAAUCCUCAUCAUUUGCUUUGUCAAUGUAGAAGCCAUGAUAGCCACCAUCGAGGGCGCUGAAAGUCUGCUGGGCAUAAAUUAAACCCAUUCCAUCAACUGGUUUUCGUACAACACACCGUGCAGCUCUUGCAAACGAGCCAAUCAAUUCCUCCUCUGUCGUCAUGCAUGCUGCCUCGACAUCAGCGCCGCACAGUUGGGUGAAGCCCUGCGAAUGUAGCCAAGAUUAACCUCUCACGUCAGUACUUUUCCGCAUAGAAACUGUUCAUUGCCAAUUGUAAGAUCAAGUAUAAUAUUGAUCAGUAAGCAAACCACCCAUUAAUAAGAAGAGGGUACAGGCACAAGCUAGUCAUUGAAAAACAGAUUUCAAGUCGCCUGGAGAAACUUUCAAUGUCCAGUUCUCCAGUACUUCGUUAAGAGGCGGUAAAACGACGUGCAAAAUAGGCUAGUCAUUCAUAAUCUAUAAGAAUUGUGAAGGAAAACCCACAAAAACAGACAAAUAUGACAGGCACUAACUGAAGAGCUAUGGAAAAAUCACAGCCUGAGAUGAAGGAAACUGAUAGAGCACAAAUGCAGAUACAAGACCUUCACUGGCUUGGGUAACUAAGCUGAUGGACACAAAAAUUCAUCCCCAAAGAAGUAAUAAAACUAAUGAGCUGUGAAACUUCUCGUGCUAGGGCUACUGCUUCGGGGGAAUCGAUAGCACUCACUGCAGAAGAGGAGUACCAAGGAGUCACUGACGGCAAUAUGUUCAGAACACAAUAAUGUGCAAAUCGGCCUUCUCUCGAUGCUAUCUUGUUUAUCCCCCAGGUUUAGGUUGCGAAGAAAAAACUGGUCACACCAAGAAAGUCUACCUAAACUGAUGCGCUAUCAUGUUCUUGUUUCCCUCAAAGUAGUACGUGCCCACCACAAACAUAACGCGGUCAUGACCUUAAACCUAGACAUCGUCACCACUAAGCUCUGAUCAACAAAUUAACAACCUGGUUUUUUGUCUACUCCGUGAGUAAAAAGUCUAGCGAAUUGCGUACGCAUUGCAAUCAACCCUACUACUUUUUGGCGGUACGCAGAUUUGCCCUCUCGCUUCAUCACCCUUAGAGUCACGCUUACAAAGUCCCUCUCCCACAAACCGUGCGGGUGGCCCUGGCAUACCACCCCCACGCACAACGCCAACUCGAUAACAAAAUAAGGAAGCACGUCUUCACACAAGAGAGUGCAACUUUGGGGCCCCAAAUUCAGCUUCCUCAAUUCCCAGUUCCAACUCCACACCAUCCUUUCCCUAACUUCACCAUUCAUUGCAUCCGUACCCUCUUACUCUCACAGGGGAAAGAAAACUGAAAGUAGGUCACUCUCAAAAAAAGAAAAAAAAAAAAAAAAAAAAAAAAAAAAAGGACACAAGUGCGUCAAUCACGAAAUACCUCUCCGAAACCACCAGGGUACUCGACCCACGACUUCACUCCCCAAGUAGCCCUGGAUCCAGUACUCCGACCAAGACACCCCACACAAAACACGCAGCCGCUGACACUCUGUACCGAUUUGAACACAUAAAGCAACACUCCACCACCCUACCAACAAAGCAAAACAAAAAUAAAACCCACCUCGGCAACCAGACUCCAUCCCCAACGAGUUAAUCCGAGGGCAAACUGCGAUGCACUCAACAGGCGCAGAAACAUGUACCUAGAAGCAUGAAUGAACCGAUGCGGUGCACCUUCGCUGCUCUCUCUAUUCGUCGGCUCCAGCUACCCAGGGGUGAGGGGGUCCUAUUCCUCCGAGUCCCACUCCUCCAAACCUUGCAACACCGGCGGACACUCCACCCCUCUGCUCGCCCUCCAUCAAUCCCUCCCUCCCCCAGUUGCAAAAACUACUCCUGCUAGUGCUGCAGGCAUAUUGAUGAUGAUGCAAGCGAUUGUCACCUCAAUCUCACGCCCAUCGAGGAACAGGUACCCUUAACCUAGACUGCCUGCCUGGCUACAAUCCAAAGCUCAUUCGCGAACAGAGCUGCAAUCUACAUUCCCCGCCUCGAACGCAAUUUCGAGAAACUGUUAGGAAUGUACCCACCUUCUUCUUCGUCUUCCCCGCCAUCGCCCAUGCAUCCCCCCUGUGUCGUCUGCGCUCUCGCUGAGCCUUCGCCGAACCUUCCCUGGCCUCGGACACAAUCCUGGCCCUGCCCCCACACCUGCAGAGGAGCUGCACCCAGACAGACUCCCCCUAGCAGCGAGGUUCGGAAGGGGGAUGCACUUGAAUCCCUUUGGAUGUUUGAACUAUCCGGCCAUACUUCAUCCAAUCGUUAACGGAAUCUACGGAGCGCGUACCUGGACCCAGUGAGGGUGAAUCUCCUUUUGCAACCCGGACGGGUCCCGUUCACACAGCGCUCGCGCGCGCGUCGCUUGCUGCCUGUUGACCCGAAUAGCUUGCGUCAGUCAACUGAGCCAGCCGGCCGUGUGAUCUCGUGGUCCUCGAGGUAUCUCUUUUGAUCAGGCUUCCGUCGCCUUUUGCAUUCAUUCCUGCACUCCGUGCCUGCUUCCUUCCGUUCCUGAUCUCGUUUGUUUAGCUCGUCGCGCUGCUGCUCUUGUCCCGAUGCCUUCCCACUCUUUCGCGCCGUAACUACUGCGACACUUAAUGGAAUAUUCCUUUCCAGCGUGGCGAUACCACAUUCAUUCGUGGGUUUCGUGGAUGAUAUCCGUUCGUUUUGAUGAGGAUGUAAUUCGGAUACGUCCAUUCAGGAUUAGAAUUUGGAAUUAUAUGAACGUUGUAUUUGUAUUAAAUGUGAAUAAGUUUAUAGUUCUAUUUCUAUGUUGUGCUUCACGAGUUUUAAUACCAGUAACAAUGUAUGUACGUGUAAUGAUGUGAUUCAAAUGGUUAUUUGGAUGUAAUAUCUUAAUGCUUUGAUUGUACUUCCCACAUACAUUUUAAAUCUUAAUAAUACUUUUGUGUGGAUUGAAUGAAAUGGUUUGAAAUAUUUUUAUUUUCUAGGUAAUGGAUAAGAUUGUUAACACAAGAAAUUAGUAACUUAAUUGUUAUUUUAAGAAAAUAUCAAUAAUACUCAUUUAGAACAUAAAAUAUGUGACACUCAAUAUACCAUAUUAACAAUAAAAUAUAAAUUUUAAUAUCAAGGUAGAUUAGUUAAAUAAUCUAAAACAAGAUGUCAAAUCAUGAUUUGAUGAUAUUAUUGUUCUAUAUAUAUUUUUUAUUAAUUAAUUAAACACAAUAUCUUGAUUGGAGUGUAUCCUUCUUUACAUUACUUUGCAAUCCCAAAACUAUGUUACUCCAUCAAACACUUAUUCAGAUAUAAAAUCAUUUUAUAAAACUUGAUAUUAAUCUUUGAACAUUAUUGAACGUAUUUCAAAUUAUUUUAAAAUCCAAAGUUUUUUCAUUUUUAUUUUAAAUCCCAAUACAAGCUUUGCUUGUUAUAACUUAUUGAAUUAAUUUAUGGAAGAUUUUUAGACAACAUGAAAUUAUCCUUUUUAUCAAUAUUUUGUCAAUCUCAUAAAAAUAGAAUAAACUAGGAAAAAAAAAACUUGUCUGUAAAACAAUUAGUAGGAUAAUACUUUAAUUUGAAUAAUACAGGCUUUUUUGAAUUCAUGACCUUUGGUCUUUUAAAUCUAAUACAACAAUUCUGAAUUUUUUAUUAGUUUGGUUGAAAUAAAAUAUCAACUACACACAAAUUGUAAUAGUUAUUUGUAUUGAAAGUAUAAGAUGGGUUUUAUCUACAUUCUUAAAACUGUACAUUAGAAUAUAAACAAUUUAUCCCAAUUAGGUUUUUUUUGUAGAUUAAAAUGAAAUAGAUUGAUCUAUUCUGUCCUCUGUAGUGAAAUACUUCAUAGCUAAGUAAAAAAAGAUUUAAAUAUUUCUUAAUGCAGUUACAAUAAAUUUAUAUUGAUGAGAAUAUGAAGUUGCAUAGGGAGUUUAUAUAUAUAUAUAUAUAUAUAUAUAUCUACACACACAUACAUACAUGAAUAUAUGACAAAAUCAUUUAAGCAUACACAUAAUUUUUUUUGUUGGAAACAAUUCAUACUUAUAAUACUAUAUGUUUCAACAUAAAAUGAGUGCUAAGAAACUGAGGUGUCACAACAAAAUGGCACUUAUGAAAGUUAAAAUAUACUCGGAAGAUAAGAUAGGACAAUAUAAUAUAAUAACGCCAAAUUUUUCAAAUGCAAAGAAAGUGUUUGAAAAUUGUAUAUAAAUUUAUUUUAUUUUAUUAUUUAUGGUUGAUCUGGAGACAUAAAGAUUAUUAGGUGAUAUGAAUGAAGAAAAGAAUUCUGAUAAAUUGAAGUUGAUUUGUUGGUUUGUUCAAAAUAGGACUAACAUACAUAUCAUGAGGCAAGUUAAGGUUGUUAAUGCUAAUGAAGUAGCAUUUUACAUUCACUUUAUUGAUUAGAAGGAAAUAUAUAUAUAUAUAUAUAUAUAUAUAUAUAUAUUAUUCGUAAAAAGAUUCAAUUGGUUAAAUGUAAAAGGUUUUGUUGAUGUUGUGUGUUUCUGUUUUUUGAUUUUUUUUGAUUUUUUUUACGUAAUUUUGAUUUUUUUUCAUUAAAAUGAUUAUGGCUAUUACAAAAAAAAAAAAAAAAAAAAAAAUGGUAUCUUUAAAUGUAUGAUAUAACAUAUUUAUGAAUUUUAUUACAAAUCUUUUUGACUAACAAUAAUACAAUAUUAUAUUUUUGCCGAUAAGUUGGUUUAAUACAUUCUUUAUUAUGAUUACAGCUAAGGAAAUAACAUUAGACAGUAAAUUUGCAAAAAUAUAAUUUAAUGCACAAUAGAGUUUGAUAUAUUAUUAUUAGUCAUUGUGUUGGAUUUAAAACAUAAAUUAAUAUAAUUUAUUUGAUAAUAAUUCUUUAAAUAGAUGAUUUCUAACAUAUAAUUUAGCAUGACAUUCUAUCUUUGAAUAAAAAGAUAAUAAUUGAAUAAAUGAAUAAAAUUUAAACUGUUUUGGUAAGUUAUAGUUUUUUAAAAGUUAAAACUUAUUGAAGGCGAAGUGGGUGAUUUUGCACAAAACGAUAACAAACAAGAAAAUAGAAAUAACCCUCUACAAUAUUAUCUGAUAUUAUAUAAUAAGCAAAGUGCAAAUUGGAAGUAAUAACCUUAGAGUGGUAUUGCCACCUCAGUUCGGAUAAGGUGACAAAAGAUAUUACAUACAUACAAUUUUGAUGCGAACUGAGAUGAAUCAGUGACACAAUUCUCACAAAUCUCACGCCCUGAAAAUUAGAUGUAGUUAUUCAUGAAAAGAGUAAUCAUGGAAGAUGGAUGAUGAAUGUAACGCACAAGUAUAAUUACAACUGGACUGAUUAAAUGUGAAGGUUUGUCGAUGUUUGCAUUAAUUUGUUUUUGCAGGCCGUGUCAAGAGAGCUUCAUAUCUGUUUAACGUCACAUAACAAGUCGUGAGUUUGCAGCAGAGUGAGUAAACCAUAUCCAUCUUCGUUGGUAAACAAAUGCAAGUAUCACACCAAAGUCCGUGAGAAUUGCUAUAUUUCCUCAUACGAAUCGAAGUGAUCCAAAGCGACAGAUUUUUGGCAAACUACAGCGAAUUUAGCUGACUUGGGAUAAAAGGGUUCUGGCACUGGCCUUCCAGAAUCUAAAGUGCAAUUUGUACACGACGGGCAGUGAAUGUCGAACCAGCAAAAACCAGGACAAUGGAGCGGAGGGUACUCUGAAUCAAGAGAGAUGGAAGUAAUGGAGGUCUAGACAAAUUUGUUUUGGACUUAGCCAGGGUGGAGAAGUGUCUAAAACUCCUGCGAAAUGCUCCCUCCGAUGUCCCUGCCACCCUUGUCAGUUUUCUUCGGCAAGAGUACCGUGUGGAUGUUGGGCAGGACACCACCAGCGGCAAUUGUGACUGUGCCCAGCAACUUACUUAGCUCCUCAUCGUUUCGCACCGCUAGCUGGAUGUGGCGAGGGACGAUACGAUUCUUCUUGUUGUCUCUCGCAGCAUUUCCAGCCAGCUCAAGAACCUACGCAUAAUGUUCUAAAGUUAGGCACACGUUACUAACGAUCUUAACCAACUUGCACCCUUCCAGAGAAUGAAAUAUACUUCAAUUGGAGAGGGACGAAAGGGACGAUGAGACAGACAUCACCCUCAUCAUCUAUCUGAACCCACGUCGCAAUUUGCUGGCCCUACCACAGUAACUUGUCGGCCUGUUUGCCGCCAUAUAGUAUUAUGAAAACUUCAGGAACACACAUGGCGAGCACCAGCUAUCAGAGCUUCGCGAAGAAAUUAUGCAAGCGACCUAAAAGUUAAAAAAGACAGAAUCUCCAAAACCAGGUCAGAAGCGGAAAUGCUCACCUCAGCAGCUAGAUAUUCAAGCACUGCAGCAAGGUAGACAGGGGCCCCAGCUCCAACGCGCUCGGCGAACUUCCCAGACUUCAAGAACCGAGCAAUUCUUCCCACAGGAAACUGAAGGCCAGCCUUCUGCGACCGGGAAAUAGAUUUGGAGGCCUUAGACUUGCCACGGCCUCCAGUAGCGCCUGUAGAACUCAUCGUUCUGAGAGCUCCUCCGCGCUCCUUCAAUCACGCAGAGGUUUGAGUACUGUCCUGUAAUUGUAAGGCAAUGCAACCAAAUUAAUCCUCCACAAUCCCUAGCCGGAGGAUAAUCUUGACUUGCCGUUCACAUGAAAGGAUCGAGGCAAAUCCAAACGAACAUGAAUACAGCAAGCUCGUCGUAACAACUACAUCUAAAUCCCACUUCCCAAUCACUCUUUGUAAACCUCCACCACCCUGGUGCUCCAAACGAAAGAAACACUCAGAGACAGAACAAGGUCCGGUAUUCUAUUCGAUUUGUUCCCUGCUACAAAAACAUUUUGUCAAUCGAUUCAAUGACACAAAGGAAGUAAAGCGAACAUGCCGCCGGAAGAACCCAAGAGUCCAACCACUUCGAUGUUCCAGCGAUUUGACCAUCCACAGUCGACCUCGAUGCAGAAGUGAUUGAAACCUCGAGGUACUAACCUUCUAUGCAGUGGCAAGUGCAGACAUUGAUCGAAGCAAGAGUACAGGCGAAGCAACAACGCCAGAGGCAGCGACGGAUGCAUAGGCUAAUGUUGAGACUGUGGAAGCCUGAAAUCUGAAAGAGGUUAGAGCUGGGAGAAGUAGGUGGGGGGUGCUCAAUUCUCCAUUUGAGAAUAUGAGUUGUCAUUCUAUUCGUAGAUUAAACCGACUUUUGGGGGGACGCUAAUCGGUUAAGUUGGACUUCGCCUCAAAUUCUAGAGGGUUCGAGGGUUCUGAUCACGCCCAUCCGGUUCAGGUCGUGGCCAGAACUGGCAGGCGGGGACGAACGGAAUUUUCUGCUUCUGGCCGAGUUUGCGAGGAUCUAUUCGAGGGUUCGUAUCUGCCCAGCCCUCCGUCAUCCGUAAUGCAUCAAAGCAUCUUUCUCACAUGUUCUUGCCAUACCGCCACCCACCCACGAAUUUCGCCUGUACCCUACCAUCCGAAAUGCAUCUUUAAAAUCCAUCUCAACAUCUUCCAUGAGUGUUGAAGGAAUGUUCUUCUCCUCCGUGGGCAUUCCACUGUGAUCGAUGGGCUGCACAGGCAGACGGUUUAAUCCAAAGCUGUGCGAUGUUUCGGGUGUGAUCGGAGCAGUGCCUUACUUGUGGGGCUUCUUUUGUUGUUGACGUCUUUGCAUUUUUUCCGUCGCAAGUGUAAUGCUCAUCCCCUGGGUGUCGGUGAAAGUGAUGUUUAGUGAAAGUGGUGCGAAGGUGAGAACUAGCCAUCUCAUGGUGGAGCUGAUUGAUUUUGGGAUGAGUUUUUCAAGCAGUAGAUCAUGAGUCUUGGGUUUUUGUUACAACGAGUCUUAGUUGCGGGGGGGAAUGAUUCUGCAGCACUGUAAAUGGUUGCUAGAAGAAUCGAUUCACACCAUGAAAAGCAUUGGUUGUAUUGCGUGAUUUUUUUUGUCCAGAUAUUUUGCCAGUCUGGGAGUUGUUGUGUGAUUUCCACUGUGAAGAUUGCAAGCAUUGAUUUCAGAUGUUGAUUCUUUGAGGAUCCAAAGAGUGAUGCGCUUCAUUUCUUCACAGCAUCCCUAUUUUCAUGUGUGUAAUAGUUCGGGCUGACAUUGAAGUGAACCAAGAGCGAUUUCCCUUCAUUACAUAUUUCACUUCCGUCUCAACUCCAAUUGACUUAUUUUCUGAGUUGCUCCGUUGCGCUAAGUUACUGUACCGUGGAAUUCUCGGCAGUGGAUUCAUUGGCCAAUGAUCGUCUUCUUCCCUCGACUCUUUCCCCUUUUGAACCGCCCUUGUGCUCUCAAACUCGUCUCACACUUCUUUCUCACUAACUGCAGUCGUAAUCGUUCCCCUAGAUCACAGAAAAGAUGUGAAAGCUCCUGUGCGCUCGGAAACGGUGGCAUUCCUGUGGUACACAACUUCGUCUGAUCUUCGUCUGAGGGGUCUGUGGAAGAACCCCCUCUCUCAUCAACUCCUACCCUACGAAGCUCAUGCUUUUGACACAUCACUGAGCUCAGCUACGAAAGCCUCAUAAAUAUCAACACAACCACAUAAUCUCUUUCGGCACCUUCAGUCACUGCUUUCAAACUUUUACCAGCUUGUGAUCGAUGAUUUGGGAUUCGAGUGAGCGAUCAAUUAUCUGUAGGAAAUUGGCAGUAUCACGUCAAUUGCGAGCACGCAGUUCUGUUGCGCAGUGAACGGACAACAGUGAUGAAAUAUUGGAGUCUAUGUGCUUGAACAGGGAGGCUUCAUCUGCGUCCAAGUAGCGAAUUGUCGAGCUAAAGUGCGUGAGCGACUGCUCGGAUCAUAUCCCAAAAAAGAGUUGGCUCCAAGUCACGCCUCUGAACGAUUUAUUCGGGCAAGUCUAAAAAUUCCCUACAUAUGCUUGUGCGAAAUAUCCAAGUCUACAGAGCCCUUGAAUGAUUCCAACUAUCUUCUAUCGGUGACGAAUUACUGUGCCUUGUGCAGAUACGAGUCGACUUAGAUUAUGCUCAUGAACCACGCGAUAGUGCUGGUUUGCAGACUCAGUGAAUGUGUACUUCGGCCAUUGCUGAUGCCUGAUUCUUUUGAUGCAAUUGCAAAAGCUCUGGCCCGUGAACCGGCUUUGCAAUGACAAAAGGUCAGGCUUUCGUCGGCUAUUGCGAAAGUACAGUGUGCCCUACGGUUCGCUCUGUGGAAAUUCCUUACAUCUUGUUAUAAUUGUUGUAGAAGAUCGUGAACACACGCUCCUGAAAGCAGCACAAUCGCGAAACGACCGACAUUGUAUAAUUACAGAGCUUUUUGUUAGCACUUGCUCUAGGAUAAGGCAAAUCAUGACGACGACGUUGCAUGAUCGAAUUACCUUGAUAAACAGAGUUCCCUUCAACCAGUCUUUUGAGCACGCUGUACAGGGUGGAGAUAAGGAACCAUGUGUCAAUGAGUAGAAUCUGGAGCCUCGUGAAAUCUCUACACUAGUUACUCAGAAAAUUCUCAAUGGAGGAAGGAACCGGGGACGGCGUUUCAGUAAGACCUCUACGAAUCAAGCGAAGCUACAUCACCAAGAAGCAAACGGAGCAGUGCAGAUACCAGAAGACCAGAACUUCGUCAACUAUUCAGGCGGAUGGUUGCAAAAUAACUGUUACAUGUCUUAAUGGAGGCUGGUCAAAUAGUUGCCAUAUGGUUAAUACCCUCUUCUUCUUCGAGUACUUUCACCACUUUUUUCUGACACUUCAGCUUGCGUUGUUUUUGCAGCGUUCUCUACCACCUUGCAAAGUCUUGGCAAGUUCAAAGCCCACUUCAUAGCCUGUUCGUUGUGAAGAGUUUGAAUUACUUUUCUAUGCCAUUCAGGGAUGAUGGGUACGCUCUGAAGCUUCUUUGUGGGGGUCCUAAUUCAUGUGGAGGAAAGGUUUGGGAGUUGACUUCCAAAUUGGAGGCGAAGGUGAAGAACCAACUGCCGAGACGGUUCAAUCGCAACGGCGAAGGAGAACUUGCCCACAACGACAGCUCCAGCUUGGGAUCCCCCCCACGCGUCGCACAACGGAGACCUCGAAUCAAGUCUUUUACAUGACACUUCGGGACGCGGAGGAACCCAUGACUUCGCACGAUCAAUGUCACCGUCAUUGGAAGAGAAUUUUCAGGGCAGGAAGGUUGGGGACAGAUCUCCCAAUUAAUCAAAUGAUCGCAUUCACCAAAUGCCAUACCUAACCUCAGUAGCCGAGGUAGGAUUUCACUUCUGCUGGAACGAACAACUUCUCCGUCGAUUUUGAGAUUGAAGGUAGUGCAAUCAUCAUUUGCCUUUCACAACCUAAAGCAUUGGUGAUCGAAUGUCACUGGUCCGAGCGCACACAGGGCGUGCCCAUGGAUCCAAGCCCUUGGCGCGCCCUGCAUAGUGAACCCGCGGAUCACAGCGUACCUUUGAUGCUGGACAUGACGAAGCACACUCUAGGAUUGGACAAGUCAAGUGACCCCAACUUGGCGACGUUGAUAGAAAAGACGGAUACAACCUUUGGAACACAGAAGGCCAGGGAUCCAAAUGAGCCCAUCACGGUAAAGGAUACGAUGGCGACUCAGGAAAUGGACAAAUCGAAAAACUAUGUAGCGUUCACUCUCAUGGACGAGACGAAGCACACUCUGGAUUUGGGUAAUUCCCGUGAUACAAAUGCGCCUUCCUUGCCAGAAAAAACAGAAGCAAAUUUAGGGCUAAGUGGGUCUACGUCGCAAAUUGGUAAAGAUAUGCGGCAGACUUUCCCCGCGCAUUCGGGUUUUGUGCCGCCAGCAAAAACUGGUCUUCGACCAGUAGGAGGUAAGUAACCAUCUAGCAUUCUCGAAUUUUUUCAAGCAUUGGAAGAAUGUUUCUGAGCAGGCAACAAUCUCUAGUUUGGGGAAGACGGAGUUCUGUUUACUUGGAUUGAGAUUGAUUGCAGAUUAUGGCAGCGCUGAAAGGAGGAUGACAACUAUCGACGUACCAGAAUACAAUCCAUCGGUAAACAAACACGAGAUGCCUUGCAGUUGGAAGAACAUUAUCUGGUAGCAAGUCUGAAGUUGUUGAGGGUCAAGAAGGCACGGUGAGAGAGACGGGGUGCAAAGCUCUUCGAUGUCGCAAUCUUCUCAUUCAUGCGUUGUGAAAUGCAUCAGACUUGAUGAGAGUUGUAAUGAAUCUUGCCGUGUGAUGGACUAUGACAAAAACCCUGAUGGUUGAACUGCAGUCUGGCACAGUUAGGGUUGAGACGUGUCACGAUCAUUGUACACGACGUUUUGAUGAAUUAAACCAUUGCAGUGCUUUCGUGUAAGGGUGGGUACAGAUGGAGCAGUUGGGUUGUGUACCCUGUUGUGACGGCGAUUGGUAGGGGUGCAGCCAUGCAAGUGAUUUGCAUUGUCAGUGAUAGAGAUUGUUCGUUACGAAGUGUUCUGUCUUAUCAAAAUGUUUGAGUGCUGGUAUUUGAAAAAAUUUCAAUUCUACUUCAUCGGUAUGCACUGAUGCAAUUGCAGUUUUUUAAAACGUAGUCGACGAGCCGGUGUUUAUUUCCUCGCCCAUACAAGUUGAUGUGGUUUGAAGGUUUUCUUCGAGAAAACCGAUAUACCUCGUUAACCUGAUGCUAUCGAAUUUGGAAUUAGGAUGAGCACUUUAUAUGUUAAAUGUACUUAAAAUCACUCCUUGCACAUGUCACAAUUCACGCGUGGUCAUAAAUUGUAGGUCGCUGCACAAGCAGAUUUGAUCAGUAUGUUGAACGAGGAAUAGUCGCCUAUUAUCAUGAAUGUUCAUUUUUUGUAUUUGCUUAAUAUUCAGUUGUAAUGCAAGUUUGAACUCUGAGCGAGCUGUUGCAGAGAUUACAAAGAUUAUUUUUAUAAUUUCCACAUUUCUACACAAACAUGGUUGGUGGAGACUUACAACGGUAGAUAUAUAUUUAACUGUAUGCAAUGUCUAAUAAGCAAGUUGACGGGGCCACCGGCAAUUGAAGGAUUUCCAAAUCGAAUUCGAAACACUCCACUCUAACCAUAACCUGAGAGUACUGGGUGUAGAAGAGUCGAUCUCGGAGAUUGAAUGUAGAUGUCUUCACGUCAGGAAUGUGAAAGCACAAAUCAAUUCUCUGGCUAGAUUACAUUGCAUAAAGUCGAAAGACAGGGAGAAAGGAAUAGGAAAGUACACUUCACAUUCGUGCAAACUGAGUUUUGAAAUUCAGUUUCGUGUUCAAGCCAGCAGAAAGUAGAGUACAUCAACAGCAAGGGUUUCAAACCUCGAAACUACCUAAUGACCUUUAGAGUCAGGAGCUCAACAAAUUCUCUAGUUGGGCCUGGCGACCAAAAAACCGCAGAUCUGAACCUGCUUCACGUUGUCGAAACCCAAGAUACGUACGAAGCAUCCGGGAAAGGUCUUCUUGCACUCCUCAAUCUCCCUCAGGACCUGGGAAGAGUCCUGGCAUCCGAACAUGGGCAGCUUCCACAUAGUCCAGUAGCGGCCAUCGUAGUACCCGGGAGAUGAGUUGUUGGUGCGGGACACGCCGUCAGCGUUCUGUUUCACAAAGAUAGCCAAGACAUGUUUGGUCAAUUCGCGGUUUACAGCCUUCACUGAAGAUUAAUGGAGGACGGCGAGCUUAAAUUCUAACGAUAGAACUCCUCAUUAAGACAAAAAUGAUAAGCCAACAUCAAACAAACAAUGCAAUGCAGCACCAGACAAGGUUCGUGAAACUUACCACGUCGAACUCGAGGCAAGGGAUCAGCCCUUGCUGGAUCAUGUACUCCACCUGUUUGGCAAUGGAAUCGUCGCUCAAUGGGGGCAAGUAAGAGAAGGUCUCGAACUUGGUCAUGCCAAUGGGGUUCCACACCUGCAUGCACUGCACGCGGCUGCCGUUCUGGACGGAGCUCAAGCUCUGGGCCUUGCUAGCGAACAAGGUGUUGCUCUUCAGUCCGGAGAAGGCCUUGACGGAGGCGGACUCGGAGGUGGACGCAGCAGAUGAAGCUGCCGUAAAGGCAGCGGGGGCCACCAUGGUGGAAGCAGCAGUGAUGGACGCCAUUGCUCAGAAGUAGGAUCGACUCACAACAGAAAACAACAGCAGGAAUUACAA